AUUUUUUCUUUCUUUUGCAGAACAGGUACAGAUGAGUGCUAUAAUUCUUCCAAAUCUUUGAUUGUGCAGGAUAUUAAGGAGAUACCUCCAACGGCGCCUGAAGUUGCAAAAUGAGCUGAGUUGAACAUCUAUGCUUGAAAUCAAAAAAGUUCAGAGCAGGUAACCGUUGCUCUCCCUUCCCCAGUUCCCCUGCUCUCAGAAGUCUAUCGGUGGCGAGUCCUUGGCCAAUGGCCACUUCUAUAUCCGGAAAGCGGCUACGGGCAUUUGCCCAUCAUGUGCGCGCCCAAAGCACACCGGCCGCUAGUUUUAAACCGCACGCAUAACCACUUUUGGUACCAUAUAACCGCCUGGCAGUGCCAAUCAUCGCUGCCGGCUUUUGCUUAGGGCAUGGAUCGACGUGCAAAUUGCGUGUACGAUCGCUGCAAAUAUUCUUCAGCUCAUCAUCGAGUGAGGAGUCAGGGCAUGAUCGGCACUCAUUAGCGCUCCUAAUCAUGCGCCCUUGUCGGCUUCUGCACGAUCUAACGAUCUUUCUCCCCCUUUCGUGAUCUGUUCUUGCUCUUCUUUCUCUCGCAACCGUUUUGAUCCAUCUGCUUUCAUCGUACGGCCCUGAUGUGUAAUAUACUACUCGGUUUUCAAAUGGGAGUGUUAACUGUUAAGUGCAAGCGGCAUGGAUGAUGAGAAGCUUAAGAUGUACUGCGUAGUGAUUGAUUAGGGCAUGAAGGGGGAUGGGAUUAGUGUGGUCCUCCAUGAGCACGCGGCAAAUUAUGUGUACAUGCAAGUAUGUAACUUUACAACAAUUAAAGGCAUUGUAUGCUUAGGAGGAAUUGCAUGCAUGUGCUAAAGCUCUGUAAAUCACAAUGUUCAAAGAUGCAUGCAUGAGAGGGAUUAAAUUAAAAAUUUCAGGCAAUCCAAGAGUUCAGUCUAUCACCAUACACAACAUGUAGUGUGCUUGUUUUCAGUAUUAAGUAUAGACGAGAUUGGCUUCAGGACCACUAUGAAACAAAUUACUUGAGAUUAUUGGACAAUUAUUUGCGAUGUAGAUCGAUGAGAUCCCUUCUUCGCUCCUUUAUUCUGCUAUCAUCUUCUUCGCUUUGCUGUGGGAAGAAAGGUAUGUUCAAUUGUUAGGUAAACCGCUAGCUUUUUCUUCCAAUUUGUUUGGUAUAUACUUAUGCUACCUUCUCUCUUAUUAAUAAUAUCACGUUCUAAUGUUGAUGGAACAUGUACCGCCUGCAAAUUCAGCCGAUCAGUUUUUUUUUUGAAAUAUAAAGGGGCAGGAGCACUAAGAAGGAAUGUUCAGGUUACAUCAAAUUGAUUACAUUGUGAAUGAUGAAAAACUCAUAACUCAUGACGCAAGGAAGCACUAACAAGCACUACUCUAUUCUUGCCAAGCAUGUUCUCAGGGGGGAAAAAUAGAAACAUAUUAUUGUAUAUGUUCGGAAGAAGAGGGAUGACACCAUUUUAGGGGUGAAAAGAAUCUUGCAGGAAAUUUGAAAUAUGUUCCGAAAGUUUUUAUUGAAUUGCCAAAUAAAUUGUCCUCGGUGAUAUUGGAAUUAGGGGGGGUUAAGGUGGUCCUCCAUGGCCAGGCACAAAAUUAAGUACAUAUGCAGGCAUGUAACUUUACAACACAAAGGUAUUGUUUACUCAGGAAUUGCAUGUGUUAAAGCUCGGUUUGUCAAUCACGGUAUUCAUAGCUGACUGAGAAAUACUAAAGAUUUCAGGCAGUAAAAGCAGAAAACUAGAGAGGCAAUGCAGACUAUCAUAUCGAUGUACUUUGGUGUGAUCUUCUUUGUGAAAAAAGCAAUUAUUGGUGAGAUCCGGUGCAGGACUGGUGUAUGGACCUGUACGUGACAUGUCGCAAAGGAAUUAUUCCUUUCCUAGGAACAAUUAAAAAUUCCUGAGAAUAAUACUCCUUAUAUAACCACUGUACAUUCGGUGUGAACUUUCAGUGGCAUAGAGGAAUUUUACCUGAACUUUUGUUUCUUUUUUUCAGGAUAGCCGUUAACUUUCCUUCAGCAUUUAUUCGGUAUGUGCUCAGUUGCUCAGUCUAGGUAUUUUAUUUUUAAUCACACACAGGCCCUAACCGUGAUGGAAUAUAUAUCCACGAGCUCAUGCUAUUGGUAAUUUUCAAUAACUUUUUAGAAUGCCAGGGAUAAACCCCAGUCCAUCAUGCAAUGCAAACAGGACAGUGCAUAGCGUUUAUCAAGCUGUUGGUGUGGUGGCCCGGUUCAAAUCCUGACGUGCACAUUAUUUAGAUGUCUGUGAGUUCAAUUGUUGUAUGCAUACUUAGUUGGUGUAGAGGCCGGAAGUUACAGUACUUCAUUAAAAAGACACAUUUCUCAGGUUUUCGGACCUGCCCACUGGGGUUACAGAAGACGCAGCACAAACUGUUGCAGAAAAUAGACCUCAGCUAAGACCUCAACUGACUGACAGGGAAGUAAGAAAUCGAUCUAUGAACCACCAAAUCCACCGGGGCAUCAGAUGUGUUCCCAGCCAGGUUCCUCCACGCCCAGCAUCACUUAGUCUUCCAGCCUGAAUCAUGUAAUUUUCAAUAAUUUAUUCAACUAAGGUUUAUAACUGAAGUGGAUUAGAAAUGAGGAAAAGGGGACAUAUUCCAACAAAAGCUUCAUGCAAUUUUAAUGGCUGUGUUUCAUCUAAAGUUCAUACAGAUUCAUACUCCGAACGGAGACAGAUUUUAUAGAACUGCAAACCUAAUAUAGUUCAAGUGUUUUUUGUUCAACAUAAAUUGGCCAAUCUCUGUAUAACAACAUUUGCAAUCGGGGUUUGCCGUGUGAAAUAUUUCUUUGAAGAAAACUGGUAUCUGCAGAAAAGCUGACAUUGAUGAUUUGUAGCAUGUUGUUUAUGACUCUAUUUUCUCAAACUUUAUGAUGGAAAAAGAAGUAAGGAAUAUUUUUGAAAGUCCUGCUCAUUGCACAUCACCAAUGUGCACCUGAGCUCUCCUGCUAGGACCGAGUGUCUUAACACAUCUUUGUAAAUCGUGUAUCAUCUACACUUGUAACCAUUCAUUACUUCGAUCCACAGAUUUUAUCUAUUGAAAUCUAGAAAGAUUUUCUUAGACAUUUUAGAAAUCAACACGAAAUUACAAGUGUACAUUGCUCGAAUCAUGGGACAGGAAACUGUAAAGAAAUGAAGAAAUUGCCACUUGCAACGAUCAUAUGCGAAGAAGGUUAAUAACUCAUGAUCAUGAUUAACAUCAAACAGUUGACCCUACAAAUACAAAAACAGAAACGACCACCGAUAAGCGACUCUACCUGACAAGUCGCGGUGAAGCCCUAAUUUCGUUGCACUUAUCAGUGAGCUAGCUAUAGCUUACGACGUCGAUCAUCAUGAGAUAACAAACGGUACGUUUGCACCCUUAUGUCAUCCGGGCUAAUCUCCUCCAAGCAUCUCCCAUGACGAUUGGCAACUCCCUUCCUGAUUCAAGAAACCAUUUCAUGAUCAAUGCAAAGCUACUAAUCAAUUUAAGAUAAUAAUGUAUAUGCUAUCACACAAUGACGUGCAGAUCUAACUUCAUUGCUAACUAACCUGACGUGCAGAUCUUCACCCCAGCAGCGUUGCCAGCAGCAAAUUCCUCCUCGCUUUCAUCGUCAUCAUCGCGACGAUCAUCUCCGUCGUCCUCAUCGUCCCCGUCGUCAUUCUCGCUGCACCGUGGCAUGUAAUCAUCACCCCCUACCUUGUUGCCGCUCAUCGCCACGCCGGCGAACAGCCCCGUCACGCUCAUCUGCUUGCUGAUCAUCCGCGCGACGCAGUACGGCAGCUUGGGGUUCGCGCCGCGCGCCGCCCUCCGCGUGUGCUUGCGCCGGCGAUCGAGCCACGCGCCGGCGAAGGCCAGGCAGUCCAGGAGGCUCUCCCUGGCCAUGCCCUUCAUGUCGUACGCCUGCGCGCGGCGCCAAAGGCUCCUGGCGUGCGCGUUCGCCGGCCGCGCCAGCGCCAGCGCGCGCGUCGCGUCGCUCACCGCCGCGUCGGCAUCUCGCCGCGCGAGCCGGCACUGCGCGAGGUUGCUGUGCAGCACCAGCCUCUCCCUCCUCCUGCUCAGGGGACACAGCUCCAAAGCUUCCGUGUACAGAUCAAUGGCCUUGUCCACGUCGCCUUGCAAGAAGCUGUCGUUUCCUUGUCUCUUCUUCUCUUUGGCUAAGAUCUCUCUCUUCAGCAGCUCAUCCCUAGGCAUUGCUUCCUCUGUCUCCUUCCUAUCUACCUUCACCUCUCUCAACCUUGCGAUCGCUUUUUUGGCUUCCAUACCUACUUCACGGCUGUCAUCAAGGAGCAGCGCAGUUGCAAUGGCAUCGCCUAGCCGUCGCCUUGGACCGAGGUGCCGGAGAUCGACCAAGUCAACGAGGCACGGCGCCGUGGCGUCAGCAACGGCGUUCCAUGUGUCGCGGUCGUCGAGGAGGAGGAGCAAGCAAUCUACGGCCAUGUACUGCCAGUCGUCGGACGAGCGCGCGAGGUCACAGAGACUGGAGAGCGCGUCGCGGCACGCGGCGAUGGCGGCGCGGCCGACUGGGCUCCUGCAGAGAAGGCGCAGCAGCCCGACGCCGGCCGGAGAGUCGCCGUUCGCCAGGCCGCCCCACAUCCGGGAGAGCUCGCGCAGGAACACGGCGUCCUGGCAUAUCAUGGCAUGAGAUGACAGGUCCCUGGAGGUGAGGCAGCUCAGGAAGUAGAGCGACCAGCACUGGAGCUGGCUCGCCCACUCCUCCGCCUUCCUGUCCUCGGCGUCGGCGCCGCCGCCGGCGAGCCCGCACGCCAUGAGGUCGCGAUGGUACUUUGGCCGCCGGCUCGGUGCCAGCUUGACGAAGCUCGCGUGGACGUCGCCGAUGCAGGUGGACGCGGCGCGCACGGCGAGCGGCACCGCCUCGACGGCCUGCCGCGCAACGGCCGGGAACGUGGCGUCGUAGCUGGCGAGGUGGCCCAGGGCUCGCGCCGCCGCGCGCUGCUCGACCCACGUCAUGGCGCCGCCGAGGAGUGCCGUCAGGGGACGCACGGCCCCCGCCGCGACGGCCAGCUCGGCGUGUGCGGAGGAGCGAAUGGUGUACGAGCCGAUGACGUGGGCGGCAUAGUACGGCACGUACACGUUGCCGCCGCGGCGGCACCACGCCGCGUCGGCGAGCGCGCGGGCGAGGAGGAGGGACAUGCACCGGAUCGCGCCGAGCGAAGGGAGCUCCGGGUCAUCGGGCGCCGCCAUUGCCGCGCGCCACACGGCGCCGACUGCCGCGGCACAUGACUGGCCGUUACUGCCGUCGUCGUCGCAGUAUGGCAGCUCCCUAAAGAAAUCGGCAAGGCUGGCACGACGGAGCCGGGCGUCCGGCUGCUUGAUGGCGCAGAGGAAGCACCCGCAAUCGCUUGAGCUGAAGAAGUCUUCAGCUUCCUCCUCCUCCUCUUCCACGAUCUUGGCCAUGGCUUUGGCCUUUCCCUUACCGUUGCUAGAUUGCUUGCUUCUGGUGUUCAGCUCCAUUUGGUACAAUGAGUUAACCUUGUGCCCGUGUUAGCAACUGGAGCUAGGUAGAAGAAAGGAAGGGGAGGCGUGAGAGAGUAGGGUUUUGUAGAAGUAGUGGGAGUAGAGAUGCAAUUAGUCAAUUAGACAUGGAUUUUUUAAGCCUCCUUAACUUCUUUUCAUGAAAGAGCAAAGCCGGAAACAGAGAACUUUCUUGAGCAGAUAAUACUGGUGUGUCAGACAGAUGUUGUAAACUUGACAUCAGUAGACAGUACUACCUGCAGGAAACUUCAUCGCACUUGCCACGUGCUUAGUUUUGUGCACUCGACAGUACGAGGUUGCAGUUAAAAUUUACGCCAGAUUUAAUUUGGAUCAGCAGGUACUAGUGUCAGAUGACUCAGAUGGUGUUGGGUUCUUUACUCUGGACUAGAUGAAGGUGUUGGGUUUUUACUCUGGACUAGAGUUCAUGUCACAUCGAAUAUUUAGAUGUUAAUUAGAAGGACUAAACAUGAACUAAUUAUAAAACUAAUUACAUAGAUGAAGGUUAAUUCACGAGAUGAAUCUAUUAAGCCUAAUUAAUUCAUCAUUAGCACAUAUUUACUGUAGCACCAUAUUGUCAAAUCAUGAACUAAUUAGGCUUAAUAGAUUCGUCUCGCAAAUUAGCCUCCAACUGUGACAUUAGUUUUAUAAUUAAUCUAUAUUUAAUAUUCCUAAUUGGUAUCUAAACAUUCGAUGUGACAAGAAUUUUAGGAGAUCCUGGAGAACAAACGGGGCCUCAGAUGUCUUGACUGACAGUGACAACAAAGAGUCCUGUCAAGACAAUCGCAUGACUGACGCUAGUCACUACUCCAUUCAGAUAGCAAUUAGGGCCGGCCGGCCGGCCGGCAAGCCGGGCACUACCGCUCUAGGGCUACGUGGCGUGCUUCAGUUCCGCCCAAUCGGUUAUCGGUCGACAGAAAUUCGGCACGCGUCGCUUUCAUUAGCGACGGAGCGCUGUCUCUGAUUGACUGAAGAAGCUGUGUUCAUGCGCUGAUCUUCAGAAGCCUAAUGUAUUUCCAGCUUCCACUCGUGAUAAUUUGCGAUGUGGUGAAGGUCUAAAGUUGCGGCUGUUAAUCCCCACAAAGCCAGGCCUAGUUUAACCAAACCUUUCUACCAGCAAUUACCUAAAGAAGGUAGCCAGCGCGCGUCAGAUUCCACCCAAUUAAUUAUGCUGAUUAGCUUGGCGUAGCAGCUAGUAACUGUACCAUUUUUACUACGUACUAGAUUUACUUUUGCAAGAACAUAUGCUCACUGCAGACUUAGCAAGAAAUAAUACACUUUAUCCAAUCAAAGCUUAACUGUUUCUAAAUAACGUUAAAUCUUCAUGCUAGUAGGCUCAUGAAAAGGUAUGGAAGCCGUUCAAAGCUUUGAUCUUAGCUUAGCUAUAGGACCUGAAGAACAAGUUAACAAUAAUGCAUGAUUGAUCUGAUCUGAUGAAGUCUGAACCAUAACUAAGUAACUGUAUUUUUGUAGGUGGACUGCACAGGUUUCUCAAGUUUGUUAUAGGUACUCCAAUGAUAAGUGAUGUUGCAAUCAGUUUAACCAAUGAACCGUGAUGCAGUAGUACGGUAGUACCAUAUUUUCCUUGUUUAUUUCUGAAAGUGGAGUUCCAACUCAGAAAGGGAAGAGUGAUACAUAGCGAAAAGGAAAAAUGCACACUGUGGUCCUUGUGGUCCUUCAAGUGAAGAGAGUAUGAUUUGCAUGCAUGCUGUCUGCUGCCCACCAAAGAAAAAGAAGGAGGAGAAAGGAAUAUGAAAGCAGCUUUAUUCCAUCUGAUAGACAGGCAACAAGCCAUUAAUAUACUUGAUAGUGUGAUUAAACAAUACCCUGGGCAAAUUACUCGAGCAGAUCAAACUGCUUAGGAAGCCAAUGGCAAGAGCCGCCAUGGAUACGCUUUGGUGAGUUCCCAUAACGUCUCUCUCUUCUUGAGACAUGCUCUUCGCCAAGAAGGCAAGAAAUAAACUAUCCAUGGGCCCGGCAUGGGCUUAGGCCCAGCUCAAUUCAUGCAUGGCCUGCUGAUAGGGCCCAAUAAUAAGCAGUUACCACUUUGCUUCCUUUUGGAAGCUGCAGCCUGCACUCUGCAGGGAGUAGUGAUUAGUGAACAGAGCUAGAUACUAGUAUGAGUGUGUUUGGUUGUUCUAGCUAAGCUAGUUAGGUUUAGAAUCUAAGCGAGGUCAGUCCAAGCCUCGAUAGGCUAGCGCAAGAGGCUCAUGUUUAGUUUGCCUGUAUAAGCUGAGUUUGGCCAUGUUUGUCCAUAUUUGGUUGCCUUGAUUGAGUACGGUCGUAAUUUCUUGACUUUGUGAGUUAAAGUGUUAAACUCUCACUCGCAUCUUCUAAGCUGUAAACCGAGAACAGACAGAGCUUCUGUAGAUUACUCAUCCACCGGUGAGUUAGCAAGCAUCAAAUCCAGAAUUCCAUUAAGACCAAGCAACGCGAGCAAUUCCUCAUGGUUCUAAAAAAAUCCUCGUGAUCAACGGAACCAAGACACAUCCAAUGAAUCGGAGUAGCUAUCUACUCCCUCCGUUCCAAAUUAUAAGUCAUUUUAACUUUCUUGAAGAGACAAAAUAUCUCAAGGUUGAUCAAAUUUAUAUAAUAAAGUAUUAGCAUUCAUGAUACCAAAUAAGUACCAUUAGUUUCUUUAUUAAAUAUAUUUUCAUAGUAUAUCUAUUCGGUGCAAUAAACUUUUGUGAUCCUCUCUAUAAUUUUGGUUAAACAUAAAAUGAUUUGACUCUUAAAAAAUUUAAAAUGACUUAUAAUUUGGAACGGAGGGAGUAUCUCCCUAAAGGAUCUCCAGUGGCAUGGUCAUGCUUCUCGAGUGCACUUGCACUUGCAGUACUAUGAGCAUGGUCGGCUACAGCAACGCUGUCCGCGACCGAUCGAUCUACACGAGACGAGACUCGUUCAGACGGUGCAGCCUCCUCCGUCCUAUACUUCUCUGAGCAUUUUCUUCCACCCGUCGCCUACAAUUUCCACGAAAACGCCAAGCCAAGGCGUGGCUGCAGACACGCACGGCGACCGCCGCGCAAGAAGCCAAGCAGGAGGGCGCAGGAACGCAACAAACCGGGGCACGUCAGGGUCCUUGUCUUGUCCGGGUCUCUGUCGAAAGCAACGCGUCGCAACAACCUCAACGGAUCCAUUCGGAGUAUUUCUUUUUUCUGCUCAUCAGGCCCUGCUGCGUGCAGAGAUGGUCCAGGACUCCAGGUUCCAGAACGGAUCAGGAAGAGGGAGGGGGCGAAAAGACAGACGCUUCUGCCGGAUGGUCCGGUCACCAGGUCAUCAGUCGCGCGUGAUGCUAACAGAAACAGAAACGCAGGACGAGAGGAGGAAGGAAGGAAAAGGAAGCUCCGUGCUGCCGUCCUGGACCCGGUCCGAGUCAACAGGUCAGUGGAGAUGGCGAUGGAUGCUUGCGUCGACGACGGGCCUCCAUGCGAGUGCUCCCCGAUUCAGCAUAGCUCCAUCGCAACAGCCUAGCCUUUUUCUAGUUCAGAUAUAUUAUAUUCAGAUACAAAGAUCACGAAACGCGUUAACACUAAGCUGUUUUUAUAUCUUGUGCGUAUACUAAUUAAAGCGGUCUCUCUUGGUGGAGAUGCGUUCGUUUGAAUCCGGAGGAAACUUUGUUGACUGAAAAGGCCACAUGUUCCUCGUAGAAACGAUCCACGGCCAAGGCCCAAUCCACUGCCAACAGUCAUUCAGGGCAACUCCAUCAUCAGUUCAUCCACCGUUUCUUUGUGAUCCUGGUCGUCAGGGCAUCGAUGCCGUCACUCUCUUUGACUGAGGAGUCAAGCGCUAUAAUGCCGGUUGAACCGAUCCACGAUCGUGGCCUCUCUUUCCACAUCGCGCAUAUUCCGAUGCAGACCCGUCGUCACGACCAUGACCGCUGACGAGUGACAGACGGCUUCGCUGCUCUCUCGUCUGAAGGAGCUCGCCGGCGGCGGCUAUGAAGAACACCGGGAAGAACAGAUACUAGAAAGCAGGAUCGUCACAUUCUCUUAAAACGAAAGAAGGAACUGAUGAAGGUUUACAGUACGUUUACGACACAGUAUGUUCGAUUCGAUACUAGCAUUUCUUUGCAGGCAAAUUCUCCUUGAACGGGAAACGGCUCGAUUCACGCGUACCUCUUGUUUAAAUCAAGCAAAAAAAGAAAGAACAGUAUGUUCAUCAAUCUCUGGAUAGCACGAGGAGCACCAGCCGAGAAUCCGAGAUCAACCUCAACGCAGGACGGGCCUGGUCGGGUCCUCGUGGUCGCCGGCGGGGCUGCAGGAGAAGACGUCGACGGGCGCGUAGGUGCCGUCGAUGUCCUCCGGUCCGGACCUGCACCUGUCCAGGAACAGCACGACGACGGUGAUGUCGUCGUGGAAGUGCCGCCGGUGGCCCUUCUCGAUAGUCCGGAUCUUCUCGUACCUGACCUCCUUCUUCCUCGCCGCCUCCAGCUGCGCGGCGCGCACCAGCCGCAUCGCCACGCCCUUCCUGGGGCUCCCCGCCACGAUCCCCACGGCGGCCUCGUCGCUGAGCUGCUCCCACAGCCCGUCCGAUGCCAGGAUGAGGAACCGGUCCUCCCCGGGGCGCAGCCGCCGCGUCGUGAUCGACGGCACGGCGCUCAUCACGGGGCGGCGCAGCGGGAACGGGCACAGCGACUGCUGCAGCAACGGGUUGGCCCUGCACAUGUCGGGCCUCUUGAGGUAGACGUCACCGAUGGAGCGGGACACCUGGAUGAUCCCCUUGAUCCGCCACACGCCGUGGCUGUUGAGCACGAUGUGCGAGUCGUCGGGGUGCAUCGCGGCCACCUCCCGCCGCACGUCCUCGUCGGCGACGUUGUGGUCGCGGGACAGACGCUCCGCCACCACCCGCUUCUUCGCCGCCCCCCUGCCGCCGCCGCCGGCGCGGCGGCCCAGCACGGCGCGCGAGUCGCCGAGGUUGGCCACGUACAGGGUCCCGCCCUCGAUGGCGGCCACCAGGCAGCAGGAGCCCACGGACAUGAUCCGCGGCUGGGAUGGCCAUGACUUCUGCACCAUGCCCACGAACUCGUCCUCCGUCGCGCCGAACGCCUUCUGGAUCACCUCCGCCGACAGGCCCCCGUUCUCGGCCGCGAAAUCUGCAGAAAACAUCAUCACGACGACAUGCGUGUCAGAAUUCACAAGACAAGGUUUUGAUCUGUGGGAGCGAAAAUGCAAUCGUAAGAGAGCGAGGACGAGACUUGACGGAUCGAUAUCAAACAGCCGCAGGUCACCUUGGAUGAGGGAGAAGAGGCGCCUGUUGACGAAGCGCGCUGCCUCGGGCCCGCCGUGGCCGUCGUAGACGCCGACGAGCGUGGCGCCGGGGGCGGCGAGCACCUGCGCCUGGUCCUCGAGCGCCUCGUUGGCCUGCGCCACGGCGACGGAGUACUCCCCCGACGCGUGCGCCUUGAGGGGCACGUCCCACACCAGCCCAUCCGCCACGCCCCUGCCUCCUCCGCCGCUGCCACAGCAGCAGCAGCACCCGCCGCCAAACGGCAGCCACCGCCUUAAACCUCCCAUGUCCACGAGCAACCCUCGAUACGAACCCGCUGUGAUUCGCUUGUGUCCACGCCGCUGCUAGCUUCCCCGGCGAUCGGUCGUGAGACGCAGAGGAUUCUCACGCAGCCCGCCUGCUAGUCGUUCGCUUUGUCCGGGCGUGGCGUGGUGUGGUGUGUGUGCAGGACUGCGACGACUGUGAGUGGAAGAAGAAGAAGAAGUGCUUGGCGUGUGCGCUUGCAGCGGACGGAUGGGCGGGCGUGUAUAGCAGGGUGGGCUGCGGGAGCACGGCACGACGUGGGGAAGACGCGUUUUUUUUGGGGGGGUUGUCCAACUUUUUCGGUUCGGCUGUCAAGCAUGCAGAUACAGUGUCCAUCUGAACGGACGGGGCCGAGGCGCCGAUCGAGCCGUCGGAGUCUUGGCGGUGUGUUGGGAAAAGGCAGCUAGCUGCGCGGUUCCGACGCGGUCGUGGUGUGCCGGGCGUUUCGGGCGCGAUUCUGAAUCUCCUUUCCCUUUGACUUCCGAGGGCGAUGGCGCGCGUAUCUCGCUUGUGGCCUUCGGUUCACCAGGUGUAAGAUAUGGAUGCUUGCUGUGAACAAAAAGGAUUCAGGCUCGUCGCUCGUCGGUCGUGCUCUUGUUCCCCCUUUGAGAUGUGAGAGGACAUUUGUCCUUCAUAUAUGCCAUUGUGCGCUUUUUUUUCAGAGGAUUACAUAUGUUUCUGCGCAUCUGGCUGAACUUGACAGCUAGCGACAUGGUCGGGCCCGUUUUCAUUUUGCACGACUAGGCUGCCUAGCAAUAGUAUGUUGGGCCAGAGACCAUGUUCGGUUUUUUUUUCCAGCUACCUUGCUUGGGUCAGCUUAACACCGGAUUCACUUUUCAAACACUGGCACAAGUGUUAAGAAGAGCUUCGUAUAUGAGAUUCAUGUCUCUUGUAACAGUAAUCUAACUGUGUUUAGCUUGGGCCCAACACGCGUCACAGAAAAAUUCGUCCAUGUAAUGUCACGAGAACUCACAACGCGUAGUUUAACAAAUGAUGAAUUUUCUUGAAUUUCAAACUUUCCUUGGCUCAUCCGUUUAUUGAAAUUGUUGCGUGGGACAAAUUUGUGUUUAAGCUAUUUUGUACGCAAGCAUCAUGUUUGGUCCUACUAAGAUAUACCAUGUAUUAGGAAUUGGAAAAUUUGAACUUGAUAAAAUUUGACCAACAAUUAGUCAAUGGAUUCAUACAAUUUUGCAAUGGUAUGAAUCGGGAAUGCAACAAUUAGUCAUCUUUACAUCUUAAUAAAAUUCCAAAACUUCCAAACAGGCCGAAACAUACCAUGUUUAUUGGGCCGAGCCCCUUCUACGCUCUGGGGCCGUCGCAGGCCGCGCCGUGAGGUCUUCCCAUUCGUCGCCCCCGCGUUGGGCAACUUGGGCCGCCGUGAGGUCUUCCCAUUCGUCGUCCAUCGUCCUCCCUCCGCCCCCGCGUUGGGCAACUUGGGCUAAACCCUAACGAAGCGCGCCGCCGGUCUCGUCUCCACCUCCAACCCUCGGCGGACGCCGUCUCGUCGAUCCCUUCCUUCUCGCCCACCGCGGAGACCGGCGUCGCAUCUCUUUUCCUUUGUUUGGGUUGAUCCCCGGGGCGGCGGCAGGAUGGCGCUGAGAGGGGUAUGGCAGCUGCAGAAGCUCGUGGUGAACUACUGCGAUUGGGGAGGGAGCAGCAGGGGGAUUAGGUAUGAUAUACUCCGUAGUUUUGUUCCUCAUUCCGGUAGUAGUACUGUAGUAGUACCACUAGACCAUGUGUUUUGGUUGCCCUCCGUGUUUUGUAGCGAGAAUUAUUGGAGAUCCGGCUGAUUUUUGUUCUUCGAUGCGGGAAUUGGUUCGGUAGUCAGUCGAUUGUGACGAAGGAUGCGCUUCCUUGCAGACUAGUGUAGCGUGUAUGCAGUUAUGAUUUGAAACCAAAGAUAAUUCGUGUUGCCUCUUUAGCUUUUAUAGGGAAAAUUCCCGUGCAGGAAUUUCAUUUCUAGACAGAGAAAUAUGUCCUGGGACUAGCGGUACUGAUAUCUGGGAAGAAGUACAAGUUAUGACCUAUGAGUAUGCCUGAUUUGUGUUCUUCAACAUAAUUUUGCUGGAGCUAUAUUGCUUUCCUGGAAGAGCACUACACUAAAGUUUAGUGGCAUUUGUAUGCCUGUAUGGCCCUUCAGAUUCAACGUGGUGCUGGUUUUAGCACUCUUUGUUACUGGAUAUCAGUGUCUAAAUUUGCUCUGUAACAACUAGCACCUUUUAUGAUUGCAGGGCCUUCAUGGAGGCACAUCUUCCAGCCUUUAAGGAAAAGAAUCCACACUUAGAAGUGGUGACUGAGCUUGUCCGUGGUCAACAUCCUAACUUGAAAGGAAUUUACAGUAAGAUCUUUUGCUCUGUCCAUUCUCCACUGUAACAUAGUUUGUGAAUUCCGUGGAACUGAAAUUUCUGAUAGGGAUGCCACAUCUGGUAGUGGCAUUAGAUGUUUGGAUUGGUAUUGAGGAGACAACAUAGGAACAAUCAUUUCACUGUAGCUUAUCUACCAUGUUCAGUUGAACAUUGAUCAGUGUAGCCAUUUGUCGGUCUUGCUCUAUUCUCUCUAGUCUGGCUUGAAUUUUUUGUUUGGAAUGCAACAUGCCUGAAGGUGGACAUAUCAGUUUAAAUAUAUUAUGUUUAACAUAAAACCUCCAUUGGAAUUGUGCAUGUUUUAAUGGAUGACAGCACCCAUCUUGGAUUGGAUGGAAUAGGGCCAUCUGGCAAUUUUUGUGGGAUGGGAGGGAUGUCGACAGAAUCUGUGGAUUGAUGAAGAUUCUUGUAAUGUAUUUCUAUGUUGUUAAAUAGGUUUGUUCUAUUAAUGGGGCCAGGGUAUGCACUAAGCAAGCAAGAUCCUGUGGGAUCAUAUUGGUAUUUUCCACUAGUAAAAUAAAUUAUUUUAGGACUGGAUAGUACUAGGAGGAUAUUCCUCAAACAAAGCUACCAUUUUUGUCAUUUCGUCGGCUAAAUUUAUUUUGUUCUUCUCAGGAAACUAUUGAUUUUUCUCUCAAUUUUCUAACUAGUGUUGUCAUUGUGCAGAAAACCAUAACGAGCGAGUGGUCUGUGUAAGAAACUUACCACCUGAGGAUAUACUACUGCAAGCCACCAGGCUAAGGAACUCUCUGGGCAGGAAAGUGGUGAAGCUGCGAACCAGACACGUCACGAAACGCCCCAGUGUUCAGGGAACAUGGACGACGGACCUGAAGAUGUGAGCCGAGCGAGCUAUCAGACAAGCUGUUCCGGUGUUCCUGAUGGUGUGAUUUCAAAAAUCUCAGCUGUGUCAAUAACUUCGUCGGAGCUGGACAUUCAGCUUGCCUGUUUCAAUAGCUAGACUCAUUUCUCCCCCCUUUUUUUGUUCCUAGUACAAUAACAUGUACACUUGGGGAUUUUCUUGUUAGUGCCAGCUUGUCAGAUAUCAGUCAGGUGAUAUUUGUCCCUUGUCUACCUUGAUUUUUCCAGCACGCAUGGUCAGUUGAAUACGCAGAAAACUCUGCUAUGGCAUGACCUUUUUUUUUUAAUCACUGGUUGGGGUGGAAAAGAUGGAAGCCUGAAACUGCCAUCAGGUUCAGCUAUACAAUACGCUGAUAGUCCGCCAGUCAAUCUUCGUGCAUUAGGUGGGUCUCAUUCUUCUUCUAGCGACGCUGGUGAUGUAAACAAUUGAACUAGAAGACAUCCACGAAUCCACCCUCUGACUAGUGACUACCGACGCGGCAAGCACCCGAGGGGAAGGCAGAGCGUCAGAGCCAGGCCGCCAUAGUUGAAGCCGUCAACGCGGCGGGGAGAAGCAGAAGCCGACGCGACGAGCCGCCACAGCCAAUCACACGGCUGCCUCUCCUAUGCCAGCAUGCGACAGCAGCCUCCACCCCGGCGUCGCUUGCCAGCACCAGCAUCUUUUGUUAGGCUGCCGAUAAAUGAAUAAACAUCCCUAACGAGAAAGAAAAUGGAUAAACAGGCGAGCUAAGCAUCAAUUCCACCUCGAACAGCUGAGAACUAAGCUGAGUAUGCACGCAUUUUCGAUGGCAACAGCUUAAUGAUAUUGUAAUCUUAUAAUCUGACGGUAACAGCGUGGCAUCCCGACAUCCCACACGGCAGCGGAGUGGCCACGUUCCCAGCACGGCAGCGCAAGCGCGGCCGCGGCGUUCCCACGCGGGCGCGCCCGCCACCCCGCCGUCCCCGCAAGCGCGACGCAAUAAUAGGCAGCCACCAGCCGGGCGCACCAGGAAGGAAAUAGCGGCGAGCAAAAGCGGGCGGAAAGGAGAGAGAGAAGGGGAAAAGAGCCAGGCUCGCCGUUCCCCCACCACCACCGCGCCAGCAGCUCAAAUCCUGAAUCCGAUCUCUCUCUCGCCCGAGGUUCUCGGUUUUGACCCGGCAAGGGGGGCAUGGCGACGUCGUUCGACCGCUGGGAGAAGGACCCCUUCUUCCUCGCCGCCGAGGAGGUGCAGGAAUCCGCCGAUCGGUGCGUUGCACUUUCCAUUUCCGGGGUGGGGUGGGUGGGUGGGGGGGCGGGGGCGGCGCGGGCGAUCUCGUCUUCAUGGCGCGUUCCGCCUUGGAUAUUUCCCCCGGGUUGCGUCGCGUUCUCGCGGAUCUGGUGCUAAUAUUUCGCGGGUUUUUUUUGGGGUAUCUCUGCAGGAUGGAAUCGGUGUACAGGAUAUGGGUACAGGAGAGGAGCGGGGGCGGGGGCGAUUCGGAGGCGGCGGGCAUUAGUGAAGGGCCUACGGCCGCCGAGCUUCGCCGCGAGCUGCACACGGCGCUCGGCACCGCCAAGUGGCAGGUGAAUUGGCUGCUCUCGUCGUUCAUUUCGUAGUUAUACCAUUCCGGGAUCCGAUUACGGUAGUUCCCUUGCUAAAUUUGUUACUGUUUUGUAACAUAAUGGAUAUAUUCUAGACAGUAACAGAUGUAAUACUGCUCCACAAAAGUUCCCUUGCUUAAACGAUUACUGACAAUUGAGCGUACCAUAGUGUUUGAUUCAUUUCUUCUGCUUAUGAGUUGCCGUAUUUGCAAAACUGUUUUAGAAACCAAACUGCUUUAAGAACCACAUUUAUGUGAAUGUAUGUGAUUGAGGUUAUAUCAUCCAUUUUAUGUCAGGGGCCCAAACCAUUAUUAACGUUUUUUGUAAUUAUAGUACAGAAACUUGAACAUUGCUAUUGGAUUAAAAAAACAAAAGCUCAUUCCUUGAUUUGAUUUUCCUUCUUUUAGCUUGAUGAACUGGAGCGUGCAAUCCGAUCGAACGACCGUGUUAUCUCAGCAGGAAAAGAUACAAGAGCUAGGCAUGAUGACUUUGUUGCAGCAAUUGGCUAUCGCAUAUUAGAGGUUGAAAACAACUUGAAACAGUCCAAUGUUGCAGAGGGGAGGGGCCCAUUGAGCUGGGUUCAUUUGGAUGAGGAUGAGCGGGAUGACCUUGCGGCUUUCCUAUCUGCCGGCCCUUUUCAGCAGAAAGACAAAGUGGUCACAACUUUGGCAGGUGAUAUUGAAGUGGGCAGCAAUGCAACAAGGAUGAAAAAUGAUAUAUCAACCGACAGCUCCAAGGAUUCAGCUGGUUCCACGGAUUUGAUUUCCGGGAGAGCAAAGGACGAUUUGCAUCGUGGGCACAGAAGAGCAGUUAGUGCCAGUGCUGAUAUAGGAUCAUGGAGCAUGUCGAUUCCUAAUGAAUGUGAAGAAGAUUUGGAACAAUCAUCUGAUGGCCCACACAAAGCGUCUUUGCUUAAGAUAGUGAAAACUUGUGCAUUGGCGAGUGCCUUGCAAUCUAAGCCUAGAAUGAAGUGCAAAAAUGGAGCUGUGAGGUGGGCAGGUGUUAACUCACAAGAUGUUGAAGAGGCUAUCCCACUGAGCACUUCUCAGUUGACUCAGGUAAUGGAUCUUACCUGAAUGAUGCAAAUAUACUUUGUUCUAUAGCUCUCUCUUUGGCUAUAUCUUACUUCGCUAUCCUUUAUAUUGCUAUUCCUCAUUGUAGGGCUUAGACGGAUGCUUUGAAAGGAACAAGAGUUGCUUAAGUGCUUGUGAUGAGGAUACAUACAAUAAGAAACUUUAUGGUUGGCUUGGAGCCCUUCAUAGACAGCUUCAAAGAUCUCAGUAUCAAAUUCGAUAUGGGCGUCCUGUUCAAUUUGUUGUUUUAGCACUGGCUGCUCUUGUAAUAUGUAAGUCUGCUUGCCCUUUUCUUUGUCUAUUAUUAUUUUGUUUCUUGGUCAAGUAAACAGAAAUAAAGGCUAGUACUGUUAGUCCCAAUCAAAAAAUAUUUGUAUUCAUUCUGAAUAUAUAUUUUUUACUUAACCGGAGCUUUUGGUGAAUAAAUCUUGAUAGAAAUGUUGCAUAGUGUUUUUGUUUCAUAUUUCUUACUUGCUCAUGCAUUUAUCACUUGGUGUGAUUGUCUAUAUUAAGGUGCGGCCUUUUGACCUUGUCUCUGUACACACAUUGGCACUUAUAUUCAUACUGAAUCCUUGUUACAAAAUUUGUGUUGUCUUCAGUGUUGCGCAACUUGGCAUUUUACCCAUUGUAUAUACUUACUAUUUCUUUUACUUUGCAGUUGUGUGCAUAUUGAGGACAAUUUGGUGACUGUUUUUAUUUGGUCACAAUUGGAUUUGAAGCCUCACAAUAUCAGCAGCCUGUAUGGUACACAUUCAUUGGUUGUUAAGUAACUUUUGGCCAAUCGGAGCCUGAGUCAUGCACAUUUGGUAAAUGUGGCAGAUUGUUUGUGGUAAUCAAGGUUGAAAGGCAUGUAGUGUAAUCUGAUUGGAGCAACUUAUCUUGCCACAUCUUCUGGGCAGUCUACCUAAUCCUCGGAAAAACAUCUUCGGGGCGGUUGGCUUCAUCCUUGGAUAUGUGCUGCACCAUGCCUAGCACGCUUGAUGAUGCACCUCAAGAAUUCAAUCCUCCAUGGUGGCCAAUUGGCACCUAUGUAAUGGUCUUGUAUAAAUCAGUGGCCCACUGGACUGGUGAUCAUGCUGCUAAGCAGAAUUUCAGGUCUUGUGCCAUGCAUCAGUGCUGCCACUUUUACUGCCUGACUUGGAAGGGUGGUGAAUUUUUGUAGUUGUCAUCUAAACUGUAGUUAGUUCAAUAGGGGGUAGGCUCGGAUGCGAAAUGUGAAAGAUACCAGAAAUAACUGCAUGGUAUCUGUUUGUACUUCGUCCCCCUUAUAUUACAACAGGAUUAGGAACCUGGUAGUCCCCAGAGCUAGCAGUAUUCGGCCUUUGCAGUUGUUGUAAUAAGGUGACAGCUUGUGCGGAUUGUGUGGAAACUGCAUGUUACUGCUAAAUUCAGUGAAGGAUGACAGUUCUACAGUAAAUACUACUUAUGUAUUUGGAACAACCAAUCCUGUAGCCCGAAGUUUCGUUAUGACUGAGAGAUUAAUACUUUCUCAGCAACCGUUUCUACUGCUGGUAUUUGUAGCUGCACUAACCCAAUCCCAGCUUUGUCCUCAGUAAGCAUUCUUGGUCGAGUGUUGGCUAGACACGAAAUUUGCUGCCGCAAACUCGUUUUCAUGGGAAAUCAACAAAAAGCCUCGAAACCCCCUUGUCUCUGCUGUAGCUCAACUGGUCUGGCAGCUUUCUGAAACCAUCUCCUUCCUCGCGGCGACCGCCCCGAUCGUUUCGAUAGUGAACCUAUUCCUGAUAACCGAUCCAUGCGGAGCUCUAUUGUUCAAUAGAAUGCUCAGAGAAAGAACGAAGAACUGAAAUUCAGAGAGAUAAAUAUAGAGCUGACGCUGUUGACAUACAUUAGCCAUGUUCCUCGCACCUCACAGCAAGAUGCAUGUCAUAGAAACUGAAAUUCAGACAUCAGAACAUUAUCAUGAGUAGAACAAGAUUAUUUGCUUACACACAGAGAUAAGGGUGCUUCCUAAACUAUACUUCUAUCAGCCCCCUUUCACAAACACUAUUCAAGCCUCUUUAGGGCCGGCACAACAAAAGAUAUUCAGGGUUACACAAUGAAAUUCAACAGGGCUGUCAUAGAAGCACCAGAUAACAGGCACAACCAAAACAGCAAAGUAUAGCAAUGCAUUCUUGUGCUGGUUAUAAUCCUAUAUCGGAACCAAGGGGCUUGUCAUCAGGACCGUGACCGAAUAUUCGUUCGACAGUAUGGGCAAUCUGCACAUUUGCGCACCCAUGGCUCCAAGCAUGUCGAGUGGAACCUGUGACCACAGCGCAGCCUUAUCAGCUCAUCUCCAUCAUAGAAUCCAUCGAGGCAAAUGGAACACUCCGGCGAGGGCUCCCUGUUGUCAUCUUUGCUAGCCUCAAAAAUCUCAAUCUGCAGCCUCAAGAAAGCUGCCUUGCUAAGUCCGGAUGACCUGUGUAAGUUAGUGGAACUGAUGGUUGGUAUUUCUUCAUCUGAUUCACUGCUCAGGUGGUACGAUGAAGAGUUGGGCCCAUUUGCCUGAUGCCGGGUUUCCCUGUUUCUGAAGUCGAUGAAUCUAAACACAUCGCUAGCAGAAAAUUCAUCUAAUGAAAUAGAUGGCCUGGAGGCAGAUGAACCGAGAGAAAUGCCUCUUAGUCUCUCCAGGACACGUGCUUGUGCUUGCAGUACAGCACCUGGAAGCCGUUCAUUUGUCCUGAACAUCAGCCUAUCAAGUCUGUUCCUCCGAGCAGCAGAAUCCCCAAUGUUAUUAUUGUCUAGGUAUGAUAAGAUCUGGUCCUGUAGAGAGCAAGAGAGAGAACACAAACAAUAGCACAAUUUCUUAAAUGAAGUUGGUUAGAUAUCCAAGGGAAAUGAAUUGCAUCAUUUGCCAUGGUUUGAAGCUUCCCCUAGAAAAUAUCUGAGAUCCAAUUUACAUGACAAAGAAAUCUAGAGUUACUUGAUGGAUAAAAUGUGCACGUCGACUUAGAAUUCUAGUGUCAGGAUAGAAUGCAGUUCUUAAUGUACAUUCCAAGCUAGCACAUGACUAGGUGAGGCAAUUGUUGUAUUCAUGGUGAUGAAAGAAAAAUGCCAUUACAAGACAUUACUGUUUCAUACAUCAAGCCUUCCCAAAAAACAAUUCUGAGGUACGUUGCUUAAGCAAACUGCAAACGCCUACUUGCCACAAAGUAUAUCCACAACUAGCAAUGCAAAAGUGUGGGUUAAGACCAUAAGCAAUGAUGCGAACAAAAUCUACUACAUAGUACAUACACCAAUACAACGAGCUAGGCUCAUUUCAAUUCUUCUUCAACAUGGUGGUGCCAGUGGGAUCAUGAAAAGCCUAACCAAAACGAUUCAGAAUUGCGCGCAGGCCGAACUCGGAACCCAAAUCCUCCCGACGAAUUAUACAAGCCUACGCCGGAGAUGCACCGAUCCAACCAUAACACAAGCAAUACGACAAUUAUCGAGCGGGAGGGAGGAGGAGAAGGCAAGGGCGGGGGAGGCUUCUCACGGUGUACGACCCGCGGCGUCGCGGCGGCGGUGCCCCGGUGUGCAGGUGCUGGCGCACGUCCCCCGCGGCGUCGAGCUGGCGACGCGGGCGGCACCCGCGGCGCCUCCUCCGUCCGUCGAGGCCGUGCGGGUCCCGGAGCGCGUCGGCGUGCGGAUCCGGGUCCGGGCCGGGGUCGGCGAGGCGGGCCCCCCGGGUGGCGCGGCGCGCGGUGAAGAGCUCGGAGGCGCUCGUCAUGGCCGCGCACGGAUGUGGCAGCCGGGGAAGGGGAGCGUGGGCGUGGCAGUGCCCUGCUGCGCCUGCGCGAGGGCACACACAGAUUUGGCUGGUGGGUUGGAUUAAGUUCCCGUGGCCUUUUUUAAUGCCGCCGCUUGCUUGUUUUGGGGCAAGGCAAAGGCAAAGGGGGAGGGGGAAGGGGACGAGACGAGUGGAGGAAGGUGCGAGGAGGCCGCGUGGUGCGGACGACGGGGGCCGAGACCGGUGGAGGACUGGACGGCGACGGCGACGGGUUGGGUGCCCGCGCUGGAUUGGAAAUUUCAGUGGUCGGACGCGGAUUACUUCAUUGAACAUUGAUUGGUCGUUUCGUCGUCACUCGUCAGUGUGGUCAGUCACGGACGUCAAGACCGAGAGGCGAGACCCAAUUAUUGGGCCGUCGGCCCGGGUUAUAUGGGCCUUGACAUGAUAACAUUCUUGUAGGGAGGCCCAAUUAUUGUGUUCCAGACAGAGUCCAUUGGGUGUCGGGUCCAGAGUCCACAUCAAGUCAGGGAACUAGGGAAGGCAUACAGCGUACGAAGCGAAGUGAAGCACGGCUGGGUGCCGAAGAAGAGUCGCCGGAAAAACGACGUCAGAUAAGGCACGGGGUUGCAGCUAAAUGCCAAACACCACUGACAAAAGAAAACUAAAUGCGAAACGAACAAUCUGCCGGAUUGGUCGGAUUCGUUUUAUCCCGCUGCAUUUAUCCAUCCACGGCGAUGUGCGAUGGCGCGCCAGCGUGUGGCUUCCGGCGGCCGAACCUGCUUCACUCGCUCCGCACUGUCGCGAUUUCCUCUGACGUCGACGUCGCCUCGGGGAUGGAAGAUGAGGAGGAGAGGAGAAUAUGGGGGGAGGAGUUACGUAGGGAGGGCAGAGCGGGAGAGGUGAACGUACGGUAGCUCGGUGACUUUUGCGAAAGGGUUGAAGGAUGGAGAGCCGGUUCGAUACGCCGGCGAUGAAGAGGACCAGCGACUGGUAUGGUACCUUCGAACUCCUCCUCCCGUACUGCUCCUCGCUUUCUUUGCUUUCCAUUUUGGUAUAUGCUCUUCAUGUUCGAGUUUCAAUUGUUGGUAUGAAGCAUGAACCGUCUGUAACCGGUGCAGACAGCUUGUUCAGAUUGCGUUAAACUGAACGAACAGCAGUUUUAUUCAUCAAGCAACAUGUGAUCUGUACUUCAGAUCUUGUUCAUGGCGUCACUCGCUUAAACUGAAAAUGAAGCUUUUCAAAAGAACAGGUUUGUGAAAUUUGAAGCUCUUUGUUCCGCUUCAUUGUUGCAGGGUCCUUUCACAAGAAUAUCCGAGCGAUAUUACCAUCCAGGUCGGGGAGGCGACCUUCAACUUGCACAAGGUAACCUCAAGAAUCACGGCGCUUCCGUUUGUGUUCUUGGCUGGGAUCCGUAGAAAGUUUCGGUCCUGACAAUAAGUGGCGCGAACGCUGCUGCAGCUCCCGCUGGCGUCUCGGUGCGGCUACAUACGGAAGCAGGUGUCGGGGAUCAACGGCUCCAAGUUCACCACCCACAUCGACCUCACGGGCAUGCCGGGCGGCUCCAGGGCGUUCGAGCUCGUCACAAAGUUCUGCUACGGCGAGAAUUUGGAGAUCACCGAGGACAACGUCGCGAUGCUGCGGUGCGCCGCCGAGCACCUGGAGAUGACCGACGACAGCAACGGCGGGAACCUGGCCGGCAGGGCGGAGGCCUACCUUGAGGCCGUGGCGCUGAUGAGCCUCGCCGGCGCGGUCACCGUGCUCCGCAAGUCCGAGGAGCUCCUCCCGGUGGCCGAGGAGGUGGACCUCGUCGGCCGGUGCAUCGACGCCAUCGCCCACAUCACCUGCAACAACAGCCAGUUCAGCGCGGCGCUGGGAUCCACGGCCGGCGGCUACAACAGCGUGAGCGUGUCGAAGGCCGUUGACGCCUGGUGGGCCGACGAGCUCACGUCGCUGCGGAUCGACACGUUCCAGAGAGUCCUGAUUGCGAUGAAGGCGAGGGGGUUCAAGGGAAUUGCCUUGGGGACCCUGAUCAUGCUCUAUGCCCAGAAGUCUCUGCGAAGACUGGUGACAUGUUCUGAAUUUUACAUUCACAAAACAUCAGUGCAGCUAACAGUUCUCGCAUUCAUCAUCUGACAUUGUCGAGCUUGUUGCAGGACAUGCAUGGCAGAGACAAGAAGAAGAUGGACCCGAGGCAAGAGCACGAGAAGCGGGUGGUCCUCGAGACGAUCGUGAGCCUGCUGCCCAAGGAGAAGAACUCCAUGUCCGUGAGCUUCCUGUCGAUGCUGCUGCGGGCGGCGCUCCACCUGGACACGACGCUGGCGUGCCGGCUCGACCUCGAGAAGCGGAUGUCCUCGCAGCUCGGGCAGGCCGUGCUCGACGACCUCCUCAUCCCGUCCUCCUCGCUGGACGCCGGCACAACGUUCGACGUCGACGCGGUGCAGAGGAUCCUGGCCGGGUACCUUGAGCACGAGAGCGAGGCGGCCCAGCUGGACUACAACACCGACGACGACUUCAUCUCGGCGGCGUCGCCGCCCAACGACGUCGGCAUGGUCGGCAGGCUCAUGGAGGCGUACCUGGCUGAGAUCGCAUCGGACGCGAACCUGCCCAUCGACAAGUUCACCGGCCUCGCCGAGAUGAUCCCGGAACGCGCUAGGUUUAACGAGGACGGCAUGUACCGCGCCAUCGACAUCUACCUCAAGGUAAGAAUCUCAGAUCAAUUAUUUAUUGUACUGCAUUGUUGGCUAUGGUUUGUUCCUCAACUCGAUGAUUCUGUUCACGAUGGGUUAUGGAUUCCUUCCUGCAGGCGCAUCCGCAUCUGAGCGAGCCGGAGAGGAAGAAGGUGUGCAAGGCGAUGGACUGCCAGAAGCUGUCGCGGGAGGCGUGCGCGCACGCGGCGCAGAACGACCGGCUGCCGGUGCAGACGGUGGUUCAGGUCCUGUACCACGAGCAGCGGCGCCUGCGCGAGGCGCCCACCCACGCGCCGAGCGGCGCGUCGUCGUUCUACGGCGGCGAGUCCCCGCCCCCGUCGUUGCCGUACAAGCCGACGCCGAGCCUCAUGGGCCGGCACGCCCGGGGCGGCGCCGCGCCGGCGGAGGAGGUGUCGCAGCUGCAGCGGGAGAACGACGAGCUCAAGAUGGAGCUGCUGCGGCUGAAGAUGCGCCUGAGGGACCCGUCGGCGCCGCUCCCUCCGACCGGCGCCGCUCCGCCGCCGUCCGGGCGGCACUCGAUGCCGAAGAAGCCCGGCGCCGGCGGCGGAUUCAUGAACAACGUGUCCAAGAAGCUCGGGAAGCUGAACCCGUUCGUGCGGCACGACGCCAUGGGCGUCCCGAAGGUGCGCACGAAGCCGCCCAAGGAUCGGAGGCACUCGAUCGGCUGGUGAGGCGGCUUGUGUUCUUAUGGCCGCCGGCUUCUUCCGUCUUGAACCAUGACGGCAACUUCACUUGAACAACAAUGGCUCAGCUUUUGAGUUGUGUUUAGUAGAUACGAGUAUAGUAAUAUGUAGCAAUCUCACUUGGACAUAAAUACUAAGCAUGUUACCAUGUUAGGGAGCAUGGAUUUCAGUGGGCUGUAAAUCCUGCAUUGUACCUAAAUGUUACAGAGGAACUUCUGUGUAAAAUUUUGAAUUAAGCUUCAGUGCAAACAGUGCUCUGAGCUCUACGUACAAUGCUAACAGUGGUAUAAGCUGCUGAUGGAUCUGUCGUAUUCGCCCUGGAUCUGAAAGCUCCAGCACAAAGGGUACACAAAAAUGUUUGUUCCACUUCAGAUUACAAGUGACAAAUAGCCUUUGGAUCAUGACAUGGCUUUUGGCUCCUGUACAGCAUCAGUACAUGUGGACAUCUCAGAACAAACAAAGAGGCGCAAGAGAUAAGUAACACAUGGCGAUCUGUCAGGGAAAGAGAGAAAUCCCACACAAUUGCAAGCAAGCAUGUCAACCAUCGAUGGGAACGUCAGCUGAUGUGUUUGUACGUAUGUGUGCUUGAGUCUGUACUCUACUGAACUAAACCACAGUUAAUAGAUUUCCAAACUCCCAAAAUUUCUAUUCUGUCAGGAAGACUAAAGGAUUUUAAUGCUUCUUUGCAAAGAUCAGAGCAACACGACGGAAUUAGAGGACUAAAAGCCAAUGAAUUAUGAUGACUUCAUCAUGUCAGAGCUCGCCGGCGUUCUCAACUGCCACGGCAAGCUUGUUCUCAGAUGGAGACACGCGAACACGAGGUGGAAGAACACACACAAACUGUGCUGCAAUGCGGCAGAUUUUCUGACCCUUGUAUUGCAAAUAAAUACCCAAACAAACAAACUAAGCUUUGGCCAUUAACAUCUACGAUGUCGCGCACUCCACACGCCCGAAACGGCCAGGGCCAUCCCCCCGGCCAAGCAAGUGUAGUGCGCCCUGAAAAACUUCCUAAAGACUCACGCUACCUCCGCAUGAACGCAACAUGCGUCAGGUGCCAACGGACGCGCCCAAAUGACAACGAUCAGGCUCAGCUUAUUCUAACAAACUCUAACUAACCAGGAGCGCGUGAACAUGCAUAGGAUUAUCUAACACCUCAGCACCAUUAGCUCUCUAUAUGCGAUGUACAUGGUUAGGAGUCAUCCGGACACAGAAACUCUAACAGUGUAAUAAAAAUGGCUCUCUAGGCGAUGAUUGUGAUUUUGGUGAUUGAAUGACAAUAUGACCAUAAGAACUAAUAUGUGUAUCAAGAAUGAGCACUUGUAGGGUUUCAUAGGUUCCAUGGAUACAUCACAAAUAAAGAUACCAAAGCCGGGACAAAGAGAGGAAUGAACUGUACUUGUCCCAUGAAUAAUUAUUUUUGGGUUGAUCAAAUGGCUUGGAUUUUUACAAAAUCAUGUAUAAUACUUCACAAGCUUUCCAUAGAGUCUAAGAUCAUCAAAAUCAGCCUCUGGAGUAGAAAGUUAUGCCCAAAAUAAGAUUUGCUAAAAAAAUGGCUACAGUAAGUUCCGAUGGUACCAUCGGACUAAGCAGAGGAACAUCCGGUGCUUACAAAAAUACACCCAACGGAUGAUUUGAUGAACAUACAAGGACAUGGACCGGAUCAUCCGAUGCUACCAUCGAAGUUUGCAUAUUUACUUUGUCAAAAUCUCUAGAGGUUGAUAAAUAGGUGAGGGGCACUGGAAGGUCCGACACUUAAAAAUUUGUAUGCGUCGGACUUUUAGAUCAUUCAUCGACACUUAAAGGUCUGAAUUUUUUCAAAAUCUCAUGUAGAAUUUCAUAAGCUUUCCAACAAGUACAAGAUCAUCAAAAAUGGAGUUUGGAGUAAAAAGUUAGGACCAAAAUACGAAGAGUAGCGACGUGGUGACCGGAGUUUGGACUUUUAGCAUUCAUCCGGUGCUCAAAAAGUGAUUAAAUGGUAUGGAGUUUUUAAAAAAAUCAUGUGUAGAAUUCUAUAGGCUUUCCAACAAGUACAAGUUCGUCGAAAUGGGAGUUAUGAGUUAUGGUCAAAAUACAAAGGAGCAUAUGGUAGCACCAAUUAUUCUGAUGCUACAAAAAUACAUACCAUCGGAACAUCCGAUGGUACACUUUAACUAGCCGUUGGAGCAACAGCUCUUUGAUGCCUUGGACUAUUUAUACCCUCCUCCACUCACCCAUUUGAAGUUGCCGGAGCGUGCAAGAGUCCAUUAGAGUGCAAGACACAUCAAGAAGACAUCAAAGCCACCAAAAGUGCAUAAGUCAUUAAUCAAAGACUUAGCACAAGUUUAGAAGAGUGAUUAGUGCUAGGAUAGGUCUAGAGAGGAGAGAGUGCAAAGUGUGCUUACUUUGAUCGGUUCAAGGAGUGAACCACAAGUGUACAUGGUGUGCCGGUGCCUUAGAGCCUUGGUGGCUCGCCGACAAGUCUUCGACCCUCCAGCUUGGUGUGGAGCGACGUCGACGACCGUGUGUGGGGUACAAGGAGACCCCCUCCUUCGUGGAGAAGCUCCGUAGUGGAUACGGUAUCAAGGUGACCGGAAGAGAGGGAGUGGUGAGCCUUGCCAUAGUGGCAAACUUCUCAUCUGGCUUGGCACAAGCCUUUGUUGCGAGUCCAAGACCUUGACCGGGAGAGACUUGAUCACCGGGAGCAUAUCCUUGGUGGAGCUCCAAUGUGGACUAGGGUGACAUUUGCCAACCGAUACCACAGGAUAAAUCGUCGUGUCGAAUUUGCAUUCUUCCUAACCCACUCCUUUACAUUUCCACAUUUCAUACAUGCAACUUAGGUGCUUUACUCUCUAGAGUAGUUUCUAGAGUAGUAUCUAGGAUCGGCUCUAGGUUGCGAAACUUGUUUUGGGUGGGAAGCACUAGAUCAAUUAUAGAUUGUACGUCUAUAUAGCAUGAUCUAGUUUAUAUUUUGAAGCAAAUAGUGGAAGUAUAGGUUAAGAAUUUUAAGUUUGACUAAUUCAACCCUCUCCCCCUCUUAUGCUACGAGCAUCGAUUCCUUACGAACAGUUCCAAGCAUUCUGCAAAGACUUAAAUACUCAUAGAACUGCAAGGUUUCACAGCAAUGCAUUCGCUGAACAAGCCAUUCCCUAUUUCCUUUGUACAGGUUACACUAGAUAUGCCCGAGUCAUGGAUCAUGCGCAUACUUCAGCUUCCGAUUCUAAUACUAUUAGCUGGGGCCACUCUAUCCCGUUGGCGCUAAAACCACAGUUGGGUGCUCGAACUGCUCCAAAAUCAGGCUCUAUCCUCCUUUUCUAACCAGCUGCUAAGACACGGGUAGAUGCGACUGAGUACAAGUUCAGCACAAAGGACGGUGAGAGAGAAAACGAACACAUGAAUGCCAUUGCUACUGCAGUCAUGAAACUAGAACAGUGGUUCUCCGAGCAUAUGUUCAGAUCGUUGUCGAUCAAGACGGUGAUUCCUGCCGCAGCGCAUGCUCCAGAGAAUGUUACUCCGCAUGUGAUCUGCCAUCAAACAACUGUAGUCACUAAAACAGAAUGCAGGGAAUCAAAAGAUAAAUGCACUCCUAGCUCCGCUAAGCAAAUCUGCAAUUCUGGAGAGGCAGUUUAAGUCGACUGUAUAAUCAGACUACUUAUUUGCUUUAUUUGCGAUACACAACUGAUAUUCUGCAUCAUCACAUCAAUAUAUUCUUAAAAUAAUGUCGGAAUAAUCCCAGUUAUAUGGUACUUUUCUGUGUCAUGGGUAGUUCACUACAGAGGAGACUUGAGGAAUUGUUCAAUAGCACUUAUCUGUAAACCUUACAAAAUAUUAUUGGGUAUUGACUUAAUCCAUUUUAUAAGCAUCACAAAGAGCAAGGAUAAUGUUUUACAUACCGUAUCUCCAAUGGCAAAGAGAGUAACAAGCCGACGGUUUCUUAAACAACGUUUAACAAGCAGUGCAUAUAUGUCCACAAUGGCUACUGACAGGCUCCAAACACAUUGCAAAAUAGCUGCUGCAAUAAGGUAGCUGGCCAAAAAGACAAUUCAUCAGUUUGUUACACGCAAAACUAAACCAAAUUUAAUGAGGGGGCAAAGGCUCAAGGUUGAGGAUGCCAAAGAGAAAUGCAGAACGGGGCAUACAAAAGUCAAUCACAAAAACAAAUAACGAAUGCAUCAGAAUUUUCAUUUUCACCCACAAGAACACCGUCCCUGUUUCUCUACAAUUGCAAAAGUACCCACUCAUGUCUAUCAAAAUCAUAAUAAAUAAAAGAAAGAAUACGUAACAAAAUAGCACCAGGCAUAUAUAAAUUUCUACUGCCCAUAAUCAGAAAACAAGUAACAAAAUAGUAGAUAUUGCAUGCCAAAUAAACUAGUAAAAUAUUCCUUUUUCAGAUAAAAUAGAGGUUUACCUUAAUCUUAGCAUUCUAAUUAAUUCAGGAGCCACACUGUACUUAUUUGUACAAUUAUCAUUGUUCCAUAUUGCAGUAUGAUGAACAAGUUUAUUUUUAUGGAAAUUCUUCAGAAAUGACUACAUAAUCACUGGAAAGGUUGGGCAUCCAUAGACCAUGGUUUAUGACAGACUAAAACAUUAGUACCAGGAAUCGUUUAGUGAGGCAAUGAAGUGCCAUGAUAAACCAUGAUUAUCAUAUGAAAAAAGCUGCUUCCAAACAUUUCUGCUUAUCCCACAGUUUACCAAAAGAAAACGAAAGAGAAAGAUCAUUUAGUGGUUCUGAUCACUAAAGAGAACCGAUAAUAUAGACAAUGAUGGUUAUAAUAUGUUAUUGCGAUCCCUGUGUUACCAUGGUAGAUAAUGCGAUGGCCUACCAUUCACCCAAAAAUGUGUAGCAGAGAAAGUUUCACACCAUAUAUCUGAAACAAAUUUGUAAUGUCAAGGCUUCCUAUUUAUUAAUAAGACCCCUGUGUUCACUCCAGCCCCAGCUCAACGUUGUUCAACUAAGCAGUCAUACGAUCUAUUCAUAACCUUGGCAAUCUAGACCCAGAAGGCCAGAACAGGCCUGUCGCAACUCAAGCCUGAGCAGGGACAGAUCAGGAAAAGGUCGAGAGAACAGAUGGAUGUUAAGCACUCAAUUAAACCUUGUAAAUUUUUUGAAAAUACAGCGCAAUGUCCUAGCACUGUUUUGCACUAAACUAUUGACCAGAGAUAUAGAUUUUCUUGCCCACAUUCAUUAUCUGCCGAUAAAUUCAAAAAUAAACUAAAUAGCUUGUCCUAAACAUCAAACAUUUAAAAAACAUAGGGAGUAUCCAUUUUAGCGCUGGAGCCCAGUGGCUAAAGGAAAUUUCAACAGUCUGCAAUAUGACAACCAACAGAACCAAAUACUGAACUACAAUUGAAACGAAUGCUGCUUGCACACACUUAUUUGAAUAGGGCACUCCAAAUACACUACCUUUAGCACAUAAGGCUUUCCUUUUUUUUCUCUAUUUUUUUCUGGUCUAUGUGCCAACUUGAGGCCUUGAGAGCGGUUCUUGAAAAAGAAAAACAGAAUAACAUGUCACGAGCGUGUGGCAGCUCCUACCAUGAGAGAAGUUGCAAGCCACAGGACUCGAGCAAAGAUGACAACUAAUUAGGUGUAACAACUGGAUUCACAAACUAGCAGUUGGUCACAUACCAAGACUUUAUUCAAAUCACGGUUAUAAAACCAAUCGACCAUAGUGAAAAACUGAAAGACUGGCCUGUGUGAAAGGAACCCGGAGCAAGACAAUUUGGUGGUUCAGAGUAAGUCACACGCAAAACUGCGCACACGUCAGUGUUAGAAAAGGAGUUCCAAGGUCUCACAUCCCAUUGCUGAAUUAAGCAACAAUCCAAGACAUGAAGUCCCAGGAGCUUUAACUCCUCAACAGCAAGCCCCACGCUCAACUACCUCAAACUUACAAGUGUGAAUACCCUUUUACUACCCGCUAAGGUAUCUAGCUGAACAUCACGGAUCACACGAAUUUGCCUUUUUCUAAUCCACCAAAUCACAGCAGAGCACAAUGCAAUUCCAAAAUCCUAACCAAGCGGCCGGAGAACAAAACGCGGUAGUAAAUCGGAAAUGAAGAGAAACGGGCUGGAGGAGGUACCAGAAGGCGGAGACGGAUGCGAAGUCGCUGGUGGACGACAUGACGGCGAGCGACACGGCGGCGAAGAGGAGCUGCGUGACGCGGAGGCCGAGCCCGCUGGGCGUCCCCGGCAUCCCGGGCAGGUCCUUCAUCAGCACACCCGGCGGCUGCUGCGCCGGGUUCGCCGGCGCCGGCGCCGGAGCCGCGACCUCCAUCGGAUGCACCACUGGCCUGCUCGCGAACAUCUUGCCCCCUCGUACGGAACGGCCUCGCUAAGCGGGCGAAAUGCUCGCGGCGGCGGCCCUCGCCUCGGCGUACCCGAGCUCUGUGUCGGUACCGGCGGCGCGGUGGGAAUGGAUUCGGCUCGCGCAACGAGGAGGAAGCAGCGGAGGGGGAGAGGCAGCGGCGCAGCGCGUGCGCGUGUUGGGUUUUCGCCUCGCGCUGGCGCUGCUGCUGUGCCCGGCUGACUGGCUGCGGCGGGGUUUGUUUAUUCCGCUUCGGCGACGAAAAGAAACGCUAGUUUAUAGGGAGGGCGCAACCGGCAACCGGCGGACGCGGCGUGCUACGCCGUGGGGCCGGCGGUGGCGGUGGCGGUGCGCGCAUGUGGUGGCUGCCUGCCAGAGUGACAGGCACUAAUCUUUUUUUUUUGAUAAAGUGACAGGCACUAAUCUGCUAUCGGGCAUUUGGUUCAACUUAUUUUUAGUCCGUGUCCAGAUUCGAAGACUAAUUAGGACGAUUAAAUAUGAAUUAAUUAUAAAAUUAAUUGCACAGAGGCUAAACGGCAAGACGAAUUUAUUAAAUCAAAUUAAUCCAUCAUUAGCAAAUAUUUAUUGUAGUAACACAUUGUCAAAUCAUGAACUAAUUAGGCUUAAUAGAUUCGUCUCGCCGUUUAGCCUCCACUUAUAUAAUAGGUUUUAUAAAUAGUCUACGGUUAAUACUUCUAAUUAGUAUCUAAACAUUAGAUGUGACGGGUGCUGAAAAUAAGCCAAAGUAACCAAACGGGUCCUAAAUCUUCAUAUCCUCUGUUGCUUCAAUCUAGUAGGUUAAGGGGUGUUUAAAAUUUCUACCACAUCGAAUGUUUAGAUACUAAUUAGAAAUAUUAAAUAUAAACUAAUUAUAAAACCAAUUGCAUAGAUGGAGACUAAUUUACGAGACGAAUCUAUAAAGUCUAAUUAGUUCAUGAUUUGACAAUGUGAUGCUACAGUAACCAUUUGCUAAUGAUUGAUUAAUUAGGCUUAAUAGAUUCAUAUCGUGAAUUAGCCUCCAUCUGUGUAAUUAAUUUUAUAAUUAGCUUAUAUUUAGUUCUCAUAAUUAGCAUCUAAAUAUUCGAUAUGACACGAACUAGACUUUAGUCUAUGGAACCCAACACUCCCUGAUUAAUUGGCCUGUGAAUGAAAUGGAGUAUACUCGUUAUAUUAUUCUGUGCUGCUGCCUGUCUGUUUCUGGGCUCCGGGGGGGUCUGCAAAGUUUUUACGGACGUUAAGUUUUGGGCCCUUUUCCAUCACCAUAAUCGGUUGCCGCUCGUCGUCACUCUGGCGAGCUGAACUCGACGAGAAUCCCCCACCCAUAUUCGCCACCCCAUGCCUACCCAAAAGAACCUAGACCAACUCGAGGGGAAGGAUGGAAUCGCCAGACGGCGAACUCCCCUCAGCGCCGCCGCGGUUGUGCUGUGGCGGUGACCAGACCAUGUCACCCGCCACGUAACGCGGGACCCGCCCAUCAGUAGCACACUCACAACCACCUCACUCCACCUCUCCCACUCCCAACACGCGGUCCACUGGACCAGUGAAUCACGAAGCCCUCGGUCUACGAGUCCACCGCCUCGAUUCACAGUACAACAUCACACCAAACCCACAGACUAGUUCACAUAUCAUUCACCCGCCGUCCUACCUCUCAUGGGACUGGCAGCCCCUUAGGGGCGGACCUAGGGUGAAAUUUGAGUGAGGGCACACUUGAAGAGGUGGCUAGAUUGAUGGAGCUUUUAUAUGGUGAAUUUUCAUUGAUUAACUUAGUUGGAAGAUUUUGAGUGAGGGCCUGUUGAACAUAGGUCCGCCCCCUGUGGCCCACGCGUCGGCAAAAGAAAAAGCAGCGCAGCGGGAACGAGAGAUGGGUCCAAUGCCAAAUUGGGCCAGAGGAAAAUGAAAGAAAAAGAAGAGGGAGGACAGGGCAUAAGGCCGGACUGGGCUCAAACCAAGAGAGUAGUAGGCAGAGUUUGGGCUCAGCCCAUAAAAUGUUACGGUUUCCUAAUAAAAAGUCGAGCAAGUUACCGCAUUGCCAUUGAAAAUUAUACCACUUCCUUCAUUGCCAUCAAAAUUCUUCAACUCCUUUCACUAACACUACAAUUUUCCAAAUCCUUCACUGCCAUUACCGUCUACUAGCUGUUGUUGUUAUCUUCAAUAGAAAAGACAAUUAUACCCCUCCCAAUAGAAUGGAAUGAAAUUUGCUUUCUUUCUCAGGUGAGCAACAAUGGCAGGUCUAUGCUUCUCUCAUUGUUUUGUUCUUUUCAGCGGCAUCAGGUGCACCACCUAACCAAAAGAAUCCACAAGGUACGUAAAAAAAUUGGGAAUGCAUCCAACGAUUGAAGAACCGGUGAUCUAAUUUUUUGAUCUCACCGUCGUGAUUGGAGUGCUGCAUCAAGAGACGUGAUUUUGUUGACCGUUGGAACUGGGAACAAACAAGAAUGGAGGCCCCUAUGGCCGGCACGGCGCCCCACCGCUGCCGCCCGCCUACGAGCCUCGCGUGCCUGCCCACGCACCCUGUCGAAGCCGUCCAUGCCCGCGAGCGCCGCACGGGUGCUACGGAGGUCAGCGAGCUCCCGGCCGCACAGGCGGAUGAGGGCGGCGGGCCCGCGCAGGUGGACGAGGGUGGGGCCGCAACCCUCGUGCGGCGGACGGUGGCAGGAGGCCCGCGCAUGUAGAUGGCAGUGGGAGCGGCGAUGGUAGUGCUUAUGUAGCUAUUGCUAGCGCGUGGAGGCAAAUGGAAGAGACAACAGCAGAUAAGUUGGCCAGAUGUGGGCCCAUGUUAUCAGUGGAACAGCGGUAGUCUAGCCAUUGUAAAAACUGACAAAUUUUUGUUUAGCAGCGAUGGACGGUAAUGGCGGUGAAGGAAUUGGAAAAUUCAAGUAGUGACAAUGAAAGGUUGAAGAAUUUUGAUGGCAACGAAAGAAGUAGUAUAAUUUUCAAUGGUAAUGACGGAAUUUGCUCUAAAAAAUUUCGGUAUUAGUUUUACUUCCUGGAAUUCAAACUCUCCCGGGCUUAGGUUGGGGAAAAAAGGUGCAUGGUCCAGAUUUACAUGGCGGCCUGCUGCAACGCCCAUCGGAUGGUGCCGCAAGAGCGAGAGGGUGUCGGAUCCUCCGCAACGCGGGGUCGCGGGUCCUUUUUGUGUGCCACGCAAGCACGCGCUGUGCGUAGCGGGCACCGUUCUGGUUGGCAUCCUAUGGUGCGUCUUGAACUCUUCGGGCUCGUUUGCUUACUUUUGCUUAUUUUUAUCACGUGUCACAUUGAAUGUUUAGAUACUAAUUAGGAGUAUUAAACGUAGACUAUUUACAAAACCCAUUACAUAAGUGGAGGCUAAACGGCGAGACGUAUCUAUUAAGUCUAAUUAAGCCUAAUUAAUCCAUCAUUAGCAAAUAUUUACUGUAGCAACACAUUGUCAAAUCAUGGACUAAUUAGGCUUAAUAGAUUCGUCUCGCCAUUUAGCCUCCACUUAUGUAAUGGGUUUUGUAAAUAAUCUACGUUUAAUACUUCUAAUUAGUAUCUGUUGCCGCUAAAAAUCAGCCGAUUGACUCUCAACGUCGGAUACAUGACCCGGGAGAAUCUGCUUAACUCCUGUUCGGGUGAUCACUCUGGUGCGGUUCGCGCGGCGUGCCAGCCAAUCUGACCUGUUGAUUGGCAAGGAAGAAAAUGUGUCAAAUUCCAGGGGUUCCGAUCGGCUAAGGUUCCGAUCUCGAAAAGCGUAUCAGCGAAUCGGCCGAUUUGCUAUAUAAAGAUGAUCGGCUAUAAAACAGUCGAUAAUCGCUCAGCGAUUGUAAAGAAACUACUAAAGCAGACUAAACAACGCUACGAAGCAACACUUGAAAUAGAUCUAAUCGGCUGUAUGACGAUUGAUAAAAGAACAGUGAUAAAGCCGACAGUUCAAAUCUCAAGCUGGAUAACUGGUGAUAAAACUAGAAUGGUAGAUAAAACCUAUAAUUCUAGUAAAUAUCGAUAACUUGUGAAUAAAUCUAAACGAAACGACAGUGAUGCGCCCGAAGUUAAAGCUUAGAUAUUACUCGAUAGACGGAACUUACAGAAUCGGCCGGAGAUCGUGUCGAUGUAGCCCUGCCAACCCGUACGAACUCGUGAAAGAAAAAGAAGUAAUGGCGAAGUCGCCGACUUGAAAGUAAAAUACGAGGAAAUAGUAGAUUUGUUGUAUUGAUUGAUGUGUUCUUUACAAAUCUCCAAAGAUGGCUAUUUAUAGCCUGUUACAACCGAUUUCCUAACCGACUAGGAUCUAUCUCUAACUUUAAACGAAUAUCUACAAACACAACUCGUAUCGGAGUUGGUUAUUGUACUACCACGAGCCAAUCUCUCUCUAUAUUCUUUGUCUGAUCCACUUUAAGCCCAUAUUGGCCCAAUCACUCCAGCCUUCCAACCGGUCGAUCUCCACCAACUCCGUCCGCCAAAACACUAUAGCUCCAAUCGGCCGAUUCCCAACUAUAGCACCAAUCGGCCGAUUGCCAGUCGUGACCUUUUAAUCUGCCGCAUCGGCCAAUCCUUUCUUCCCUUGACGCCGAUCCCAUUCGUGUCAAAAUCUGAUGUCAACAGUAUCUAAACAUUUGAUGUGACGGGUGCUAAAAAUAAGCAAGGAAACCAAACCAGGCUACCUGGAGAGAAGUCAAGGAACAUGUACAGACGCCGGCAGCUGGCAUGUCUCUAUCCUACACGUCUUCUUGCGUCGUAGGAGUAUGGCACGGGUACAACAUGCACCUAGGCCUUGUUUAGUUACCCUAAAAUCCUAACUUUGGCACUAUGCAAAAAGAAGAUUCCCUAUCACAUCAAACUUACGGUACAUGCAUGGAGUACUGAAUGUAGACGAAAUCAAAAACUAAUUGCACAGUUUGGUUGUACUUUGCGAGACGAAUCUUUUGAGCCUAAUUAGUCAAUAUUUGGACAAUAAUUCACAAAUACAAACGAAACGCUACAAUAUGCUACAGUGCUGAUGCAGUGAUUUAAGUUGCCCAAAAUCGGACAACUAAACAGGCCCCUAGCUCCUCUGGCCAGAAAUAUCAUGAUGCUGCAAGUCAAGGUGCACGAAACCAGUGGUCCAAUCGGCGCGUUUGCCUGCCGUGGCCCGUGGGGAACAAGCGGUACGGACGGACAAGGAGGCUGCGGGCCAAUGCAGGGCGCAGCCAUGCCCGAGCGCCCACCGCCCAGCGACCGGAAGGCCAUUUGCGUGAGGGCGCGUGGCCGCGUGGGCGCUCGAGAGCGGAAAGCGGCGUGUGGCUGUGGUCCCGUCGGGACCCGGGAGCCCCCAAAACAGCAAGGUCCCGCCCGGUGGAUGAUGCGCCGCGCCUACCGGCCCGGUGGGGCUACGCGUAUGCACCGGUAGCCAGCGGUUGUAGCACGCACCGGGCACGCUGAGCAGUGGGAGAACGAGCCCCGGACCGCCGCGAGUUGGGCGCGCGUAUAUGCCGGUGCAAACUGAUGGAACAGGACUUACUUUUUCGUGAACACUUCGCCAGUAUGAAAAACCGGCUCGAUCCGAACAUCUUUGACAAGUCAUACAAAGCAUACGUACACGUCCAUGGAGCUGCGACUGUGAGAUAGGCCAUUACGGCCGCCCCACCUUUGUCGUCACGUCCCCAGCAUACCUAAUCAGGGUUUAUAGUAUUUCAAUAAGCUGCCGACACACGACACAACAAGCAUGUAGUAAGCACACACGAGAUACUGGGAGCCCGAUUGGUUAGCAACCAAAACUUGAGCAUGCCAAAAUUUUGGCAUACCAAUUAUUUGGCCACCAUUUGGUUUGCUACCAAAUGUUGCCAAUGUCUCACAUUAUUUGGCCACCAUUUGGUUUGCCACCAUCGAUUGGAAUGUUCGAGUUGUUUGCGCGCGUCAAAGAAGACCUAAAUCCGGUGAACUUUUCGAGCCGUGAUUGGGCCACGUCGCCUCGUUUUUGCAGCCGUUGGAUUUUGAUCGGACCGUCCAAAAGCGGGCACGAGGCAUCUGUGUUUCUAGACCAUUCGUCUCGAGCGUGUAGACUCCUCCCGCCGCCGCCGCCGCCGCCUCCUCCCUCUGCUCGUCACCGCCUGCCCCAACGCCUCCGGGGCCGUCGAGGCGCAAGAGAAGCUCCCCCCACUCCACUUCACCGGCAGCUGAGCCCAAGGCAGAGCGCGUCGCGUUCGGCCGAGUCCCUCAAGUAGGAGACCGCCGACGCCGAUGACGACGGCGGAUGACGAUGACGACAGCUCCGACGCGCCACAAGCCACGGCGGCGGCGGCGGCGUCUGGAAUCCAGCGAAGCUACGGUGGCGGCGCCGAGUCUCCAUAGCAAGGCGGACGACGAGAUCUCCGGCGUUCUCCCCCGCCUGCUGUGCUACGCGUCUCUCCUACCGUUGGCUGCUGCCCUGCGCCGUCUACGCACCUCCCUCCUCCCCCGCUCCCGAUUUCCAAACCCCCCGUCUAUCUCCGCCUGAUCUGGCAACCGGAGGUCGUGGAGAGCCCACGAUGCGCUGGAUCGAGGAGCCCCAACGGCGGGGUGGAGGCGGCCGGUGGCCGCGCGGGCGUUGUGGCGGCGGGGGAGGGCGUCGCUGGCUGGGGGCGUGCGAACGGCGAGGCGACGGUGGGUGACGGCUGCGCGGCCGUCGCAACGGCCAGAUCCCAGCAACCCAGCAGCGCCCUGCUCGUCGCAAUUUCGCAGAAGCACGCCUCCGUCAGCAACAGUGGCAUCAACAACAGCGGCAGCGGCAGCAGGGUUCGUGCACUGGCAGGCUGGCAGCAGCACCGUGGUGUCCUCUGCAAUCCACACCGUGCUCACCCUGCCAGCUCUAGCACAGCUGCUCCUUCCUGGAAUGGUGCUGUUCUGCCUACAAGGUGCUCGAUCAAAUGCCAGGCGUUGGUGUCUUUGUUAGGCGUGGUUGAGCUGAGCGCCUGAGCGGUGGGAGGAGUCAGUGUGCUGCGGCAGUUAGUGGGGGGUGCACAUGGCGAGGCCGCGCGGUGGCGGCUCCGUGGCGUGGGCGGAGGCCAAGACACCAGCGGGGAGGGUGCACCAGCACCUCAAGCGGCUCAACAAGCUGGCCAUCAGGAACAUCGAGGUGGGUGGCUACUCGUCCAUGGAGCUUCAGAUGAUUACUCUUAUCUUUUGAGUGCUCGUUGAGCUUUGUGCUGAUGAGUUUCUUUUGGAGUUUCAAAUGUUGUCAGAAUGGGAGUUCAAAUUGGGGUCUCUUUGUGCUGAUAAGCUUUGUGCUUUGGUUGGGCAGUGUUCUUGGGCCUAUUUUUUUAUCAAUGAUUUCUUGGUUUGCUACUUUUCUGUAUUUUGUAUGAUUCACUGCACUUUCAGUGUGAAGUUGCAUUGCGUCCACAUUAUUCAGUAACUAAAAAGGCUGUUUUUCACUGAUUCUUUUGGUUUUGGGCAAUAAUUGCUGGUAAUCUUUCGCUGUCACUUUGAAGAAUUUUUCCAAAAAGUUCUCGACUUUUAGAGGUAGACAAUGCAAAUUCAAGCGAACUAGAGUAGAAAAAGAUGAAUGGUUGUUGCAGACAGGCUGACUCUUGCAAAGUCAUAUUCUCUGAUGGAAGCAGAGGCAAAGCCUUUCCUUUCUGAAUAUUUUGCUUCCUGCUUGAGUUUCGGAGUUUCUGAGCACAAUGUGCAGAGUUCUACAACGUCAGCUUAAUAUUGCAUAUUUUAUUCUACAUUUUCCCCCUUAAAAGUUGCAAUCAUAUGAAGCUUUAGCUUUAUCUUUCAAUGAAAUGAAGUAGACAUUUCGAAAAAUCAAAAGAAGUUGACAUGAGCAUUGCUUUGGCUAGAACAGUCCUUUUCCAUCUGACACUGAUGGUAGUUUUAUUCCUCAUCCCAGAUAGAUACAUCAUCGACUGCGUGCAUAUCUCCCACCAACCAGCGACCAUCCUCUCCUCAAGAAUCACACAAUACAGGUGAUUCAGUCAACCUCUCAAAUCUUUUCAGAAAUCAAAACAAACUUGUAAAUGGUUAAUUUGUGCACUCACUAUUUUAACCCUGCCCAAAAUCUCUAUCCUUGCAGUUUAGGCCGGCCUACCACCCUGAAGGUCUAUAUGAUGAUGCCAAGAGCAGUAUAUAUAGGCUCCAACAAUGCAGGCGAAAAGUCGAUGCCGUCACGCAGGGAUGUGCUGAUGGAGGUCGCGGGAGGCCAUUGUGCUGCUCCACCUCCUUGGCCGCCCCAGCCUCUCCAUCAGUGUGGCCACGACCCAUGGAGCCACGCGAGCUGCAGAUCAAUGCGACGGCGGCACCAAGUAAGAGCUCCUACAGUGCAGUGAUGGGGUGAGCUUGACAAGCAGCUCGCACAGCUGCAAGUCGACAUGGUGGAGCGAGCAGCAGCUCCAGCCACAGGUUCGCAUGCCUGCACCAUCCCUCCAGUGGCCAUAGUCGACGUUGCCUCCGGUGCCGGCAAGGUGUUUGACAAAAUGCCAACCUCCCAGGCGUAUAGCAACUUUAAUUUAUGAAGGUACCUGCCUUUCUUCUAUUCCUGUCCUGCAUUGGCAUCAACAAAAUUUCAUUCUUGCAAUCCUGAUAUUAGAGAUGGAGUUCUCUGGCUUGUUGGUCAUUAUAUAUUAUAGAUAAAGAGCAGGUUUGAAUGAAAAUAAAUUUUGGGAUUUCCUUGGGUAACCACUAGGCCAAGAUAUGAGCAUGAUCUGAUUCCUCUAGCCAUUCAUGUUAUGGUAGCACAUUUAAUCUAAUCAUACUGGACACUCAUCUGUUGCAACUUGCAAUGUGUAAGCAGCUAGCAGUGCUAACAAACACGCUGGUAAUUUUUCCAUGCUUCUUGCCAUGUAGCAGAGCUCACAAAACCAAAUUUCUGCUCUAAUUAAUAAGAGUUAUUUCCCCUGCCUGCCUUCAAAAAACUAAGAUACUCAUCUUACUGAAUCUGACUAGAGAAACAACCACUAUACAUUUUCUCCUCUAAACAUUGACCACUCAUAUUCAGUUUGCAAUUUGUGUUGCAUAUUCUGCAGUGAGAAUAAUAUUGGAGCUUACAAUUAGUAGAUGAUAACUUAUAACAAAUUGAUUGUUUCAAGUGUUUACUCUUGUGGAUAAUGGAAAACCAAUCGGAAAAAAGUGCAAGAGGAGCAAGAAGACCUCUUUGUAUCAAAAACAAGGAAGCAAACAGGAAAAAAAGAAAAGGAUCAAGAGCAACAAAGGUAUAUAUCUAACACACAUUGCAUAUGCCUAUUUUAAUAUUUUUUUGUCUGGUGUGCUAGUAUUUAAUAAAAGACAAUAUCUGCAAUACAAAAUUUACCAAUGAUCUAAGUUGCUACUUGCUACUUGAUUUUUAUACAAUAUUUAUAAAGUGAUACUGUUCUACCAAUCAAGGCAUGAAGAAUGAUUAAUCAUGGGUUCAUUUUUUCAGGUCCACAUAUAGUGUACAACUCGAAUCUUCAAAGGCUGUCCUCUUGCAUUGAUUCCAUCGAAGGAUUCUCAUGAUUUUCUAUGAAGCAACCUCUUCGAUUGUGCAAUUUUAUUUAUGUGAGCAGGGAUGAAAGAUUAGAAAUGAACCUAUCAAAAAGUGGUAUGUUAAGUACUAUAUCCAUAUCUGAAACUCUUGUAUACUCCAACCGUUGAAUUGGCAACCGCAUAUCCACUGGAAGAUUGUAAGUAUAUAAAUAAGCAUAAUAUCGCUUGUACCUUCUUCCAUCAGAAGGUGGCACACUGGCCCACCUCCAGUAGGGCGCGGCAAAGCCGUGCCAGGGUUUCUAGUAAAAUAUAUAUAACCAGCUUGCUAGCGACUCCCACAUUAGAAUCCUUGCUUAGAUAACGAUAGACCUAAUCUAUAACAUUGCACGCAGGGAGAGAACCGCCUUGACGCAUAUAGGAAAAUCAACAGGACCACGCACGCUCUCAAGCUAAUUUAACUACCACCCCUGUCGACCAUCCGCAGGCAUUAACAAAAUCUCAAGAAUAAUCAAGCUAAAAUGUUCAUUGAGCGUGCAUGUACAUGUCACGUAGGAUAAUGUUUCGUUGAGUAUCCUCUGUGUAAAAUAAAGUUGCAACAAAAAAGUUUGACAAGUGCGAGGACCACUCAUCAUGGUAGACCCGGCUUUAUUGUUAUCACACACGAGACGAGAAGGUGCGGUGCGGCAGCCGGCAGGCAUCAUACAUCACCGGCAGUGUACCCCAACCAAUUGCAGCCUCAAGGACAAAUAAAAAGCAGACCUAAUCAUACCGCCUGUUUUUAUUGGAGAAAGGACCUUGUCAGAAAAGGAUGAUGCGCCUUGACAUGCCGUUUUUAUUUUUUCGAUUUAAAUAGGUAACGACUUGCUAAUCGUGACACUGACGAGCUACUGGCAAAUCCGCACCAACUGUAUGUGGUACUCUAGCAACCAGUGCUGCUGUAUACCUACAGCUUUCACGCUACAGUAGCACCGCACAGUACACUGACAGUGUAGCCACUGGUCAAUAUACCUGAUGCUGUUUUCCACUUUUUCCUGUGCUCUGAACAUUCAGCCCAGACCUGUGAAAGAAAGACUGAAAGCGAAAGGGAAGCUGACAAACUGUACAGGUACCCCAAUAGAGCAUGCUAUCUGAACUUGAACUGGAUGUUAAAGAAAGAAAAUACAUGUACAAAAUCACUUCACUUAGUUUAAGCUUGUGUGUGCAAAGUGACAGGAGCCCGUGCGCGGCCGAGCGGGUUUCCGCGGGGGACAGCAGCAUCCGAGCAGAAUCGAAAGAAGCGUCAGAAAACUGCCAUGGCUGGCUGCCGGUGGGGGAAUAGGCCGGGCCUGGCAUUAAAAAUCAGGGCGCCCCUGGCCCUCGUCUUUUGCCAGGGCCCAAGAGAUGCUAAAGGAGAAAAGUCAGUCCAACGACCGAAAGCAAAGCUAAGACCUCCUUAGAUCUUUCUUUAAUUUUCUUUACGAGAAUACUUAUGCCUGAAGUUACUGAUGCGAGAAGUAACAGGCAGGGUUGUUGUUGCUCAAGCUGAUAGGGGGUCUCUCGGUAGCCAGCCAGUAGGUAUCAGCUGAGACUAGCUGAAGUGAGCCUGAAGCCUGAAGGGACAUUUCGGUUGGGUAAAGAGAGGCCAUCGUCCAUUGGGGAAUGAAUGGUUUGUGAAUGUGAGGCCGAUUGAUUUCAGCAAGCGUCGAAAACUACGGCACAGAGCUGCAUCAAGACGAGUCAAGAGAGUGGGACUUCAGAUCUUGUGCAGCUAGGCGUAGCGACUACUUCUCUGAACAACGAUGGGAUUCGAUGUCGGAUUAUCAAUUGGUAGUCAUUAUGUAACGUGGUAAAAUCAUCUUCUAGCAGUGGCACCUGUGCAGGGAAUAUUCGGUUUUUAGAAACCUACCCGGCUACUCCCUUCUUCUAAUCCUGAUGACCGACGUGUUUUCUUUCUCAACUGAAGAUGCUCUGGUCUCCUCGAAACUGAAGAUGCUCUGGAGGCCCUGUUGAUUGUGGGUUUGCCUGAAACCUGAAUAAACAUGUCGCGUAAACUAAGAUUUACGCACUAAUUUAGUAAGGCCAUCCUAGAUAAACACACCAUCAAAUUCGAAAAAGAAGAAAGGCCAUGCUCUUGCAACACGAACACAGACAAGAGUCACAAACCCCCCAAAUUAAACAGCUCUGUUCAUUCACAUACCCCGGUAUCAUCUGCAGGCAGGGGCGGAUCGAUACACGAGGAGGAAUGGAAGUACAUCUCAGAGCCCAUCGACUUCGAGCGAGUUCGAUAGAUACGUCAUACGUACAAGCACCGGAAAACAGAGAAGAAGAAAAGUCAAAGGAAGCGAGGAAGAACUAGAAGCCCAGCAGCGGAGCUGUAGCGGCGGCGGCGGCCUUGACCUAGAAUCCCCGGCAGAGGCGGAACCUGUCGCCCCACGGCCGGGGCUGCUGCCGGAACCGGCUGUGCCGCCUGGGCGCGGGCGCCGGCGGCGCCGCGGUGGUGCGGCUCAGCAUCUCCCACAUCACGUGCACGUCCUCGUACUCGCACGUGCUCACCUCCUGCCGCAGCCUCCACAGCCCUGCACAGCAAGCAAAAGCAACCGGCGCCAGAGUUAGACGAAUCCAUCCUGGGCGCCGCCGAGGGAUCUUAUCAAAGCCGGCGAGUACCUCCGCCGCCGCCCUUACCUGUCUGGCGAACCCCGAAGCGGGACGCGACGCCGAGCCAGACCCUCCGCACCGGCAGCACGACGCGGUCCCACCAGUACCCCAUCGAUGGAUCUGAUCGAUUGAUCGCCGACGCCAAGCGGUCAGUCGCCGGACCUGCGCCGCAGGAGACCGGACAGGACCAAGCUAGGAGCUACCCCUAUGCCUCUCUCCUCGUCGGUCUCCUCCUCCUCCUCCCCUCGAUUAUUAGACCGGGGUCCUCCGGUCGGUCGUCUUCCUCCGCGCCCCCUAUUUGUACACGCACGACGGCACGAGGCAGGGGAGAACCGGGAGCACCUGCCCUAACGCUCGCGCUGACACUGGCGGGCGGGCCCGGGGGCGCGGGCGCUGUGUGGGACAGGGGAGUCAGUUGGGCGGGUGGGUACGGUAGUUGCGGGCAGUUAGUUAACGGGGGGGCGGCGGGCACGUGCCAGGAAGCGGUAGGCGGCGCAGGACACGUUGGCGCGGGCUCUUGAUAAAGCGGGGCCCAGGCGGGAUUCAUGUGCAGCAGUAGUAGCCCGCGGGUAUGUGGCGGUUGGGUGGGUGGUUGCGAGGGUGUGUCAGUGGAAGGAGUUAGGUCACCCGCGCGGGCUGCUGUCAUGGGCUGGGCCCAGACGCCUGCUAACUUCGCAACAGCUGCUGAAUUCUCGACCCUGUUUGUGAAUUCCACCUCGUCUGAUACACAACGUGGACGUGUUAUUCCUACGCCACAAGGAUACCACCACUCCACGAGUCUACGAGUAUGUUUAGGCCUCGAGCGUGCUCUUGCCUAGUACUCCUUUGGUGUGAGUGUGAGUGCGGUGAGACGGUGAACUGAAUGAAAUCUCUGUACACAUAAAGUCUUUGGUUUUAUUAUCUAAUCUUGCAUAGCCUUACUUUUAUGUGAAGUGAGGCGAACCACCAAAUAUAAUUAAUGGUUCUACCCAUCAAGUAAGCAUAUCUUUAUUGCAACUAUAAAGAUAGAGUUGUAAGCAUAUCCAGUAGGUUGUAGUGUAUCCAUAUCGAAUGAUUUUAUUGCCGUCCAUUCACAUUGUAGGAUUUUCGGUGGAUUGAUUGUAUGUAUGUUAUUGUGAAAAAUAGUCUUCUACCACACAUGAAGAAUGAAACACGAUGCAUAGAUAUGUGAGCACGGUGCUUAGUACUUCCUUUUAUUUUGAUACUUCUGAAUUCUAUAUCAUACUCGGCUUGUUUUUCCACCUCGUUUGAUAGAGGACGUAACACAAUGCGACCAUGUGGACGUGUCAUUCCUACAGCCUACGCCACAAGGAUACCACGACCACACAAUUCUACACGAGUAUGUUUAGGCCUUGAGCCUGCUCUCGCCUAGUCCAUCUUUGGUGUGAGUGUGAGUGAUAGAAGUCUUUUGGUUUCAUUAUUCGAUCUUGCCUAUCCUUACUUUGAGGCGAAACACCAAAUAUGUUCUGCUUAUUAUAAGUAAGCAUAUCAUCUUUACUGCAACCGCAAAAAUAGAGUCGUGGGUUCUAGUAGGUUGUAGUAUAUUCAUAUCGAAUGAUUUUAUUGUCGCCCAUUCACAUUGUAAGAUCUUCUGCGGAUUGGUUGCACUCGCAUGUUAUUAUGAAAUAGUCUUCUACUAUGUAUAAGAAGGACGAAAUGCUACAAUUCUAUUCGUGCAACUUAAAUUAGUUAGACACGAUGAAUAGAUCUUGUGAGCACGGUGCUUAGGACUUCCCUUUAUCUUGAUACAUCUGAUAACAUACCUGGUUGUUUUUCUUUUUGUAAUUACCUUGACCUGUUCUUCUUGAACAUGGAGAAUGCAUGCGAAAUCGAUAGAAAAUUUCAGAUCGACUUAAAUUGAAACAAACAAUCCUCGGAAUAAAACACAUGCGUCUAUUGCGCUCUUAAUGAAAACACAGGUUUUCUGCGAGUAUGUUCGGUUUCGUUUCCUUUACUUUUUCCUGUUUUUUCUCUUAACUAACAGGUAAUGUUUUUUGAGCGACCAGUCGUCCAACUUGGUUUGAAUGGCACCCGUUGCAUCGAACGCGGAUGUCCGAAAUUCCAGGUUCCUCUAGUGCAAAAGAGAUUGGUGCUUGACACCGAGAACCUCGAAAGGUGGUCACAGCAACCCAGCCGGCCGAUGCACGUUGCGAAUAAAUGCACGAAUCAAAUCAACAAAGCUAGAGGCAGUCUUAAACUAUUAUAGCCUCCUACUGCUCUCGUGGGUCGAGUCAAGCGCUGCCCACUGAAAUUCUAGUGUAGUGUUAGCUCACCAAGAUUAGUCAUCAAGGCGUCUGGUUGGCUCAUGUCAUCUGAGGAUAUCACGUCCCGUACCGCGCGAUCGUGAGAGUACGUGACCGGAGCCAUGUGAGGAAAGCAAAUCUCCUGAAGGAACAAGUGUGUAUUGGAUUCUCCAAUUGGGCUCGCGAUCACGACCGGGAACCGCCUAAUCCUGUUACCUAUAUCUUGAGCCAUCUCUCUUGUUGUCACCGCAUCGAUCUGGAGCCCCCGAGCGCGUGUCAUCGGAUCCCCCAAAUACCCCAUCGUGAUCGCGCCCGCAGCGGCCAAAAAGGUUGGCGAGCGGCCGGUCAUCAUGGCGGUUUGGUUUGCGUCGCGCGCGAGAAAGAAAGGAAGCCGCCGAGCGCCGGGUCUCUGGCAACUUUCGCCGUUGUCCGGGAAUAAUCCGCGGUUGGUUACCCUCUUACCGAUGCGCUCCCGUGGGCCAUUAGGCUCCUUCGCGACGGCGAGGGACAAACACCAAACAACAGAUCGGCCCGUACCCACAGACACCAGAACGGACGCCUCACGCACGUGACCCCCUCGGAUGGUAGCUGGUGAUCGAUCGGACCCGGACCAGUCUCGUGUUGGACGCUUCACACUUUGACCAGCAGCCAGCCGAUGAGCCGGACGCCGGAACCCCGGUGAGUUUGGUUUGGCCAGUGUAUUUCCUCGCUAGAACUAGCGCCGGUGGUAAAGUUGCGUGGGGGCGAAGGCGUCCGUUCUCGGCGUGCGUGAACCUGCCGGGAAGUUUCGGCCGGAGACCUGCGCUGAUUGCCGGCCGGAAGCGGGGCUCGGCAGCGAGCAGAGUCCAAGAGUCCACUCUGCCUCGCGCGCGCGCCCCCGGAGCCGGGGCGCUUUUUGCCGUAGGGCUAAUGCAGCGGUUAUUGCAUGCAGCGACAAGCGGCCAUGCUGGGAAGUGCUACUCGCGACAGCUGGCCGCCAGAUCCCCCAUAGUUUCUUUUCUGUAUGCUUUUCUUGUUGCAGUUGAGUCGGCUACGCAGGGGAGAGGUCUUGUUUAUUGAUUCUUCUUUAUUUAGAGAGCAUCAAUUCCUUAUUGAUGUUUUUUAUCCAGGUUUUUAUUGUGUAGGAUGACAAAAUUGGAAAAUGUUAGUUCAUGUAAAAAAUUUCUCUACUGUUGGAUAGUUUUUUUUUAAUCUCCUCAACCCUUAACAAACAUUUAAGGAACAAAAUGUUAAGCAUAUAUAUAGUUUUUCAAUAGUUAUUGAUGGCCUAUACUGUGAGAUAAUGAUUAAGUUUGUGCGGCACUCCGGCCCCCCUCAUGAUAAUUUUCUGGUUCCGCCCUGCUAGACUUGCUAGUUAAAACAAAACAAAAUCAUCCUUCACCAAAUUAAAUACUAAUUGCAUGUGGAUCUCACUCGGGACAGCGUUCAGCGGAGGAGUGUUGGAGCGGACUCAUUAUUUGCCGGCUCAAGAGAAAAUAGACACACGUCCCAGAAACAAUCAAUUGAAAAAGGUAGCCGUUCGUUCAGACUUCAGAGGGGUCGACGAUCCACAGGAUACAAGAAUAUUAGAAGAACAACAUCUCACGUGCCGUGUCGGCUGCUGGUUUAUUUAAUUUUAUUUUACCCUUUUAAAAAAUCCAGAUUAGAUAUAUGCUAGAUACGCGUGACGUCAAAGCUCAGGCGGCCGUGAUGGCCUAUGUUGCAGCUCCAUGGACGUGUACGUAUGUGUGGUUUGUGUAUGGGGAGGCACGUCAAGAAGUCAUAGAAAACUAGGCGCCGGAGCGGUCGAUCAAGCCGGUUUCACACUGGCGAAGUGUUCACGAAAGAGUAAUCGCAGCUGCGAUGCAUGUCGCUGCGGGUUUGUUCUCCCACCUCGCGUCCCCGACCGCUCCCUAGGGGAAAACGGACUUUUAGUCCUGAUUGGUAAGGAUCAAACAUCCUGAAAAUUCAUCCGGCACUAAAUUUUCGAGACACUCGGUUAGUGUUAUCAAUCGGGACUAGAAAGUUUCAAAAAAAUAAAAAAAUGGACCCGGCCGUGCCGGUUGUCCGCCCGUGCCGGCGGCCCGCCCGCUGCCGCGCCGUCGGCAGUCCGCCUGCCCCGUGCCACCCGCGCGCCAUCUGUUCUGCCUGGAAGAAAAGGAGAGGAGGAGAGAAAUAAGAAAUAGGAGAGAUUGCUGCACAAGAUAAGGGAGGGGAGAGGAUAGGUGGAGAGAGGGGAGGGGGGCUAAAGGUCCCGGAACCUUUAGUCCCGGUUGGAAAUUCCAACCGGGACAAAAGGCUAAAAGGGGCGACAUCAGUGUGAUUUUUUAUAACCUUUACAACUAGAACUAAAGUCCUCUUUAGUCUUGGUUGAUCUUUACAACUGGGACUAAAGUUUCCCUCCCUCCCUGGCGGUGAUCUUCGAUGAUAUAUUUUUAACCCGGGACUAAAGACACUUUAAUCCUAGAUCCAAUAUUAAUCGGGAUUAAAGGAGUUGAAUGGAAGGUUAGUUCUUACUAGUGGCUGGGCACUGGCUACUGGUGCUGAACUUACUAGUGGCUGGGCACUGGCUACCGGUGCAGUGCAUAUAUGUAGCCCCAAAAGGCGUCAUGAUAUUUAUUGCCAGAGGAGCUAGGUGCAUGUUGCACCCGUGCCAUACUCCUACGACCCAAGACUGCGAGAGGACGUGUGAGAUUAGAGACAUGCCAGCGUCCGUACGUGUUCCUGGACUUCUCUCGAGGUAGAGUUCAAGACGUACCGAUGCUAACCAGAAGUCCACGCAGCUCUUCCGCCUGGUUCGUAAAAAAAAAGUUCGGAACGGUGCGCACAGCGCCUGCCGGCGUGGCACACGUGAAGGACUCUCUCUCACUCUCUCUGUUUUGAGAAGGGGACCCGCUCUCUCUUUUGCGGGGACUCCUAUAUGUGUACCGAAAAAUGGUUAAGCGAUUGAACUAUAUAAAUCUAUAUAAAGUCCAGUAAGAUCCAGCUCCAUAUUUCCGUUCCAAAGUCAAAGAGGUUCAAUUGAUAAUAGCACAUUCAACAUUUUCAACAGAUAAAAAAUGUAUACCAACAUUUUCCGAAAAAGUUGAACUUAGAAAUGUUGAACCCCAAAAAUGUUGAACCUCAACAUUUUUCUUCAAGAAAUCUCGAAGUUGAUCCAAUAUCUUUUGAAAAAUUUAUUUCAAUAUUUUUUUAAUAAUUUGUUUCAACAUUUUUUUAAAAAGAAUUUUGGACCUUCUUCUCCAACUCCGCCGGCGAGCCCGCGCGCGGGGGCCGUGGCGGCAGGCGAGCCCGCAGACGGGGCUGGCCAGGGCGGCUGCGCAUGGGCGCGCAGCGGCUGCGGGUUCAGCCGCGAUGGCGGUGGCGGCGGCAGAGGUGGUGUGGGGUAGAGGGGCGUGGAGCGAAGCUAGGUAUGGGUGACGAUCCAACGAUAACUAUUCCUUGCACGAAUGAAGGUUACACCUCUUCCUACCUUGCGGAAGAUGGAUAAGUUUUCCGCUCUUUCGCGGCAUCCAUCCGAUGGGCGCCGCGGCAGGCCGCCAUGUGAAUCUGGACCAUGCACCUUUCUUUCCCCAGCCCAAAGCCUCAAAGGCGACAAGGGCCCAAUCCGAACACAGGAACUAUCAUGCAUGGCUCCUCGGUGCGGCCCACAGGUCACAGUAAAAUCCACCGAUUUUGCCGUGCUUCGCUCUGCUCCGCGCACCCCGCCGGCCGCCGUUGCUGCAGCCGCGGUCGCCGCGCGCCCCCUAUCCAUCGGCACCCACCGCUCCGCACGAUUGCGCUUGCAACUCAGUGUCGCCGCACGCACGUGAGCCGGCGGCCGCCGCCCCGAUGCCGCUUUCGGGCUGGAAUCCGCUGGCGCCCGUCCUCCAGACCGUCGCCGCCUUCUCCCGGCACCUCCUCAUCGCCCCGGACACCGGCCCCGACGACCACCGCCUCCGCCCGCUCCUAUCCCUUUCCCUCUCCCCGCCGCCGACCCCGCCUCCGCCGCCGGAGGUCCCCAAGGCACGUCGUUUUUCUCUGUCCUUGGGCACUUGUUGUCCUUUUCCGUUUUGGUGGAGGGGGAGGUGACCUGUAAGUAACGUUUUGGAGUGAAUGUGCAGGAGAAGGAUGCUAAGCCAGCGCCGCUGACGAAGGAGGAGGUCGGCCGGGCCACGUGGAUGCUGCUCCAUACCAUUGCAGCGCAGGUGCUCGAUCUCUUGCCUCUGUGAGUAGCGCAACAAAGCACGAAAUCAGUUCGGCAUUUGCCUGAGGGUGCUUUCUAGCUUACAUCAUGGAUUAUCGACACACUGUGAAUGGAAUACACAGAUUAUUCAUAUAUCAUAAGACAUUGGCAUAUAUUGAUCUGUGUACCUGAGGGGUGUGGAAGGAAAUAAAUUGUUUGAUUCAUGAGUUUCUGUUGAGUCUCAUUAGCUGUCAAAUUUUAUUCCUACUAAAUACGUGACUUGUGUUUCAGUUCCCUGAUGAACCAACGAGGCAGCAAAAACGGGAUGCGAAGGAGCUGGUAAGCACGAGAGACAACCCUGCUAAUUUGCUUUAGAGUUGGAAUGCUCAGGAACCUCUGCCACUGUUUUGGAAGAGGUGUAAAGAUUUGCUGUAACUAGUAAUUUUCUCUCAUGGUCAAGUAAUAGAUGCCUCGAUUCGGAAAAGCCUCUCUGAGUCUCUGUUGAUGUUACAGCCCGAAAAAUCUAGAGGAUAAGUUUCAUGAUGAUUUGAGUACAUUUACAGAUUCCUGCAGGGUCUAAACCUUUCUUCAUUCGUAGCUUAGGUUUUGAUUUCAUAAGUGUGCUUGGUUUAGCAGAUUUAGAUGUCGCAUUUAGAAAUAAAAUAUCAUAAGCUAUGUAUUAGUAGACCACCACUAAAUUUCCAUCAGGAACAGUAAGUCGGAAACAAUUUUUUGGGAGGGGCAGGAAUGCAGUAGUAGAUAGACAUUAGUGCAUUAAUAAGAAGGGAAACAGAAACAUGAUUCUCGUUUCCUGUAGGUUUUUCUCCUUUUCCAUGUGCAUUGCUUUCUUUGCUUGACUACUUGAUUUACACACAAAGAUAACAUCGCUACUGGUUUGCAUGUUCAGAUGCAUAUAAUCUCGAGACUAUAUCCUUGCAAAGAAUGUGCUGAUCACUUCAAAGAAGUUUUGAAGUAAGCAACACUCGCCAACAUCUUGGAUAAUUGCAAUUCCUAUUUAAUAGCUUUUUUAUUCCUUGAAGUGGUUAUGUGCAUUACGAAAUGUUUUCACUUGAUUCCUUGACAGUUUGUUGUUUUAUGGUGUGAUCUAAAAGCAUCACAUAAUAACUGUGAACCCAAGCUACUGCUAUAUGAACACUUGUUCGAAACUUGGGAUGCUCUAAAUCUGUUGAUUUGGCUGAACUCUAUUCAUUCAGUGUUAAACAUUUUUUUUUGUCUGUAUGAUGCACAUGAUGAUUAAACUCUUAACAUGCGCACCAGGUUUUUGUCCACAGAGACUAAAUUGACAUCUUAUAGGUGACAUUAGUGUUUAUAUUUAUGAAGCUCCUUUCAUCACUAGCUGAUGUCACAUGGCUGCAGUGUCUGUCAUUUUUUUUUUGUUUUCUGAAUGUUGUUGUAGAGGAGAGCCAUUCAUCAGAGCUCAGAGCUGGAUAUGUUCUAGUUGUGCAGUCCUACCUGAUUAUCCUUUUGUUUUUGUUCCCUUAUUUUUUUUUGCCGCGGUAACAGUUAUCUUUAGUUCUUUACCAUGGAAUGAACAAUUAAACUGACUUACUUAUGUGUUUUAUUUGUAGAGCAAACCCUGUGCAGGCAGGAUCUCAGGCUGAAUUCUCCCAGUGGUUAUGUUAUGUACACAACGUGGUUAAUCGAAGGUAACUCCAUACGGUCAGCUUUGAGCUGUUGCUUGGUAUAGUCUUGAAAAUCAUCUAAGGCACUGUAGUGUCGAAUCUAUUUCUAUAGAAUCAUAGGAAAAAUAAGGUCGAGGGCCAAAAGGAGGAAAACUGAUGCACUGUAGCUAUUUGGCACCCUUUUACUCCUACAAUAAGGGGUAUGUCAGUGUGUGGUUUAAGAGUAGAUCUGUUUCCGUUCUGAUAUCAUCAUGAUUUUGCAGAAUGUUAUGGAGCCUCUACUUUUGAGACUGUUCUUAUGUGUUGCCGAUCUGAGCAUUUUGUGGUUGUUUUUUGCAGCCUUGGGAAACCAAUAUUUCCCUGUCAAAGAGUAACUGCACGAUGGGGUAAACUGGAUUGUCCCGAACGCUCGUGUGAUCUAGAAGGCGCCAACGACAUCAUGCCAAAUCGAUGACGCAAACAAGAAAUUCCUCUGGAAUAUUUACUUCAAUGAGGAUUUUUAAACAAGCUAUUGUAUGAGCCUACUACCAGGGAGAUGAGGAAAGAGAGUUCAGGGCUCCAUACCGAGUUGCUGACAUUGUAGAGCGAAGAGCGUCUACCUGAUUUUCUGUAUCCUUGGGCGCUGGUGGUGUUAGUGGUAGUAGAGUAUGUUGGAUUCGAAUCUGGCGAUGUUUGUACUUUGUACAGUUUUACCAUGGUAACAGUAAUCAAAUUUUGUUUGAGCUACUGAUCUUGUUCCUGCAUUUAUUUUUGGCUAGGUUCUGUGUAUGUUCCCUAGUCUGAAGUCUGCUUCUUCUAUCUAUCAGACCAUACAGUCGUACAGAUUUUUGUGCAGAUGACGGAUAUCUGAACAGUUUUGUAUAAUAUCUCGUGAGUCAGGAGUGCACUUCUAUAGAAAAACCCUGGAAAAUAGGAUGCUGAAAUACUAAAAGAUACCUACCGAUAUUAGAAAGCCUGGACCAGCAACACCUGCAAGCAUGGCCAUCAAUGCGAGAUUGCCGGCUGAAGGAGGAAUGCAUGGCCUUGCCGGCUGAUGGAGGAAUGCAUGGAGGCCACCUUCCUCGCUUUCCCCGGCCAUUUUUCUGCAGCUCAGCUCCUCGUUGUUGACGAUGACAUAAAUUCUGCUGUCUUAUCACAUCAGUUUUUUAAUCCCAUGCUGACAUCUAGCAGCAAUGCGAAUGAAAUUCAGAAAUUGCAUCACGCAUGGACCUCUCGCUAUCUUAAGAAGAGGAGCCGCAGGAAGCCAAAGGAAACGAAGCACAAGCGCAUUUGAAACUCUGAAGGGAUUGGAUUGUGCGUGCGCAGGUGCAGGAGAUGAGGCUUCCCUCAACGCUGGUGUUGCUGAUAUUUGCAUUUGUUGGAGGAAAUCUGCUCAUGGGCAUCUCCUCUAAUGCAAGAAGCGCCAAGAACUCCACAGGUACAUUCAGCAAACCGUCCUAUUCCUGGCUCAGGCAAAUCUUCCCGUGUUUUUCUCCUGCCACUUUGUUCAUACGGCUUCUGUUCUUUUCCAUCUUUCUCGUCGGUUUUGGAGUAAUGAGUGAUAGUUACAGGCUUGGGGCUUGAGAAAUUAUCUCACCGCCUUGGGUUCACGGUACAGUGAUGGAUAUUUGAAAAGAUUGUUGAUGGGUUCUGAUGCUAUUUUCUCAAAAUUCAAAAGAAAAGAGAAUAAGAAGAUCUGAAUCACCUGACGAUAUUGAUAGCUCAACAUAACAAUGCCAUUGGAUCUUCUCACCAAGCAAGAAUGCCAUUGGAAGCAUAUGCCAUUGGAGUUCACUUUAACAAUUACUACUGACUAAACUAUAUAUCUAAUCAUGCAUGUAUAUCUUAUCCAUGAAAGACAAUUGUUACUCCCCUCUUUUCAGAAUGCAAGGCAGGGUUUGGCCUGCUCUCUCUCUCCAAAAUUCAUUUUGAUCGCUAAUCUCAUAUAUUAUACUGUUCGAGACCAUGAAAUCGACAUCUUAUGAAAGUGCAUUUAAAUGGAAUUCAUGUUAAUAACUGCUUAUUGUAUAAUCUACAACCUAGGCUAAUUCUUGGUUAGAGAUUGAGUCUUGGAAUGCAUGUGUGUCUUAAAAAGGAAAAGGAGGGAACAGUUGGUACGAACUAAUUUUCGCCGGCCACUAAAUGUAUGGACUUCCGACAGUUGUGGGUGCAAUGAUGGUUAUUUAAUCUGUAGAUGCUGUUUUGACUGGUUGGUGCUGUUUUUUUUUCUCUCAGCAUCUUUUUAUUCUGAAAUAUUGAGAUUGUAUAUGGGGAAUAUGUGGCCUAUGGUUUACAUUUAGUUGCAUUCCUUGCAGAUCCAGGGCAUGGAAACAUUGAGUUAAACGGCAGGAAACUAAAGGUGUGAGCUCAAACAUAGAUGGAAAAUGUCCUGCAUUCCCUAGACCAAUAAAACUUGUGUUUCUUGAUAUAUCCUUCUUGAGGCAGUUGUUUUCCAUUACUAAUCAUAGUGGGGGAACAAUUGCAAGUUCUUACAAAUGAUUCUUCAUGUAUCAUUUUCAGGAACGAUACACUAUCCGGAAGACAAGGGGCCUGGAAAAUAUUAGGACGGAUGACUACCAGCCCGUUGAUCCAAGCCCAAGCUCCAAAGCCACCAUCAGACCAGGUCCAAUUGAGCAUGGCGCACCGAUUCUUCCUUAUGUACCACAGUACCCACCGCCUCCUGGUGGCCACCCUGAGGGUGUGUCUCCUGCUGGAUCCCCUUCCACUUAGAUGCACGCUGAAAUUGUCCAAAUCUGCUAUGACCCCCUAUAUGCGGUCAAAGUCUGCUUUGUUAUGCUGUUUUCAAUGUUUACUAGUGUACCAUAUGUCUGAAAUGUUAGUGUCUUGGGGUUACCUGUAAGUGUUUUGAGUGGUGCAUUAUGUUCUAUGUAUGCUGUUCUUGAAUCAGCUGGUAUGGAGUUUUUUUUUUGCAGGCUGAAUUAGGUAACUGUUAAAAUGCUGAGUAGUGCACGCUUCUAUUUUGGACAUCACAAGUGAUCACGAUCAAUUUUCUGGUUUACUUCUUACGGUGCAUUGACACGGUCUGCCGCCAUGUCUAGGGGAUACUCCUACGAAUUCGUUCAGGAGAUCGAAGUUGAAUCGAUGCUGAAUUCUCAUGUGGUCUUGCGAACGGAUGCAUCGGUUUUGGAAAGCCAACAUGGGGUUUGCUAGGAAACGCUGAACGAAUUCGGGUCGGUUCAGGUGAUAGGUGAUUGCAUUUCCUUUCAUACCUGCACACGUUUCCUUCGAUGCUAUAUGUGGAAUUUCAGACAGGUGAAUAUAUGUGAUUGUACUUCGCCCGGAGAGCGUCCGCCAUUGCCGCCUUUUGGAAAGCAAGCGUGUCGAGCGGGGUGGGCCGGCGCAGAGAGGCCAGAGCGAUGCCGAAGCGGCACAGGUCGGACGACGCAGGCGACCGCAGAUCCAGGAGUUCAUGCCGCCGGUGCCCGCCGCAGCGGCAUCUCUACGUCGUGCUGGACGACUGGUCCAGGGGCUACAGCAUCUACAAGCUCGACGUGGACGGCUCCGGCGGUGGCGACCCCGACGACGCCGACUUGUACCUGCGCGCAGAGCGCCUCCCAGAGCCGCCGGUAUUCCGCCUCGAGAUGCCCGUCAAGGUGCGCGGACGUUUCGCGCUCUUCGCCGCGGUUGGCACCAGGAUCUUCGCCAUGGAUUACAGCGACGAGAACAGGGACGCCCCCGUGCUGGUGUACGACACGGCCACGGGGGCCCUGGCCGUCGGCCCCGCCACCCCCGCCGAGCUCCAGUACCUCCCCAAGCUCGUGGCCGCCGGCGACCGCUGGCUGUACGCGCUGGACAGGAAGGCCAGCGGCGGCGGCGACCACCUCAUGGCUGAUGGCGCUGGAGCCGCACGGGACGGACGGGUGGGGCUGGACCAGCAUCAGGGACGCGCCGUGGCAGGCGGGGUGCUGGCGGCGGGACUGGGGCAGCAUCAGGGACGCGGCGCUCGGCGGCGGGCGGGCCCCCGACUGCCACGCCGCGCACCCGGACGGGCGCACCGUCUUCUUCUCCGUGCACGGCAGGGGCACCUUCUCGCUCGACAAUAGAACGGAGGAGUGGGCGCGGCACGGCGAGUGGACGCUGCCGUUCCGGGGCCAGGCCUACUACUAGGCCGAGCUGGACGCGUGGGUGGGGCUCCGCUGGGUGGACGGGGACGACGCGGCUGGUCAAGGGCUCGUCUGCUCCUGCGACGUCGUUCCUCCUGACCCCGACGACGGCGACGGCCGGGAGCCGGCAUGGAAGGUCGCCGAGGUGGUCGAGGCGGACGGUGAGAGGACCGUGGCCGUGAAGCUGGCGCGCAUGGGCGGCGGCGUGUUCUGCCUCGUGGAACGCCGGCGCAGGAGGGGCGCGCACGACGACGGGGACGGGCGAUGCCUGCUCUACGCGACCACGUUCCGCCUCCGGUACGGCAAGGACGGGGAGCUGCGUGCCGCGGAGCGCCGGGCGCGCUGCUACGCGGUGCACAAGAGGUCGCAUAAGUUCGAGUGGCAGGCGUUCGGAAUCUGAUGAAACCGCCUCGAUUUCUUCCACCUCCUCGCCUUUAGCACAUUAUAAACUGGUGAAGAUCAUUGUACUGAACUGGAUGCUUCCAAUAGUUGCGCGUGUUAGCAUUUCGCAGGAGGAUGGCCAGCUGCUUGCAGACUGCAGGGCACUCUGUUCUGUUUCGCGAUCGAUUCAUGUGCUUUCUGAAGGGAAGCAAAUAGAAUCGUCUGCAUAGAUCAGGGUGUUGUUCCAGUGCAGAUGAUCGAUACCAUUGUGUUUUUUUUUCGAGAAAGCUGUAAUCUGAUUGAUAGGAGCGACGAGAAUUUCCAUGAUGGUCUGCAUUGAGAACUGUUGUGAUCGAUAUACAAAGCCACAAAGGCGAGCAUCUGCAUGUGUUUGGAGCAGAUGGAUGCUGAUGGGCCAUAUGAAUGCAGGAACGUUCCGAUCUGCGUCUGCUCACCACGAGCCGCGCCGGGAUGGCCGAAAUUUCCAGGCAGUACGUCCAGAUUGCCAGGGUUAGAAACAAGAAACUGAACUGAAUUUUCUUAAGAAAGCCUGUGCAAGGAGUAUUUGAAGUUAAAAUUUUGAACGCGUGCUACCCGGCAAAGAAUUGGCGUCUUUCAGUUCCAUACCGGAAUGUUCUCUCGUUGGGAGAAUUUCCAGAAAUUUUAUGCGAGCCAGGUGCCUCCUACGGCCCAGUAGCAAACUGAUAGGAGGAAUGUCCUGCCACGGCCCAUCUAGGUCCAAGCCAGGCCGCGCUGAUGACUUGACUUGACCUUGCCCGAAACCGAAAGGUGCCGGGUGUAAGCAAUCGAGCGAUCCUACCACUCUCCCCGUUUGUUCCAGUCCCCCACUCCAAUCUGCUGCAAAACCCUCAUCGUGCCUGCAACCAGCGAUCAAGCCGAUCUUCGCCAUGCCGUCCGCCUCCGGCCGCCGCAAGCCGUCGCGGUCCUCCUCUGCCAUCGUCGCGGACAAGGAGCGCGGGCGCCACGAGCUCAGGAUCGACGCCGGUACCCUCGACGCCGCCGCGCCCGCCGGAGAAAGGGGGCUUCUGGCUUCCUCCCCCUUCACCGUGGGAGGACACCGCUGGCGCGUCCGGUACUACCCCAACGGGGCCGACGCGGAGAGCAAGGGGUGGGUGUCCAUCUUCCUCUUCCUCGACGAGGACGUCGCCGAGCCGGUGACGGCGCGGUUCCGGCUCAGCCUCGUGACGGAGGUGCGGGCACUGUUCUGCAUCAAGUGCAAGGCCGAAUUGCUUUCAAAGCCCGAAGCGCAGUACAACUUCACGAGCAGGGGUACUUGGGGGUACUCCAAGUUCGAGCAAAGACAGACCGUGGCCUCGCUGGUGCGUCGCCGCGAGGUCGAUCGAUUCAGCAUCAGGUGCGACAUCGUCGUCCUCAACGGGUUCCGCACGAAGGAGGAGGCGCCGUCGGCCGCCAUUCCCCCGUCCGACCUGCAAAAGCACCUCGGCGACUUCCUGCAGAGCGGAAGGGGCACGGACGUGGUGUUCGAGGUCGGCGGCGAGGCGUUCGCCGCGCACCGGUGCGUGCUCGCGGCCCGGUCGCCGGUCAUCAGCGCGGACCUCCUGGGCGCCGCGAGCGACGGCGCCGCAGCGGCCGGCGUGGUGCGCGUGGAUGGCGUGGAGACACGGGCGUUCAAGGCUCUGCUCCGCUACGCCUACACCGACUCGCUGCCGGAGAUGGACAGGGAAGAGGAAGACGCCAUUCUCCGGAACGUCGCGGCGGACAGGUACAGCCUGCAGAGGCUGAAACUGAUCUGCGAGGACAGGCUGUGCAGACUCGUUAGUGUAGGCACGGUGAAGAUCACCCUUGCGCUAGCUGAGCAGCACAAGUGCGACAGGCUGAAGGAGGCGUGCCUGCAGUUCCUCGGUGCUCCGGCGAAUUUGCGGGCAGCCAUGGGCGCUCGUGGCCAGUAGCGGCCUCCUGCAUAUGCUUUUCACUGAUAAGGAUCUAACACUUUAACACCGAUGCCGGAAUCAUAGUCAAGUGAUGCUCAGUGAGUUUGCGUUUGUGGAUCAUGGUUCCUGCACUUCUCAUUGUCUUACAUUACCUGCUAGUGAUUAUCAGGGUGCAUAGCUACUUGGAUCCUAUGCAGAAGCAGAAAUUCCAUCUUGCCUUGGAAGAUAGUUCAUAGUUAGUUGCAGCCCUAUGACUGACAAUUGAUCAGAAUUCAGAAAUGACUUUGUUACUAUAUAGCUUUGCAGAUUGAAUGCUCACUAGGCAUCAGUGUUUGUUUCAAUGUUUGGGUGGAAGAAGCUGUUUGCCACUUUGCAUAUCUGUUCCUGUUUUCUAGUUGUAAGCUGUCAGGUCUAUGAGACUAUGACUGCAUCUAUCCAACGGAGAUGCAAAACACUGAAAAUGCAAUUGCAUUCACUCAUGCAGGACUCUGUUUCGGUCUCUGUUUUCUUGUUGGUCGCAUCUAUGAAACAGGUAGGAGGGAUGCUUGUAUGACUGAUACAGAAGAAGUGCCCUUAAAUAAUACAUCCACAGCUAGCCUUGUCUCUAGACCAACAAGCAAGUAAACAAAGCAACUCCUUACAUUGUAUUGAUCACAUGCUGAUUCUUUUAUUGCUGAUUUGCCUUAGAAACUACGAAUGUUGAGUUUCAGGACGACCCUACAGUCUACGAAUACGAUUGUUAGUCAGAAAGGAAGCCUACUUUCAAACCUAAAACAUGUGUUGAAACAGAGAUGCUUUACAUUUGAACACUUUUAAACCUGCAACAUGUGUUGAAAUGUAAAGCAUCUCCGACUCUCUGUUCAUGUGACAAUGCAGUACCAUCAGAAUGCAAUUUUGGUCGUGAUAAAACUUUCUUGAAAAAUCAAGUUUCCAUUUGUCCUGUUUAUUCUGAUCCAUGAACGUCAAUUACCCAUCUUGCCGACAACCCAAAAAAGAAACAAAAAGGCAUGAUUAGCUUGCAAAAUUAUGAACUAGUCAUAUAUGCUCAUGAUACCUGAUAUCAAGAUGUUACUAGCCACCUAUCUGAUGCAAUCUUCCAGUUCUGUGGAGCUGGUUGUUAGGAUUUCAAGGGUUGCUUUUAACUUAAGCUCGGACAAGCAGAACAAACUAAUGGUGAUGGUUUCCAUUAGUGGCUUCUUCCUUUCAAGCUUUUUUCAAUUGUCCCACUGACAUAGACGCUCCACACGAUGUUACAUAUUUUUUUUCAAAGAGAUCUUAGUGGGAUUUAUUCAAUGAUAUAUGUCACUGAUCCACGAAUCAAAAACUAGUACAUGUCAAAAGGAAAUUUGACCAAUAUGAACUUUAUGCCAGAAAGUAUAUACGUUUCUGUUAUGCUACACAAAGACCCUGUUUAGGUAGAAAGAAAACGUAUCCCAAGUCCAAAGCAAGUAGAACGAGCAUGUAGAAUACUUCAUCCUGGUCAUACAAGAACACCACAUUUGAUUCACAUGCCGAGCAAAGAAUCAAAGUAUUGCAAUCAACUAGGAUAAAGCUAGAAUGACAUGAGACCUAAUCACCAAGCAUCACCUGCAACAACUCGAUUACCAUCGUGACAUGUAUGUUCCUUAUGUUUCAAGGUAUAGCACCAUUAGCAUCCUAGUUAAAUCCACACGCACACCAUGCAUUACCGAAUCUUCAAACCAUGAAGAAUGCAAUCAUGCCAAAAAAAACUACCAUCCUUGCUUAUCACUAGGAGUGAGAUAUAAUUACCUCUCCACUGACAACCUCCAUCAAAUUCAGAACUGAGGAAUGCAGCAGAAGGCUCCCUUGAGUUCUGGUGCUAACUGACCAAAUUGUGCUUUAUUGGUGACACUUACCUUCAGUGAUGGACCUAUUACUACUAACUAACUAGCUAACAAGCAUUAUUAGCGGACAACUUGAUUGUUGAGCACCGGUGUUAAAACUCAGCAAUCAGCAGUCGCUGCUGGGCGACACCUCAGCUAAUGCUGACCUUUGUCGAGGUGAAAGCCUGAUGGUGUUGAUGUUGUUUCUUACAACAGUGUUCCUAGUACCCGGAUACAGUCAGAUAGGUUGUUAAGAAGCUGUUGUUGCAGUGAACAGUUUAUCUUUUUUUCGAAAAAUAGUUGUGUCCACUGAUCUCUCCUGCUGCACCGUGACAGACAUUUCUCGUCGAACAGCACCAGUUACAUCUCCGUGUUAAACCUUGAAUCCAUAGUAGUUUCUUGGAUAGUUAACAUCACAAGAUCUUUUUCAUGAUGCAUCAUUUUAAAUGGCACCGUCCUGCAUCUUGCAACUGAAGUCUGUUUACAUUUUCUCAUGUUCAUGUUGCUUGUCCAUCCAAAUCUUUGUAGACUGUGAACACCAAUAUCCAAAAAGGAAAUCUUAUUGCAGAUCUGGAUGACAUUAGUAAUACAUAUCUUACUAAUUUAGAAAUGCAUCGCCGAUGUUUCUUCCCCAAUACAACAAGAAGUCCUAUCUCACUGAUCUUCAAUGCUGUUAAGGUUGCAUUAUUCCAUUUAGCUGAGCUUUCAAGCAGAAAAGUGGAUUCCACUUUGACAAAUUCCUAAGUUUCAGAUGAGAAUAGAUUCUAAUUCAAGUCAAACACUACAAACAUGGUCUACUUUUCCUUGAGCCAUAUGUGAAGCAACUGCAUUUAGAUUCUUUGAGUGGUUCGUUCCCAGGAUAAGCAAAGAUUAUUCCCAAAACAACAGAAUUGAUACUUCCUUGCAAUGAAGUAUAGGCCUAUUCAUCUUACUGUUACUAAUUGGAGGUUCUAUGUGGACACUCUAGAAAAAUAGAGAAACGCUAGAAAUUCUCAAAAAAAACAAAACAUCUGGCCAUUAAUCGGUAGACUCAAAUCAUUAUAGUCAUUGGAUCUAUUAUGUUUUCUAAAAAAACACCCACCUAUGCCAUUAUGAAAAUAGCCUAAAGUAACCCCCUAAAUCUAUAUCUAAAAUUAUCCACAUCUGCCAUUAUAUAAAACUAAAGUAACCCCCUAUUUUCCAUCAAAACUACCCACUCAUGCCAUUAUAAACAAUAUUUAAAAUAACCCUCUAAAUUUGCACCUAAUUUCCCACCACUAAUACCAAAAAAAAUUUAAAGUGACCCCUUAAAUUUGCAUCUAUAUUACCUACUUAUGUCAUUAUUAAAAAUAACAUGAGGUAACCCUACAUUUGAAUCCAAAUCACCUUAAUUAAAAAUAUACAGCAAUAUAUGAUUCUAAAUCGUCUAUUUUUUAUACUAUUGGUAUAUGAUAUAAUAACUAAAGUAUAUACGGUGUGUCACUAUUUAUAAAAGAUAUAGAGGAAGUAAUGAGAAUAUAGAUUUCUAGGUUAAAAUUGUAGUUCAAACUUAGGAUCCAUUAAACAAAUUCAAGCGCAUACCAAAGUGAAAAGUUAAACAUUAUAAAUAUGGAUAAAAAUAUUAUAGAGUAAUUACUAACUAAAUUCUAUCACAAUUGGAUGAAGAUAAUAAGUAUGUAUCUAUAUAAGUAUUAUGUUCGAAUAUUUAACAAAUGAGAGAUAGCUUAUGGUAAUAGUUUUGUAGCAACGUGAUCUUUUUUUUUUCAUUGGAGACUCCACAUUAGUUCCCACGAGACACGCUAAAAAAAGAGACAAAUCCUAGAAAUUUUCACAAAAAUAAAAAAUAUCAAACAUCAAUUAUAUAAACUCUAAUAAUCAUAGCCAUUGGUCUAUUAUAUUUUCUAAAAAUGUAAUCACACUAUCAUUAUGAAAGUAUUUAAAAAUAAACUCUAAACCUAUAUCUAAAUUAUCGUUCAUUAUAAAAAAUAAUCUAAAGUAACUCCAUAAUCUUCAUCCAAUUUAAUCAUACAUGUCAUUAUAGAGCAUCAGUUAAAAUGACAUCUUAAAUUUUUAUCUAGGUUACCCACAUUUGUCGUUAUUAAAAAUAACCUAAAGUAAACACCUAAAUUUUAAUCUAAUUAUCUUCACGUGCAUCAUACAGAAAUAUCCAAAAGUAAACUAAUAUAUGAUUCUAAAUUACCUAUUUAUACCAUUGUUAAUAUAGAAAUAUUAAGUUAAAGUAUACACACAUGAUGAGUUUCACCAUUUAGAUCAUUUAUUCAUGUUUGUGAGAAAUUGAUGAAAAUAUUGAUUUUCAUGCUAAACACAAUGUAUGGAGGUGCGAUACAAAAUGAAAAAGUGUGAACGUGCAUGAAAAAGUGUACAUAACUAGAUAAAGAUAAGUACAUAUCUAUAUAACUAUUAUGUUGAAGUAUUGAAAAAAAUAAGAGAGCUAAACAAUGUUGAUUAUUAGCUAGGAGUUUAAUUUCUAAAUAAUUUUUAAAUACAAUAGCUUUUAAAAACAUUAGCUUGUGCGGGAGCACGGGUUGAUAGACUAGUACAACUAAAUGGAAUGUACACAAACACAACAAAUUGGAGCAUUGAAUUCCAAGCUUGUUGAACAUUACUUUGUGCUAUCUUCAAUCCUUUGUAACUUGCAAGCAUGGGGCAUGGCAAACACAGAGCAUCAAGCAACGCCAAAGCAAUGAGGUGUACACAAGAUGAUCUUCUCCACUUCAGAAUAACGCAGUGAACGUAGCUGCAAGCAAGGUGUAGGUUUCGCAGAAGGCGUCCGAAGAACUCUCCUCUUCCAGGGAUAAGGGCAUUCAGAAACUUCAUAUAAUCAGAAGAGUUGGUCAAGUUCCGGCGCACGCUUAGCUGUUGCCAAUUGAGAUUACAAAUUUGGUGCUCGUCUGAAAGUUUGUGCGCGUAGCUGUUGCCACUCCAAAUUGUGAUGCUCCUUAUCUGAAAGCCACUCGCAUUCUUCGUAGUCACGCCGUGGUGAUGCAAAGGCAUACGCAUCAUAAUGCAUAAACAAUUAUUCCAGCCGUGCACAGCUUAGCAACUGGAGUAUGAUUGCACAUACAUCCCACAGCUGCAGUAGUCAGUAUGAAGCCAUGUAAAGAUACUGCGCUCAAGUCCUCUUUUCUUUCCCUGUAUACCACUUCAUAAUGAUAGUACGUAGUAGAAAUGAUGAGUUUGUUAAGAGUUACAGUCUGUUACACGAGUACAUCAAAACUUAAAUGCUCAUGUUCAGAGAAGGUACCUGAAUACAGUGCAAUGUACCAUUUGUUGUAGUAAGAGGCAAGUCUUCAGUACAGUACCUCAAACUGAACUUUGCGGUUACUACUAUCCUGGUACGUUUGAUGAGUGGCGAACUGCCUCGCUUCUUCGAUGUUCCUGUGCUGAAUCUCCACGCUGAUCAGAGUCAGUAAGUCACAUGCUGUAACACUGUUAUGAUUCCAUACCUACUUUAGCCCUUGAUAAACUACUUUAAAAGUUAACACUGCAUAAAAAACUGCAAAUCUUCAUGAACUCUCUCUCUUUCUCUCCAGGGCAAUGGUCCAGCUCUUCUAAGAUGCUGUCACUUUUACCCUCUGGAGCAGCAGCCAGAUGCCGGCCCUUUCUGCACAUGCACUAGCACAUGGCUAAAUGCCAAUGUGGUUCUGUAUUUGAAACUAAUGCAUACGUUUUUGAGAAAGUAGAUACAGUGUUAUAUACAAUCUGUAAAUCAGCAAAGAUGCAUACUAAUGUGACCCCAGGACUGAAUUGAUUAAAGGCAUAAAAAAGAUAGUAGAACCUCCUUAGAAGCAAAGGGGGUGAGGAGGACAAGGAAAGGUAUACAGUUCAGAGUGAGGAGGGAACAGUGUGGGGCCUCACAAAGCUUAAUCUGCAAAUAAUGGCUCCCUUUAAGGGCCCUAAAGCUGAUGCUUGCUGGGUUUUGGAGACUCAUUUGUGCGGAGCGGCCGAUUAAACAGGCGAGGCUUGGGAGGACAGGCUGCAGCUGCCGAGCUCCUCCUAGUUCGCGUUGCCACCUCGUCAGUCAGGUACUGCUGAAACCUUUUGCAGCCUCUGAAAGUUCAGAUUUGCUUUCUGCUCCUGUAUAGUUUGGUUUCUGAUUCAUUUUCUUUGGAAUCUUGAGAUGCUCGAUCUUGUGAUCUUUCGCCAUUGCCUUUGCUGUUUCUUGCUCCUUUUUCUCACUUUUUAUGGGGCAUCUCUGAAUAUAUGAGCUUAUGAACUGGAUAUGCAAUGGCAUUUUGAAUUGUAAGCUGUCAGCAAGAUGCAGCUUUUUAAUCUUUUUCUAGUUGACGAGUAUGCAUGACCCUUACAAGGAGAUCGUAGGCCCAGAGCCGUUUUAAAUUUAAUUAGGAGGCCUCAUUUCUUAGUUUAGCAAAUUUUAGAAUGCAGAGAAAAAUCACACUUUCUGAUUGCAGCCUUUGUGGAUGUCGGUCUUGACACUUUAGACUAGCAAACACAAUAUUUCAUCAACAGAUUAAUACCUAAAAGCAUUCAGAAGCAAUUAUUUUGUUUUCAUUUCAGUAGAUUUUUCAAGCAAAAGUACACGUAGAACAGUAAAUUCAGUCACAGAGCAUCCCAUAAACUUCACGUCGAGAUGACUACGUAUUCCCAUGCGAUACCUUGUGUUCGUCAGGAUCGAUACAGCAGUUGCAGCCAUCGGUAUCAGGUGGGGUGGUAUUUUGGCGCUUUCAGAGCGGCGUCGGUGUGGUAGGCAGGAGCAGUUCUUUCUGUGACGUUUACACGCGCGAAAUCGAAAUAGCAGUAGUGUGUGAAGCAAGUACGCAUCGAUGGACCUAGCCACAAAAGCCAGAGAAAAUUCACGAAGGGAAAUGUCCACGAGAGCUCCCGAUUGUUGUCACAUCCUUGUCGCCGGGAUCGUUGCCCGUGUCGUCAUCCUGGGGCUCUUUGUCACGGCCUCUGUAAAUCGCAAUCAGAAUACCUGCAUAGCUUCUUAGUCACAUGUACUGAUGGUUUUCCUCCCAGAAUUAUUUUAUGUCGCAAAACAAAACAAGAUGCAGGUCAUGGGCUUCACCACCGUAGAUUGGCAGAAAUUCCUCCCCCAACCCCACCCCCCAAAAAAAAUGCGUUGAAUUUGCGGUGCUGGUCUUCUUACUGCUCCUUUCGUCCUUUGCUGUAGCCUGAGCGAGUGAUCCGGAGCAUGUCUGCAUCUCUGCAUGUGAGUGAAAUUUGACACGUAUGAUAUUUUACAAGGCACAUGGUUAGAGCCUUAUCCCAGCUACAGUACCUGCAGGCGCUGUAUACAAUACAUGUACAUUGCAAAUAAGCACGCGCAUGUGUACUGUUGGGAGCAUUAGCGACCUGAGCCGCAGGCAAACGCAACGCAAUCAUGGAUCCCUGGCGCCUUCCCCUGUCCGAUCCUCUGUCCAAUUGCCUGCCUGAUUGGCAUCACCGCCUUCAUGCAUUUGCCACUAGUCAAACCGAGCUGCAAAACGAAAAUGAGCAGCUGAUCAUUGGGAUGGAUCUGUCAUCUGUUCCUGUAAUCCUGUCCAAGAUCUGGGAGAAUAUGCAAUGUUUAUAGGCAGUAGUACGUGCUUGAACUUGAUGCACGGCUUGGCGAGGGGACGGAAUCUUUUAUCUUUCAUGGAUAGUUGUUUUUUGCUCCUAAGUGCCCCUGUCUGUCAGCGUGUUAUUGGCUGAUUCACGCUGCUCCCGGACAAAAAUUCAGGGCACAUGGUAUCUGCAUGAUUUGCGAAGGAGCACCGGCGGAUGCAUGGCUCGAUACGUCGGCGUUCCACGUAGCUUCUUCCGGCACGUUCGUUGUCGCCACGUUGGAGUCGACGUGCCGACCAAAAGACACAUUAGGUUAACUUCGAUGGGGGGGGGUGGGGGGGGGGGGGGGGGGGUUGCUAGAGCGUGGCCGUGACCGUAGUACGAUUUACCCAUGAAGGCCUUGUUUAGUUCCCAAUCUGGGAGUAGCAAAAUUGGCAUUUUGCCAUAAAUGCGCAACUGUAGCGUUUCGUUUGUAUUUGUGAAUUAUUGUCCAAAUAUUGACUAAUUAGGCUUAAAAGAUUCGUCUCGUAAAGUACAGCAAAACCGUGCAAUUAGUUUUUGAUUUCGUCUACAUUUAGUACUCCAUGCAUGUACCACAAAUUUGAUGUGAUGGAGAAUCUUCUUUUUGCAUAGUGUCAAAGUUGGAAGUUUGGAGGGACUAAACAUGGCCGAAGUCACUCACAGUCACAGUCACAGUCCCAGCUUACAGUCCGGUCCCAGCUUACAGUCCGGCAGAGGGGCCCACGCCAGGUGUACUACGUCCGUGGUAGGAGUAGGACCAGCGCCCGUGCCGCGGUAAACGGAUGCGACGAAGGAGAAGGCCGAGGGGCAGAGCCGGGGAAGGCGGUGAAAUAGAAAUUGGUCGGCCGGCCGGUGGUCCAGGGUCACCGGGAGGCAUGCGGGUUUUUUUUUUUGGCCCCGUAUCCCCGUCCGUUCCGCCGCUGCCUCGGUGGCGCCGGGGCGUGCCGUGCGGCUGCUGGCUCGGCGCAUGUGCGCCCGCCACCUCCGUUGGUCUGGUCCCGUGGCCGCCUGGCAUAGCGACGCGGCAAUGCCCAAUGCCCUCGCCUUCCCGCACGGUUCGCGGUUGGGGAAUGGGAAAAAUGGCAAAAUGGAGUGGUAGUGCACUAGUUCUACUUGCAGCAGUUGGGGAGAGUCCAGACCUUCCCAUGGGCUAUGGCCAUCACUGGCCAACCGCACCACGAUUUCGUUGGCCUGUAAAUGCAGCAGCCACGGCCAAUCCGUGGACGAAUCCGAUCCCGUUAUGCUGCAGCACUUUCCAUCCAAUCCAAGUUUCCAACCCAUAUCCUUCCGAGUUGACCUGUCACUCUGACUUGGUGAGCCCGACAGCUGGUCUUCACUCUUUCACUGUACUACAGCAGCCGCCGCUGAUGCUGAUGCUGCAAUAGUUGGGCCGUCACUGUGCCGCAGGCUCACAGGCUCACAGCAGUACAGCACCGGUCGCACUGAUCCCUGUCCCUGAUCCGUGUGGAGCUCGCAUUUUUUUCUAGAAAAAAAAAAACUUGGAGCUGGCAAUUUACCCUCGAAAGACGAGGAUUCUUAAUGCCAUCUAGACGCCCCUAGCUUUACAGCGCCAGCUCCAGCGGCGGCAGCUUUUGUAUCCGGCAAGCGCUGCCGCGGGAGCCCGGCCGGGACGGCCGCGGCGGGGACCAUGGAUAACGUGGCCGUUUGCGCGACGACGACGCGGAGGUGGAGGUCGAACCGCACGCCGGCCGGAACAGUCUUACCGCGGGCAGUUCGGAUAAGAUCCGCCGGCCGAAAGAAAAGGCGGCCACCGUGCGGCGUGGGGCGCUUUGCGGCUUUGCGCUGUGCCGGCGUGGCGUGUGCGAGCUGUGAGGACUGAGGACUCUGCAGUGUGUUGGCUGGGCUGGCGCGUUCGCUUUACAGCCUCGCCGCAGUUGCGCGCGCACGGGCAACGCCAACGCCGGCCGGCUGCGCCGCUGGGUAGGUUUGGUUUGUGGAGCAGCAAGCAGCGAAGGAAGAGUUGGAGGACGGCCUGGUUGACCUUUCGAUAGCGCGAGCUACCUGCCCCUGCGUUUAGGUGUGUGCCGGGUCCUAACAGCCAAGCCCACUCGGUCGGCCUCGUCGAGCACGAGCACGACAGCAACUCGACACGACUAGCGUACGCGCGCUAGUAUCCAGUAGGUGCCGAACACGUAUGGUACUGUGCGUUUGGCUACCUAGCUGCUUUCCGGUGAUUUUAAAUUCCGCACAUGGACACGGCAUGCACCUUAUCAUACUUUGAGCGCCCGCCCGCUGUACGUGACACGACACGUACAGUAGCGUCGCCGUCGGUGGUAUUAAAGGAAUAAUGUUACGAACUCUAGUUGCUCAUUCAAGCAACCAUGCUGGUGUGUGUACGUAGUACAAAAAUUAGUAAAGAUACUUAUCGUCACGGAUAGGUAGCGUAGGAUGCAAAGCAGCGAUCGAUCGGGAUCGGUUACACUAUUGAGUACUGAUGCCUCUCGAGUCGUCCCAACUGCUCCUUCCUUGGACUAGCUGUACGUACUGCACUAGUAGUUCGUUUUCUGACUCCCGACACACCUAAAACUAAAGCAUUGGGAACCCGGGGAGCUGCGAUACGUACGCUACCCUGGUCGAUCGAAGCGUCGUGUCAAUCCCCUGUCAAGUUCGGUAGAAGCCGCACACACGGAUCGGAAGCGCACCAACAUCACGUGAUAAACGGGACAGCACAGUGACUUGAGCUGACCUUUGCGUAUGUAACCACAUGCUCGUAAUUGAUUACGACGAUGAGAGUACACUGAUCUGCUGCCUGCGUCGUCCCUCCUGUCUCCAGGACGCCGGGGUGGUGGUCUCCUGUGGACGGCGACGCGCACGGCCAGGGCAUGCCUGCCCGUGCUCGCGGGCAGUGUGGGCUAGUCUAGUGGCACCGCGUCGUGCCCGUCCCGUGGCUGCGCCGGCCGGCCGUUGCUUGCUUGCUUCUUGAACGACACACUGCCACAGGACAGGACCGUGGGGUUUGCUGAUUAGCGCGCGUAUUAGGAGGGCCGGCAUCCGUAGCCCGCGACUUUCCUUUUUGAAAAGUUUUAAAUCCCGUACUUUAUAUUUUUGAAAUAUCAUAAGUUGUACGCAUAACUUUAUUUAUAAGAUAAUUUUUUAAGCACAACUUCAAUAACAUACGGAAUGUAUACAACUCUCAUGAUAUACAUCACUUAUACGCAUAACUUAUGAGAGAAUGUUGUUAAAAAAAAUUAUGCACAUAACUUAUACGUAUAUACAAUAUUUUUUAGCACAACUUCAAUAGCAUGCAGAACUUAUACGUACAUCUUUCAUGAUAUAUAUAACUUAUACACGUAACAUUUGACUUUUGAGAAAAAACUAUAUUUACCUGGUAUAGAAAAAAAAUUGAAAAGAAAAGAAAAACCACGCGGGUGCGCGCAACGCGCGGGGCAGCACAUUGGGGAGGGGGUGGGGGGGACCCACCGGCCGCUCGCGUCGCGCCCCGCGGAGCGCUGCAGCGCGCGCGUGCCGGAUUAACAUCGGGCAGGACCGUCCUCCUGCCAAUAUAUACGUGACCACGCGGGGGCGAGUUGGUUGAGCUGUAUUUGUCCAACGCUCCCAACUACACUUUCAUCUUUCUUUUUGUCGCCACAAUAAUACAAUGAUCCACACAAAGCUAUCGUCAUGGUUUAGUAGUAGCAGCAGACUAGCAGUGAUCAUAACAGUUUUCAUGAAAUGGUGGAGUAGUGGCUGCUUGGGAACGCAUUUUGGUCAUGGGGGACAGGAUGGCAGGUCACGGUUCAGAUCGGCGUUUUUUUUUUUUGGGUUCUGUGUGUGUGUGUGUGUUUUCUUUUGGCCCAUGCAUCAGGCACCAGGAAUUCCAUUGAGACCAUGACUAGGUAGGCAGAGCCUCUAUAUAUAGUACUACUAGUUCUUCCGUGCCCAUAUUCCUAUGAUGCAAUAACAUGUAGUGCUAGUAGUGUGAUAAAAACAACUCAAUCUGCCGGGCAAGUCACAUGGCUAUGUGAUAACUAUAUACAUGUUCCAUAUUUUAUUUCCUGGCCGAUUUGGUGCUCGUAGUCUGGUCAGGAAAUUGGCAUGUGAUUGACGUUUGGACCUCGCCCAUGUGGCUUGUUUUUGGCAGGAAAGAGGAAACAAAGCUUCCUUGCGCCCCCCCCCCCCUCCCCCCCCCCCAAAAAAAAAACAAUGUGCUUGGUGUGCGCUCUAAGCACCCGCUUGACGAGCAUUACAAGUUUAAAUUAUCAUCAUACAAUCAAGUCAAUGUUUGUAUCUCAACCCUGGCUGGGUGCAAUUUAAUUACAUUGGACAAGAGUCACGAACUAAGCAGCCGACAACAUUACACCUCUCACAGUCAAAAAGGGUCUCUAUUUCCCUCUCCUCUGCACAAGAGUUAAGAGGGAGCUUCGUUGAUUUAGAUAGUUAAAUUUAAGAUCCUUUCAUGCUUGUGUUACAUCAUGACAAGACCAUCCUUUUGGGCAAAUGGACCAAAACACCCUUCCGGGUCACUGUUGCUCGACAGGCCAUUCUCCUACACGAAUUGGCAUCCUUUUACUAGGCCCUCCAGUGGCGCCUGCUGGACCUCACAAGACGCUCUCAAGAAAAGCAGGGCAUUAGGAAGGUUAGAUGCUAAGCAAGCAUGCAAUUAGGAAAAGAAAGUGCCCGUCUGAGGACGACUCCUUAGCGAGAACACUAUAGCCGCCGCGACACAGAUCUGGCAGGCAUGGGCAGAGGCCAGAGGGGUUAUUGGAGGGAGCUAAUAGCUAGCACUGCAAAGUCCAGUUCCAAGCUGUUGUUAAAAAGGCACUGUUUACCUAAAACCCAAGAAAGGGGCGAAAAUGACGUUAUUAUGUGCAGCAAAUGAAGCGCCUGUUAGAUUUAGGGAGUACAUAAAAUUAAUGGUUGAUGCUUAUGGGCUGUUCAUAUGAAGAAACCGAUUAACUUUGUGAAUUUAAUUUUCUUUUUAUAUGCACACUUAUCAUAAUUGCAGCCGUGCAAGAUAACACCUUUUUAUAUUACAAAGAAAGCAACUAACUGGUGAGUGGUGUGUGUGGUAAUAUGCUGACUUUUUUGUAUUGAUCUUUCUCAUGAGUCGCAUAAGCAAUCAUAAUGCAAAAGACCUGAUAAUUUAAAACUAGUUAUUGCCUAUAUUUAAGAGAUCUUCUAGGACAUCCCGUCUAAGAAUUUUGGAGAUUCAGUACAAAAGUUCCAACAAGAAAACUCACCUAAAAAGGCCACCUUUCCCAUGCUUGCUUUUUCUGUGCCAUCCACGGCUUUUAUCAUUUGCAAAAAGAAAUUUUGCAAACUGGAAUUGUUAUGCGUGGCCAUGUUAAGGUCAUCUCUUUUUUUUCAGAAAAGAAAUUUUUGCUCAUGUCAUUUUUAUAGUUCACAAGAUAUACACCAAAGCUUUUGUUAAGGGUAGUUCUGGUGGGUCAUCCAUCAAGGGAAAGGUUGGGUUGUGAUUAAUGAUUAUAUAUUUAUAUACCCUCAAUAAUUGUGACGUUUAAUCUAAGUAAACUGAGACCGGCUCAGGAAUUGAGAUCGCAAGUAGCCAUCAGGACCAGACCGCCACAUAUGUAGUGCAUGCGGUGCGAGCCAUGAGGUGGACUCGUGGCAUCGCCAUCGAUCCAAUCGUGACCCCCUUUCGAUCGGAGCGUCCAACCCAACCAUAAAUCCCGCUCGCUAAUCAGUCCACUAUUCGGUUAGAAUCGUGCAUGGUGGAUGACAAAACCUUUUUCGAUGCUUACAAGGUGUUAAUUUUUUCACAUAUAUAGCAUUAUCUUGGUGUUAUUUGUUUUCCGGAAAAAAAAUUAGGUAAAGAUUUUGUAAUAAAUGGAGUGCUUGCAUUAAAUUUUGCAGUAAUAUACCAAUUCUGAAAUGGAGAGUGAAUAUACAAUGUCAUCGUUUCUCUUUUGUAGAGAAUUUUGAACAUGAUUUGUCACUUAGCUUCUUUAUUUUCAAUCCUUAAAUAAAUAUAAAUUGUAUUUUUGUCCCUCUCCAGAAUUAAUGAAUUAGGUUGAGAUCACUGCAAUAACGAAUUCCAUCGAGCACAUGGUGCAAAAGCAAUUUGGUACGGAGUUCGUAUUGGUACAGGUACAUGAGCAAACACCUAACGAAGCAAUGUAAGCAUAGACAAAUGUCCGUUUCAAUUCCAUCAAUAGCGCCCUAAAGUAAGGUACUGGUACUGGCAGAUGAUCGCAGUUUAGCUAACCUACUCAAGCCUUUCAGCUCCCGUAAUACUUGUUCAUAUACAAAACCCACCUUUUGAGUUAAUUUUACAAUCUAUUUUUUCUCUGAACCAAUUUUCUCCUCUCAUCCACAGCUAUGUAGACCAUUUUUUCAUGACAUUUCUAGUGGAUUAAAUUAAAUUAAUUUUCAUAAUUGCAACUCUCUCCCGUUACGUUUGCAUCUCCUUCAACUUUUGUUACAGUAUAGCUAAAACAGUAAGAUUGAGAAGCAGGGAAUCUCCAUUAGUAGUUUUGCUUCAAACAUCUGCACACGUGUCGCUUUCCAACCUAAUAAGUAGUAGUAAAUUGGUAAGAUAAAAACAACCUUUUUCAUUUUUUUUGUUCGCUUCUCAUUAUGUACUACCCUUUGUCAAAUUCUAUAGCUACCAACUCAAGAAAGAACUGUUUCUUUCCUCAACAACCCCUGUGACCAAAUUCAUGGUUUUUUCACAUGCUACCCCACCCAGAAACUGUUGUUCCGAAAUGGCACUGUCGCUCUCCCUCCAAUAGAAAUGUUUUAAGAAUCCUUUCUAUGGAAAAGCGAAAACAAAAGAAAAGAAGAAAAGGUUACGCCGGCCAGCCUCACCCUCCCCUGGGAGGCUGGGACCGCGUCACGGCCACACCAGAGGAGGGGAGAGGCCACACCCACACAGCCGCAGGCCAGAAGAAUCAGCAGCAGAGCAGCGAGCUGCCCAAGCAAAGAUCCCCAAAACCAAAGCAAAGAUACAAAAACGAGUAAAACAACUGCAAAAGAAAAAAAAACUAAAAAAAAGUCAGGCAAAAUCCCCACUUCACUCCUCCCCUGCCUCUCCUCUACCUCAAACUGUAACACUGCCUCACCAGUUCGCUGCUGCUCCCCGACCUCGCAGGCGCGUCGAUCCGGAGGGCGCCCGCCGCCGCCUGCGGGAGCGGAGGCCCGGGCAGGAGCGGAAGCGUGGGCGGCGAAUCUGGAGCCCGGGGGACCUGCAUUGCCGCGGGGCCGCCGCGCGUAGCCAGAUCUCCCUCCCCCACCUGCCGCGGCACCGGCACGGCAUGGUGGCUGCCGCGGCGGCGGCCACCGCGCCAGAUCCGGCCCACCCCGCGCGCCCGCCGCUCACGCCGGCGCUCGACAAGCCCAACUCCGCCGCCGCGCGGAGGAACUCGCGCUCCAACAAGCCCGUCUCCUCCAGGUACCUGUCCGCCGGCGCCGCCGCCGCCGCCGCGUCCCCGGCCUCCUCCACGUCGUCCUCCACGUCUUCGUCCUCCUCGUCCUCGUCCCGGCGCUCCCUGUCGGCGCAGCGCACCCGAGCGUCCACUCCGCCGCCGCAGCACUCCACGUCGCCCACCACCACCGCGUCGGCAGCGGCCGCGGCCGCGGCGGCGACAGCUACCGCGACCACGAUGCGGAGCCUCUCGGUGUCGUUCCAGGGGGAGUCCUUCUUCUACAAGACGUCGCGCGCGCCGCGGGCCUCGUCGCCGUCCUCACCCGCUGCGCGGCGCGGGCCCACGCCGGAGCGCCGGAAGAGCGUGUCCUCCGUGCCGGAGGCCGAGAACGCGCGGCCGCAGGGCCGAUGGCCCGCGGCCAAGCCCAAGGCAUCGGACCCGCUCGCUCGCAGCCUCGACUGCAGCCUCGACCGCAAGGACUCCAUCCUCGCCGCCGUUCACCUGCUCCGCCGCUCUAUGGCCUUCGACUCCACCACAUCGCUCUCCCCGUCCGACCCGGCAGCUGCAGCAGCUCCAGACCUGUCCGCGUCCUCCGAUACAGACAGCGUCUCGUCUGGAAGCAACUCGGGCGCCGGUGAUCCCCCGCGCCGCGGCAUCAGCGUGCCGGCAAGGUUCUGGCAGGAAACCAACAGCCGCCUGCGCCGCCUUCCAGAGCCUGGGCUGCCACUACCAUCGUCUGGCCGGAGGUCGUUCUCAGACAGUCCAAUGUCGCCAAGGCUGCCGGGUCGGUCCCCAUCUCCAUGCCGUGGAAGCAGGGGCGCCGCGAGUCCAUCAAGAGGGCGUGGUGGGGAAGCAUCGCCAAAUGGGCAUAUGAUGCAAGCUCCAGCAAAUGCGCCAUCUAUCAUCAGCUUUGCUGCGGAGGUGAGGAGGGCGAAGAAGGGAGAGAACAGAAUCGAGGAAGCACACAGGCUGCGGCUGCUGGACAACCGGCAUUUGCAGUGGCGGUGCAUCAAUGCACGGACAGACGCAUCACUUCUGGUGCAGAGCUUCACUGCCGAGGUAAAUCAAACCUUGAUAUUGGUGUUAGGUUUACCUAUGCAUUUCACUCCUGCAUCUAGUGUUCUAGUACAGUUAAUAAAAUCAUUUUCGUGUGUUUGGGGCUUAAAUAUUGCAAAUCUGUGACACGUCCAAGGUAUCGAUGAUCUGCAAUCUUACAUUCUGUUUCUUAUUUGUUAGUUUGGGUGCUUUCUUGAUAUGAUUUUUUAGGAUAGAGUAUUCAAUAUAUCACAUGGAUAAGAUUGGCAACGGUAAACAAUGCAAAUUUUCUUUAUUUUCCUCUUUUGGAGCCUGAGAAGAAAGUUGAAAGUUAUGGACCACUAAGAUUGAGCAUUUCUUGAUACUGCAUACAGUUAUUGCAUUGGAAAAUUGGGGUGAAUUAUGUUGCAAGUCUGCACUUAAAUAGAACAAAGGAGUUACCAACAGCUUGUUUAUUGAUUUGCCAAAAAUGGAUUUUGGCAACACUAGAUGGUGAACGAUCAUAAAUGGGAACUGCCAACUAUAAAUGCACCAACUAUCAUGCACAAGGUCCUGCAAUUUGCUGUACGUGAAAAAUAGCAAGGAUAAAGUGGCAUCUUUGGGUUUUUAGCAAGAAAAUGUAAAUUAUGGUGUCAUCUAGAUACGCAUAUAUAGAGUCUAUACCUCUAGACUUAGAUUACAUCAACUAGAACGAAAAUGCAAUAUCUGGUCAUGUCCAUGCUUUUCCUCUUUAUUGAUUUGUGUGAACCCAAACAUUCCAAUGUGCCACUUUGAUUUGCCACUAGAACAAUCCCUAGUUGAUUGUUUGAUGCUAGGGAAGCCAUUGGUAGGUGGGAAGAGAUUAUACCGAGUCAGAAUUUGUAAUGUUUCAUUUCAUAUGCCAGUCCAUACUAUUGUUGAUACAAACAUUUGGCAAUUGUCUGGAUAACUUGGCAUCUAGAAUAAAAGAAAAGAUCUUCCGGACCAACUUAUUGAAUAAUGGUAUUGAUGGCACUAUCCAUGACACAACCCAGCAAUCUAUUUGUGAUAUGUGUCUUGUGAGUAUUUGCAAUUUUGCAUGAUCUGAGUCUUAUUAUAGUGCUUCGUGGUAUAUUGGCCAAAUCUAUGCAAGUCUAGCCACCUUGAACCCCUCUGUUGUGCGCAGUGUGCUUAUGAUUCAAAGAUUUGCUAGAUUGAAUUGUCGUUUAAGUCUGGUGGUGAAACACAGUGAUAUUUAAGUACAAAAGAACUUGUUUAAGAUAUGUGGGGUUUCUUAUUUCUCAUUGCAUUACAGACUUCAAAUGUACAACUAAUCCUGGUCAAAGUGGAUUAAACAAAUAUGAUAAUGCUGUGUAAGAGAAUCAGAAAAAGGGUCAAAUGUUCUGAACAGUUUCUUAUUCCCCUCUUCUUCAGAAAACCCUUCACAGCGCAUGGAAAGAAAUAUCAAGAUUACGUGACAAUGUCAGUUCCAAAAGAUGCAGACUCCAACUCCAGAAACAAAAACUUAAAUUGUUUGCUAUUCUUAGGGGUCAGGUAAGUGAUACGAUGCAUUUGCUAUUUAACAUAUUUAUGUGGCUUGCACUAGGAUUUCUUGUUGCUGGUUGGCUUUGUAUAAUUAAUGUAUCUAUGCCAUUUGACAUGUUCAGAUGUCGUAUCUAGAGGACUGGUCUCAUAUAGAAAAACAUCAUUCAAGUGCUUUAUCAGCAGCAAUUAAAGCACUGAAGGCUAGUACUCUUCGUCUUCCGGUUGUUGAUGGUGCAAAGGUUGGCAAUUGUCUAAGCAGGUCUAGCUAUGUGGCUUGAUUUGAUAUGCACAAAAUAAUAGUCACCUAUCUCUGUGCAGGGUGAUGUGCAAGGUGUGAAGGAAGCUGUUAACUCAGCUGUGGAUGUAAUGCACACAAUGACAUCCUCGAUAUGUAAUCUGCUGUCUAAGGUAUGUAUAUAUACCCUGUCUUCCUACAGAGCUGCAAUUUAUAUUUCUUUUCCCCUUGGAUUUUCUUUUUAUCAUGAUACAUCAAUAACAAAAAAUCGUCAAUCCCAAAUUGGAAGAUGCUUCCAAAUAAAAUUUUGGUGCAUGGCUAUGUCUUCAAACAGAAAUUUGUAUUUAUUACAAGCAUUAUGGCUCUGCUGUACAAAAUAACUAUGAGGACAAUGUUUUUUUCCUUUCAAUAGCCAGUGCUAUUUCUUCUCUACUGAAUACUAUGUAACAUAGCUGUGUUGAAUGUUCUAAUUCCUUUACCAUCUUGAGAUGGGCUGUAUAUCUUGAUCUAUGUUGUACCAUCCGAAGUUUACAAUUUCAAAUUAGACAAGGGUGGUGUUGGCAUUUUAAGAAAACAAAAAGCGCAAGAACAUGGACAUUGUUCUAAGCGAACAUUUUUUCCAUGUAGAUUUAAUGAAGGAAAAUUUUCCUAGACAUGUUCAAAUAUGAUACUGUUGUUUUCUGGUAAAAUAGUUAGCUUACACUGGUUACCCACUAGACAAUUAGUAUCUUGGAAUAUUUGGCAAUAUAUUGGACUGCAUGCCUGUGGAUUUAGUGAGAGAUACAAGAUUUGCAUUGGAACCAUAGCAUCUCAUAGUGAACUUUUUGUAUCAUCUCGUUGAGUCAAAAUAUGAUAACUAGCAACCAUGGAUUGUUUGCCUGUUCUGCUGGCGAUGCAACUUAUUGCUCCAUGAACUCAGUGUUACAUGUAAUUUAUUCCUUCAUGAACAUGCAUUACAUUUUAUGUCAGAUAUUUACCGGGGAAGUCUCUGAAUGAUAUAUUUAUUCAUCUUCAGGUUGAGGGAACAAGCUCUGUAGUGUCUGAGCUUGCUAAACUCGCCACACAAGAACAAAUGUUGUUGGACCAAUCGAAGGAUCUCUUGUCCACGGUUGCAGCAAUACAUGUAGGGACAUCUUCUAUAUAUGCUCUUUUUACUCAAUUAUUCUGUUACUCAAUUUUAUUUAGUUCACCUUGUUAAUUAUCUGAUUUGGAAAACAGGUCAAGAAGUGUAGUUUGCAAGCCCACAUGCUGCAACGAAACCAAAAGCAGUGCCCGACACACUUGUAGAUCAGUUUGCCUCGCCACGUUGGGUGGUCACUAACAUCACACGGCCUCGCCUUUUCUCACCGGAGACUGUGCUACAGGUAAUAAAAAAGAUGUAACCAUUUGUUGGGUGUGAAGCGUGUCCUAAUCUGCUCGAUCGACCUCACCGAGUGUAGCUGAUUCAUGUAAUUUUUUUUGAGUGCAUAUCAACCCAUAGAAGCGGCCCCCUCUUUACCUGCAGUCGCCGCAGCUGGUGUAUACAGAAAUCUCUAGCCUUGACCCAAAGAUAAGCUUUCCUGUAGAUAUGAAAAAAAGCUUGUCGUUUGCGUGCUUAACUCUUGCGUGUGGAGUGCUCGAGUGGUGAUGAGUGUUUGUAUUGUGAAAGGGAGACAUUUUGUUGGCUUGAUACAGGGUGUUUUCAUGGCAAAAUUAACACGGAGGUUGUUUAUCCUGACUUGCCUAUGGAGUCAUGGUAUCCGCUCUGAGCCUCUGAUGCAUCCUGAUUCUUGAAAGAAUGGAAAUAACUAACUCUACAUUUUCCACAUUUUCCUAGCUCCACUCCACCAACUUCAGAAAAAUAUGGAGCUGUUGCAUGUGUUUAGCUGGUGGAAGUGUUCUAGCUUAAAAACAUAAGCACUUAUUAUAAAAAAUGCUUAUAAAAAAAAUCUAUUUUACCUUUUGUGAACGAUCUCACAUAUCUGUCUAUCUGUCUCUUUUCCUUCCUCCCCUUUCCCCUCUCGCCAUGUCAACUAGAAAAUUAACUUUCAUUUCCCAUCACAAUCUUGUAGGAUCAGAUCAGCAAACCAAAUCAAACACGGCCUCUCACCACUGAACUAUACUAAUUUAGUAGCUGGACUAAUAAUACCGCAACCGAUGGAAAAAUUGGUGGCACUUGUGCCGAAGAAAUGGCAGAUCAGAUUUGAUGGAUCAACCAAAAAUUUACAGGGGGCCUGCCCGGCACGGCCAUCGUUCAUCAGAUCAUCAUCAUGCAUAUCAAGAACCGGAGUCUUACAGGCGGCGCGCGGGGAGAAGUAGACCCAGCUCGUGGGCGCCACGUCGCCGCCGCCCCCGCCGAGCUGCGGCCGCUCCUUCUUGUGCGCGUUCUGGUGGCCGCCCAGCGCCUGCAAGUUGACGAACUCGCGGCAGCAGUACUGGCACUUGUAGUGACGGCGGAGGUUCUUCGGUUCCCAAAAACAUGAGCCCGAAGGCCAUGGCCCGACGGGGGCGGCGCGAUGGCGCGGAGGAGGUCGGGAGCGCGAGGAACAAGAUGAAUCUGAGUCUCAGCAAAAUAGAAACUAAGGGGUAAGUUGUGUAACCAGUGGUAAUAGUGGUUACAUACCACCAACUCCAGGAGGAGGUCUGAAAAGGGGUUUUUGAAGCACCACUUGAGAUACUCCAAAAAAUUAUGGAUAUGCCCCCUUGCUCCACGUUUUUCUUGAAGCCGGAGUUACUGGAGUUAGACGCGUUUGGCUGCGAAAUUUUUGGAGUUGGUGGAGUGGAGCAAUUUUUUCUAGAGUGGAGUGCUCCAAACAGACCCUUAGCGUUGUAAAGGUUCUGCUUGUUACGAUGACCAUCAGACGUAUGUGUUGCAGCGUUGGUCCCGAGUUUUAGGGCAGUGGUUGCUGCAGCCUGUUUUCAGUAUUGUGCUGUGCUGUAGAAACAUGCAUUUUUCGUAUGUACAUAUGAACAUUUGAGUUAUUCAAACUAUUUAUUUUGAAUCAAUGGUAAGAUGGAUCAUGGGUAGGUGAGAAGUACAUAGGUAGUUAGUGGAUUAAAUAGUUGGAUGGAGAGAAAUUAACGGUUGAGAUAAAGUCAGUUUGCAUGUACAUGUGGUUUUGCAUUUUUCAUGUGCUGUGAUGUGGCCGACCCGGUUGGAUGCAACGAGGUGAAAUGCAAUUGAAGUUUUCUUUAGAAGAAAUGGCCUAUUCACGAUUCAUGAAGAACGCUGUAGCAUUUUAAGAUUGGGAGGUCCUAUUCAAAUGUUCGAAGAAAGGUCCAGUGGGCGUCCGUUCGGCGCCCCGUCACGUCGCCGUGACAUCGUCGGCAUCGAAGCCGACGCGGCCGAAACCAACUCGCCACCUCGUUACCUUAACCAGCUACACACACACAGCCACAGGUACCGACCGCCACCGGCCCGAGAGCGACGCGAGCCCACGGGGCGGCGCUAGACUGCUGCUAGGAGGCUAGGAGCCGCUGCUGCAGCGUCGCAUCGCAUCGUGCUCGCCCACAAACAUGACCAAGAUUCAAGGUCGCCGCCCCCCGCACCCAGCAUAUCCAUGGCGUCGGUCGCGCGUCCGUCCGCCGACGAGGAAACUCCGUCGGGCCGCUCUCCCACGGGCCGUCGGCUCGUUAGCUUAGAAAAGCCCAACAUCCUUGCUGGCUUAAAGAAAGGCCCAGCUCUAGGUCGGAACAGCAGCCCAGCAAAGUCGAGCCCAACCCUUUGCUGGCUUGCUCUGUCUGUCUGAGACUGCUGAAUCUUUUUGGGACUGAAGACCAGUUUUGGACUUGAAUCCGAGAAAAGGACAUGUGGUGCGUCGCCGUACGACGAACACGCACGAUCCUGCUAUGGCAAUCUACAUCAGUUCAAACUGUUGAUUGCCUUUUCUCUCCAACAAGACAACAGCUGAAUGCUUUUGCUGUUUUGCACUUGAUUACGGUUAAGCGUUCUGCCCAUCUUUUUGACGUUGCAAGGCCUUUAUCAAGUCGUCUCCUUCCCUUUUCGCAAAUUAAGUGGCCUUUCUGGCAGACAGCACUACUGCAGCAAUGUGUUCCCAUGGGCCAUGGCAACUCACGCGAGCCAGUCAAACAAAGUACAGCCGAGGUAGCCUAUCACUCGUCAGCCCACUCUCCCAACCUCUCGCAGUUCGUUCAUUCGAGCAGCCAGGCGCUCAGUUUUCCAAGCAGGCUAGCCGAAGUCCGCGGCUUCAAUCAUGAUGAGCCAUCUCCUUGGCCCAUAGCAGACUUUGAUCAGCCCACUCGAUGAGAGUUCUGACUUCUGAGACUGCGGCUGGAGUGCUGGGUCACUAGCAGGAUCGCUAAAAACUGAAAAGGUGGGGCGCAAACGUCUGAACGAAACCAUAAAUGUGGACGUGGACUUCGGCCUCGCGCACUUUGUUGACCCAGCACUAGUCAAUCAGUUGUCACGCCUUCAAAGAUCUGAUCCGCUGCUGUUCCACGAAAUUGCCAGAGAUUCAGAGUGCAUGGUACCGAACGGUCGUGUCCCCCUGAGGUCUGAACUUUGCAUACGCGUUGACCUGAGCUGAGCAUUGCGGUAAGCAGAGACUGGGAAAUGCUCCCAGUGAAAACUUGGCCUCCCUCCUCCCGGUCCCAUGCACCGACGACUUCGCGCGUCCAGCUUUUGCCAUUUGAAACCAUACCUGAAUCCUAGAUUUUCUAUGUUCAAAAUAAAAGUGGACUUGCUUCUUCUGUCAGUUGAUUGUGCUAGCGGCCCUGAGGUAUCUGGUUUUCGUUUUGUCCAGGGGAAGGAAGAUAACAGAACGUCAGAACGCACGGCGAGCCCAUGCAUUCCAUCGAUCAUGGCAGCGCCCGAGCAGUUGGAGGGCCUGGCCGACGACGAAGCCUCCGAUGCGGAGGUUGUUUCUUCGAUCGACAGCAACGCGCGUACGCGUUCAGUUAUGUAGUUCUGUUGCUGCAACGGACCGGUGACGCGGGUGACAAUCUGGAAAGCGCCGGAGCGGUUGCAUGGUCGGCGAGUUGAGCUCACGCCUUACCAAACUGCUCUGCUCACGGCAAGCAUAACGCCUUUCACCUGGGGAUCAUGGAGGAAAAGAGGACCUUGAACGGUCUCUGGUUGCAGUGAAGAAGCUUACGUAGCUGCGUACAGUAUGGUACAACACAAAUGAUGCCUCAUCUCGUGGGAAACUGCAGCGAAGCAGCUGGUACCGGUAGCAGCAGCAAGCAUGCCUUCCCACUGCACGUUCCAUCAAGUGUCAAGGACGUCCAUCAGCUUGGAUCCCACUGGUACGAUGAAGUAUGAACUCAUGAUUCAUGAUUCAAGCAUGGGUUGCAUGCAAUCAGCAAGCGGACACUUUCCGGCGGCCUUUUGUUAACUCGGUCCCCGCCUCCCCGUCGACGUUUACUUUGACAUGGCUGCCUCUGCGGCGCACUGCUGCACUGGCAUAGGCGCAUAGCUGCACCUGUACAACAUGAUCGUCGUGCGGGCGCCGUGCGUGGCAUGCGGUCCAUGGCGACCCUGACCACAGACCGUCUGGCCAUGGCCAUGGCUGUCGAACUAGCAAGCGUGAGGAAUGUAUGGUGCUCGGGAGUCGGGAGUUACUCGCUCCGUUUCGUAAAGAAUAUUCAUUUAGUUUUGUUCUAAGUCAAAUCAUAUUAUGUUUGAUCAAAUUUAUAUAAAAAUAUAUCAGUGCUUUUGAUGUCUAGCAAGUUUCAUUAAAUUUGUUAUGAAAUAUAUUUUUAUAUCAUACCUGUUUGGUGUUUAUCGUAAACUUAAUCAAACUUAAAACAGUUUGACUUAGAACAAAUCUAAAUGGACAUUCUUUACCGGACGGAGGGGUAGGUAGCACCUUGGCGCGCGCUGCUACGUCUCUAACCCAUUUCGUGUUUCGUCACCUUGCACACGUCAUCAGGAGUGGCAUGCACUUUCGUUCGAGUUUUGAUGCCGCCUCUAGAUCCAUCAGUCACGCCCACGCAGCCACAGGCAGCUUGUUAAUUCAACCUACUACUUAUACAUUAUCCAAUUAGUAUCAGCCCGGCGGCGAUGCAUGGUAAUGGUGCGCGCCGCGGCCAGCGAGUGAUCGCCGUCGGCGCGCCCACAUGUCGCGCGCGCACAUCCAGACAUCCUCACGGGCUCACGGCCGCGCACCGCGGGGGGACGGGGGGGCCCGCGCCGUGGCCGGGCGCUGUCCGGGGACGGCGACGCGGCGGAGCUCUGGUCUGCCACUUCUGCCCGCGGGGCCGGCGUCGCUGUCGGCCCGAUCGCCACCGCCGCCGUCCUCCUCACGCGCGUCCACGUCGGAACGUACAACACGUAAGGCCCCGCCCUGCUCGCUUCCCCGGCCGCUAGGGCAGAGCAUAGAUUCGCAUUCGCCGUCGGAUGUGCAUGCGUGCGUGGUUAAUUAAUGUCUCUGCUAUCGCCCCCCUGAUUUUCCCCGUCCCUUUCCCCCCCUCGAUAUCUGCCGAUCGAACAGUUGGGGCCGCGAAGAGAGCAGCUGCGCAGGUGCUGUGGUGGCCCGGUUGCCUUCCGCCGCCGCCCGUCCGCGCGCCCCAUACCGCCCGAUACCGGGUCAGUUCCUGUCGACCGUCACGCACGUACGUGACGGCCCGACGGGCCCCCACCUUAACUGCGCUACGCGACGGUUGACGCUACCCGCCUACCCGGGCGCCCACCACCACAGGUCCGGGGGCUAGUCUCGCGUCGCGUCCUCACCCACCUGCCGGCUGCCGCCAUCUCGCAGCCCGUUACCUGAAACGGCGGCCGGUGAGGCGGCGCUGCGCCCGCCUUUGCCGUUUCAGGUUUCAUCUCUUGCUAUGCCCGCCAGCCAGCGUCGCUCUGGCUUCAGGUUCAGGGUCAAACCAGCACGCCCUCAUGCUACGUUACCUUCGUGCGUAGAGUUUUGCAGAACUGUCGGUUGUUCGAGCACUGAUCGCAACGAAAUGCCAGCCCAGACUCGCAACAACACAUCGGGGAACGAGGAAACGCCCCGCGGCAACACAUUGAAGAAUGAGGUCUCUGGUGUAAAAACCAAGCCCAUGAAUCAUGCCAUCGGCUCCGAGUCCAUAUCACGUGAAAAGAUCCCGACAGUGCACACGCCGCCAGCCGCGAAACUGAAUCCAACCACAGAGCCAGCCAGCUCCGCGCUACGGGACGCCGCCCACCUUUCCACUUGUAAUAAAGCUGGCCUCCUUUUUUUUGAGCUCCCCAGGGCGGAAUGCGUUAUCCGAACCGGGCGUACGGCCACCAAACAGUUGGCAAAGCGGUCACGAUCGCCCACCAGGUCCGGCCGGUCCCAGGCGCGCGCGCGCGCUGCUAGCACCUACUCGCAGCUAGCGUCCAGCCAGAAAACGAGCCCGGCCACGGCGCUCGGUCCGAUCCGCGCCACACACGACGCCGCCGAGCCGAUCGGGCGCGGACGGGGACAGGCGGACCGGACGGGGCCCGACCGGCAGCCAACGGGCAUCGGGUGGGCGCCGGGCGGACACGCGCCGGGCGCUGCCGCGGCAGCGAACCAGGAGGCGAAAACGCGAGAUCGGCGAGCCCCCCAGGGCAUGCGAAAACGCAUCGGAUUCGGCCCCUAGCUUCCCGCGGCAGGCAGCCGCCACUUGCCCCGGGCGCCGCACAUGUCCUUUCGCCCAGUGGCACGUACGAACUAGAACUAGCGUCGCGGGACGCUGCUGGAUCGGAGUAGUGGCGGCGCUAGAGAGGAGGGAGAGGCAGCGCCGCAGCGGAUAGGGAUGUCGCCCAAAUUAUUGCCUCGUGGCAAUCCCGGUCUGUUUCGAGUUUCGGCCGGUAGCUAGCGUCGAGGAUGCCUCCAUCCAUCUUCAAAGCCGUCAGCCGUCACCCUGUGCGGCUGUAUCCGUGUGUCAUGUGACUGAGCUUACAUUUCUUCUCCAUCUUCUUCUUACUAUGAAGACGCGCAGCUUUCCCACAUGUUCCGGAAGAAGAAGAAGAAGAUCCAUCGAUUUAGAGGGGUUCAGGUCUGAGAAGACCUCGUUUGGUAUGCUGUUCAGAGGGAUGAGGAGAAACGGGGCAGUAGCCGGUAGCCGGUCAAGGGGGUCAAGCAUCGUUAGCAUUCAGCAAGUAUAUAGUGUGGGCAGUGAUUUCUUGGUCGGUCUGCAAGCACGUCCCGCAUUCUGUUGAGUUAGCUAAGAAGGAAAAGUCAGUCCUCUAAUCUGGCUGGUCCAACUCAACAGAGACAAAUCGAGUCAAACAAGUUCCUUCUUUGACAGAAGAAAACAAAUGAAACGCCUGUCAGAGAUUGUCCUACUACGCAGCUCCUUGUCUGACCAUGCUUGCACCGGGACAAACUCGAUCACAAAACAAAUAUACAGGGGUAACAGGGCUAAUCGCUGUCAGAGGAUCUAUACAGGUAAUAACAACUUGGAUGCUUCAACAGCUUGGCAAGCAAAAAAACAAUCCUAAACCUGUUACCCUGAUAAGGUUAACAAUCAGAGAGUUGCUUUGCGCCUGCGCCUCAUGGAGCCAAUAUAGCCAAUCCGGGACACGGUCCAUGCAUAUGCGUUGCCCGACACGGAAGAAAUCCACUACCGUGGCAUUGACAACGUACGUCACAGUAAAAGUAAAGCCGACCGUUGCAGGUGCCGUAACGACACGCUAAUCCCCGGGGCCGAGAGCUUUCGCGAUCACUACGCGCUGCGCAGCAAGCGGCUAGCGAGCUUUACGCCGAAGGACGCCGGAGAGAGCAAGAACGUGAAGCGAGGAAAGCGAGCCAGAUGACCACGAGAGAGGCGGCGAUGGUUUAGCAAUUAGCCCACUGGUGGCGCCACUAGGCCAAGAUUUAAGCGGCACGUAAUGCGCAGUUAAUCCCGCGCGCCAAUCAUAUGCUCCACCUCCGCCACUCCCGCCCGCACCGGGGGCGUCCACCAAUUAAUUACCGCACCCAUCAUCGCCGGCCGGCGGCAAAUCCAGCAACGGCUAACGAUCAUCUCACGGAUCAGGCCGCCCGGCCGCAUGCCCUUUUGCUUUCCUCGCUUGCUCGUCAUAGGCUUCUCAUGCGCCCUUUUGGUUUUGCUUUUGCUUUGCUUUGCUUUGAUCGACCUGCCCUGCCCCACACGUGAUUCAGGAGAGCCAUCGAGCGAUUAAAAGAGGGCCCGGCACGGGGCACUGGGGCUGCGCAUAUGCGUGAGGGGGUGGGUUACCAUUUGAACCGCCGGGAGACCUGAACGGCCGGCUCGUAUGGAUGGGAGAUUAGAAGGCAGGGGCCAGUGUCGCAGGAGUAGCCUUUCCUUUUCUCGCCUGCGUGGGGCUGCCUAUAUAUAUACGGUGCUACAUGCGUAGGAUCGGAGUAUGCAGUAUCCCUCGCUCAAUCCCGGCUGCCGAUGAGCUCGAGAGGGUAGUGCAACUAGCUAGCUAGAGCUCUAGUGGCUUCAUCAUACGGCUGGAGUAGAAGACGCGAUCGGUCGUCGGUGCCAUGACCAUGACCAUGACCAUGAGAGACGAGGAGGAGGAGGAGGAGCAAGGGGUGGUGAUCCGGAGCUACAACCCCAAGACGGACCAAGCCGGCACGGAGGCCGUCGACAGGGAGUGCGAGGUCGGCCCGGCCGGCGGGAUGUCCCUGCACGCCGACCUCCUCGGCGACCCCGUCGCGCGCAUCCGCCACUCGCCGCACCACCUCAUGCUGGUACGUGGUGUACCGUACGUGUGUGUGUGUACGUAUAGGUAUACGCGGCAGGUAAUGCGCGGCCGGAUACUAUGAUUGCGCUGCACACAGUUGCACGUAGCUAUUUGUGGGGCGAUAGCCGCUGAUUGUUCGGGCCUUCAACUCUCGCUGCUGGUAGUGGGUUGCUUUUUUCCAGCGCGUUAGUUUCAUCGAUCUCGACAUGGCAGGUAGCUGAGACGUCCGGGCCGGGCAGCCGGAUCGUCGGCCUCAUCCGCGGCACCGUCAAGUCCGUCGCCACCGGCAAGGCCUGCCCUCAGGGCGAACCCGCCUUCGCCAACGUCGGGUACAUUCUCGGCCUCCGCGUCGCGCCCUCCCACAGGUAAUCCUAGUUGUUUCAGUGUCAUCAUUCAUCAAGCUCUGUCCUCUCUGCUCUAUGUUCGCGACACUUGUCGACAUUGUAGCAUCCAUCGUUCGAUCACUCAUCAUUGCUGUUGCGUUGUCAAGAGAGCAAGCUAAUUGGUUUGGCGUUUGUUCACGUACGUGCAGGCGGAUGGGCAUCGCGCGGCUGUUGGUGCGGCAGCUGGAGCGGUGGUUCGAGGUCAUGGGCGCCGAGUACGCGUACAUGGCCACCGACAAGUCCAACGAGGCGUCGCUGCGCCUCUUCACCGGCCGCUGCGGCUACUCCAAGUUCCGGACGCCGUCGCUCCUUGUGCACCCCGUGCACUCGCACCGCCUCAGGGCGCCGCGCCGCGCCACGGUCGUGCGUCUGGGCGCCUGCGACGCCGAGCGGCUCUACCGCAGCCGGUUCGCGAACGUGGAGUUCUUCCCCGCGGACAUCGGCGCCGUCCUCGACAACCAGCUCUCCCGGGGCACGUUCCUGGCGAUCGUCGACGGGGGCGGCUACGAGUGGCGCGGGGUGGAGGACUUCCUGUCCUCGCCGCCGGCGUCGUGGGCGGUGGCGAGCGCGUGGGACUGCGGCGGCGUGUUCCGCCUCGAGGUCCGCGGCGCGUCCCGUCUCCGCCGCGGCGCCGCGGCCGCCACCCGCGCGCUGGACCGCGUGGCCAAGUGGCUCCGCGUCCCGUCCGUGCCGGACUUCUUCCGCCCGUUCGCCGGGUGGUUCGUGUACGGCCUCGGCGGCGACGGCGGCGACGCCGCGGUGGCCGCGGAGGCGCUGUUCGCGUCGAUCGUCAACAUGGCGCGCGGCGCCGCGGCCGCCGUGGCCUUGGAGGUGGCGGCCAUGGACCCGCUCCGCUCCCGCAUCCCGCACUGGCGCCGCCUGUCCUGCGCCGAGGACCUGUGGUGCAUGAAGCGCCUCGGCGGCGGCGGCGGCCACGCGGAUGGAUGGGAUUGGUCCAGGUCGGUCCCUGGUAGCUCCAUCUUCGUGGACCCCAGGGAGGUUUGAGUGUGACUCAGCCGGCGUCCGCUUGCAAGCAGAGCUUUUGUGCUCUGUUUUUUUGCCACUGGAUUUCAGUUUUGAUCUUUUUUCUUUUCCGCCUUCAAAUUUUGCCACCUCGUGUCUAUAGUUGUAGUUUUGGAAGGCGGAGAUUUCGUCGGAUGACUAUCUUUUUGUAGGAUCAGCAAUCGAUCGUGUAGAUACAUUCUCGUCCUUUUCCGGCCUGUCUUCUCUGCAUUUUUUUUUGCACCGUGACAAGUGUGCGGUCGCGAGGGAUCGUUUCAAUCCAGCCACGAGUAUCAUUGAGGGCAUCAACCGAUGAAUGCCUCUGCAACCACCGAUGAGUAUAUGUUCCUGACUCACGUCCGCGUCCGUGUCGCCCCCAUGCCUUUCGAGCCGUCGCUGCUGCGAUCCACCGGUGAUGGUGCUGCACUCCUGCUGUGAUGAUGACGAUCAUGAGCGAAUCGAUGCGUGAUAUAAUGGCUGAUGGCGCUCGAGCUGACACCUAGCGUCCGUCGUCGUCCUCCGCCCUUUUGCUGGCCAUCGCCAUGGCUGCCCUACGUUUUGUGUUGUGCACUGUGCAGCGCAGCAGCGGUGUGGGAGAGUAGGCGCAUGUGCUGCGUAGCCUCGUUGGCGUGGAUGUUGUUCAGAAAAAGCGAGGGGUUGUCGCGGCGUCGCGUAACGGCGAACGCCAGUGGGCAUACCGAUCGGCGCCGGCGGCGCUGCGCUCGACGCCUCGGCUGCAGUGCACUGUCCUGGUUGUUUUGUAGCGCGUGCAGAACAAAUGAUUGGACCUGUCGCCGGUGGAGCAUCGAUUCCAAUUGGCCAAUUGGGCAAUUUGGCCAUCGGCGGCGUGGUUGCAGACUUGCAGUUCCGGCCACUCUACUAUCUGGCACUUCGUUUUCCAUCUAUCAUUCUAUCCCUGCGCAGUAGGCCUGGUAGUGGGGCGGGUUGAAAUGAGUUUUAUUGGGCGGGUUGUGACGUGGGGUGUGUUUGAAUGGGUUAAAAUGGGUUUUAGUAUCUAAUGGGUUGGGACGGGUUGGGUAUAUCAGAAAUGCGGGUUGGGGCGGGUUGAAAGUGAUUUUUUGUUUGAAUUUGUAUGGAUUUAAUUCAUAGGUUUAACUUUCACGUUUCGGCUCUUGACGUGGGGCCAUGGUUUAAGUCCAGCCGCACUACUUUGCACAUAAUAGCGGACUGCCAAACUAAUUCAUUUGCAACAAAUUUCGGUCAAUUUUUCCAAAAUUUUAAGGUGUGAACGCGAGAUUUUAAUUUUAGGGUCCGACUCUUGACGCGGGGCCCACGUAUAAGUCCAGCCGCACUACUUUGCACAGAGUAGCGGACUGUCAAACUAAUUCAUUUGCAACAAAUUUCGGUCAAUUUCUCCAAAAUUUUAAGGUGUGAACGCGAGGUUUUAAUUUUAGGGUCCGACUCUUGACGCGGGGCCCACAUAUAAGUCCAGCCGCACUACUUUGCACAAAGUAGCGGACUGUCAAACUAAUUCAUCUGCAACAAAUUUUGGUCCAAAAUUUUAAGGUGUGAACGUGAGAUUUUAAUUUUAGGGUCCAACUCUUGACGCGGGCCCCACAUAUAAGUCCAGCCACACUACUUUGCACAGAGUAGCGGACUGUCAAACUAAUUCAUCUGCAACAAAUUUCGAUCAAUUUCUCCAAAAUUUUAAGGUAUGAACGUGAGGUUUUAAUUUUAAGGUCCGACUCUGGACGCGGGCCCCACACAUAAGUCCAGCCGCACUGCUUUGCACAGAGUAGCGGACUGUCAAACUAAUUCAUCUGCAACAAAUUUCGGUCAAUUUUUCCAAAAUUUUAAAGUGUGAACAUGAGGUUUGUAUAAAUUUAUAGGUUCAUGUACAAAACCCACGGGUUAUAUCAAUUUGUGAGGCGGGUUGGGUUGGAUUUACACAAUAGAAUUAUGGAGCGGGGUGGGGUAGGUGAAUGAGUUAAUUUAUUGCGGGUUGGGGUGGGUUUGGGACGGGUUUCAACCCAUUAGCAGGCCUACUGCGCAGACACUGGCGACGGCGAUGCAACAAAACUGGCGGUAAUUGGGGCCAUGUAUGCAAUGCACGAAUGUAUCUAUCCAGUUCCUGUCACAAGGAUCCGUCGAUCGUGUAAUGCCGUACGCUGCAGGUAACGGGAGUCAAUUUGAGCAUAACGAUCUGUCACCACCCAAUAGUGCUGUCGGCUGGGCUCAAUGAUAUUAUCGACGGCGGGAUAGCACAGAGUCACACAGAUGCAGUCGCGGAAGCUCGGUGAGAACUGGAAAAGCUCGCCCAUGAUCUUCACGGGCUCACGGCCAAUCCUACCGGACCGAGCCGUUUCGUCUCUGAACUCUGCAGGAGCAGGACACGGACGGCAGGAGACGGUCAGACAGUGAGACAAAGCAGCGAUCCAAAAUGCACCAGUGCUCGCGCCAAAUUGCUGGCGGCUACGCGCGACACAUGUGCAUGUGAGUAUGUGACCGAUCCAUCGAUCAGCCGCUCGCACGCACGAGCUACUCGCCCUACUCCUUUUGUAUAAGUGCUCCGAGCUGGUGAUCCAUUGUACAGUAGGAAAUGGCACAUGCAUACGCGAUUAGGAAAGGCAUGUGCCUCUGAGACUUGCACACUUUCCUCUGAGACCAUGCCUUUCCUGACGCUCUAGCUAGCCAGCUAGGUUCGCCGAGCUAUCCGCCGGCCGACAAGCCGGCCUCGUGGUUGAUCUCUCUCUAUCUAUCCUGUUCUUUCUCGGGGUCCGUCUCUCUCCGAAACGUAGACCGCAUUAAUCCGAGACACAUCAGUGGAUAAGGAUUUCCGAGUAUGCACGCACACAUAUGAUUUAUGCAACGGGCAGAGCAUCUCUCUGAUUUGGAGAAGUGGAUAGAUGUGCCCAUAUAUAGAAGUGCUCUGAACAAGACCAGAAUUGGUCAUGGCCUUGCGAGACACUGAUUUCCUUGGUGAUCCCUGUAGUGAAUUAGUGAUCUUGCAAUGGGGCCCAAGGGGUGUGGUGUCCAAAUGUGAUGAGUCGAUGAGAGCACGGCCGGCAUCGGCCUUCCUUUUUGCCCCGGCCGGCCUUGUUGUCAGAGCGGUCGGUGAACAUUGUUUACGCCGCCGCCGGCGGUUGUUCAUCACGUCACCGUUGGUAGCGCACGCUCGAUCGUCUAUGGAGGAUGAGGAUGAGGAUGACGAUUGGAUCGUGAUUUGAUUUUGGUGGGUUUCUACUAAUCUAGUGAGAUGAACAUUUCGUGCUAAGCUUUUUCUGAAAAGCCAGUGCAGCUUAGAGGUGUUUGGUUAUAGAGACAAAUUUAAUUCCUGUCACAUCAAAUAUGUAGAUAGGACUCAGCCGUAUUGAGCCUCCGUAUCAAAGAGGGACAUACGUACCUGCCAAGACCCUGUAUCUGGCCGGUCGCACUGACUGGUCUACCGCAACCGCCUCAUCAAACUGUUAUUUUGAGCAAUCCUCAUCAAACUGUUUUCCGUGACGCAUCCGGCCAAACCGAGCAGCCACAUGCCACCACCACUUCCCGGCUGUGGAUCCGGCCGCACUAUCGGCCGGCAAUCCCAGGCACUUCCGUUCGUGGCGAUCGCGGGAGAGCAGAGCUGCCGAGUACCCGUCGGGAUUGAGCCGCGCAGCCGACGUGUCGGCGAGGAAUGCAUGGCCCGCGCGCGAGACGGCGUGGUGGAGUCCAAGCGUGCGCGGAAGACGGCGACGUUUUGGCCUCGCUUUGGAGCGCCGUGGUGGUGAUCGCCGGCAGGUACGAUUGCUUUCCGAUAUUGGGGGUCGAUCAGGAAGAAAACUAUCCAUCGUGCAGUGGCGCGGGUCGGCGGGUGCACGGCCACGUAACGGCGCCGGUUUUUAUCGGGGCUUGACCUGACCACUCCGUGUCCAUCCGGAUUCGUUGACGAGGCCACGAAGGGGCCGGGGCGGACGCGCUGACUGGUACGUCGAACUCCUUUUUGCCAGACAACCUGACCGGACGCGGAUGAACAUGGUCGUGCGAGCCUGACAAGGCGUCCUCGACCGGUCGCCACUUUCUCAUAGGCACCUGAUGAAUAGAAGGAGAGAUUUGCUUUCUUUCGUUGACAGGCUUGGGAUUUUUACGUACGGAGUACGGUGACUGGCUGACUUUCUUAUCUCUGCAUGACAUAUGCAUAACCAUCUCUUAUACAUAAACUGAAAUGCUUAAACGAGUAUUGAUCCACCAAUAUUUUUGUUGACUAACUUUUUUUUUUGCGAAUAUUUUUGUUGACUAACCUGAAGACUUGCUGUAAUGAUCUACAAGUAAUGUCCAAAAUUUUGGUUGAGGGAUAGUAGUGUCCGCCGUAGGUAAGGGCUCUUUUUGCAGGGUUUCAGCUUCUCUGACUUUUAGUUUAUUUGAAUAUACAAUUUUUGUAACUGUAAGAAAUAAUUCUUAAAAGUUCUCUAGAAGUCAGAGCCGUCUCGGAGGAAAUAGUGUUAAUAUGGUUAAAAUCUACAUGACCUCGAAUUUCGUUGCUCCUAAUAGUAAUAAAAUUCGGGAUCAGCUCUUUCUGGAAAAGAAUCAUUACGCGGCAGCAUGCCAACGUUUGAGUGGUUUCCACCCCGAUAAGAGGUUAAGUUGCCUUUCUAGUUUCGACGAACGCUGUCAUUGCUCGGCGUCUCCGCCACUUAUCGCUGCUCCUCGAGUCAACUGGUGGUCAUUCGACACGUUUGCUUGCCUGGACGUGGAUCCGCAGUUCAGCACGCGCCAAAGCAGGCCCUCGUCGUGGCACCUCAGCGUACGUACCUCACCCCCACCACGUGAUGCGAUGUGGUGCUAUACCGAUACACCAUCAUGGCGCCGUUUGAAAGUUGAAACGAGAUCGGAGAUCCCCUGCUCUGCUGGCCGCCCAGGCAAUUGGACGCGACGCGGAGACACGUCGUGUUGACUCGACAGGCCAGAAAGACCCCCAAGGUGCGGUGCCCUGCUGGUGGCCUGGUCGUCCCUUGCUGCCGCCUUGCCUCGACAGCGGUGAGACAAAGGGCACGACCUUUCCUCCACUCUGUCCCCGGAUGGCCGGAUCCACACCGUUCUCCGCCGAAGACAAAUCCGGUCUGCCUCGCCCACUUCGCGUGGCUAGUCAGGGUAACUGUAGCUGGCUAGGCUGUACGCCUGGUCGCCUGUCCCCAAGCUGGGCGAACCUUGGCGUGGCCCCGCCAGAGACCCGAGGCACCAUGAACUCCUUCCUGGUCUCCGUCUCCGUUCCUCUGACUGCCUGAGCUGAUCCCUUUUCCUUGUCUUUUGGACCGAGGACGCUGCCGAAACCGACGACGAGAACCGUGCAGGCAUCACUGCGUGUUUGACCCUGAACAGGUGAACCAUGCGAAUAUGCGAUGGUCCAGCUGCCCAGGCAUACCUGCCCCGCACGAUCGAAAGCCAAAAAGGCUUGGGAUUUUGUUCCGUGUAACUUCAUGCCCUUUUGCCUUGCCGCCACAUUGCACAACCGCAGUGCUGGUAGGCGGUACCUUAGGCUAGAUCUGUCCUCGGAGUGCCAAGAUCUUGCUGAACUGCUCUGUCUCAGCCUCUCAGGAGACGCCUGGCCAGUGAUCAUCAUUGUGCCUUGAUAAUUCAGGCUUCCCCGGACCCCGGUCCGGCCUCUAUCACCCGCGAUUGCCCUGGUGUUCGUGCUUACCUGUUGGAGACCAGACCAUGCAGGAUUAUUUGCCUUUAAGCUUUACUUAAGAGAGUUGAGACAUUGCAGAUGCGUAGAAAAGAUUUGCCUGUGCCGUUUUGAUCAUGGAUUCGACUGCUAGCGUUGCCAUGAUCCAGCACGGAUUCGUGGGCCGGGCCCCGGGCUGAUAUUUCAAGUUAGCAGAUGCCAAGCGCCAUUUUUUGUUACAGGAUUCCUGCACAAGUUUACCCUUUUGAUCUCAACUCGAUCAUAUGAUGACGAUUGAUGAUAAUCAUAGAGCGAUUCCACCUCAUCCCUUCAAAUCUGUUGAGCUACACUAAUACGCAGCCAUUAUUGUUGGCCUAGCUCAUGUGCUUCCUGUGAGACCUGGGUAUUCGGUGCCUGAAUCUGAAUAGGAUGCCAUUCUGUGUGAUCUGGAUAGUUCAGACGUCGAUCCGAUGACUUUACAAGUCGGCAAAGCCGCAAAGGUUUAGUCCAGCAAAAAGUUACUGUUUUCAAACUAUCGGGCAGAUAUAAGAAUGGAACGCAAGAACGCAGAGCUGCAGAACAGUUAUCCUUCAACUCUAACAAAGUAGGCUUCUUAUAACACUACUUCGAGUUCACAUAAGACCUCACAUAGAACCCCCAGAUUUCACAGGUUUCAUGGCAAGCCUACACUCUACCAACACAACCUAAGAACAGACCUGGCAUUAUAACAUCCCUAAAGACGUGUAAAAACAUCAGUCCUUGCUUCUAUGCAACAUUCAUAAGAAAGAACAGACGACUGCUAAAACCUAGUGCCUCCU
rnacentral:lncRNA from 1 species